AUAAGUGUGGAGGUUUCCAGGCCAAAGAAAUCAAGAAGCGCGACGGAGAAAGAAGAUGAAGAUGAAGUUUUAGUUAUUGAAGGGAUUGAGUAUGAAGAAAAUCAAUUAAUUAAGUUCGAUGUCCUCGUCAACGAUGAACCUGAUUCACCUGGUGGACCAGACAACUCCGAGUUUGCAGGAAGUUUCGUCAAUGUGCCUCACAAGCAUGCAAAAAAAUCAAAGACAACUAUGGUAUUGGGGAUUACAGGAUUGUUGGAAGAUCUGGAAGCUGAAGGAGAUGAUACCCUUGUGGUGACUUUAGUGCCUCGGUCUGGUGGUGAUUCUGUUACCGUUGCUAAUGUCAAGAUUGAGUUUGUCGCUGACUGAUCAUGGUGAUGAGAGGACAUAUGCUACCAUUUUCUUUUCUUUUUUUCCUUUUGCCUUUUCUUGUUUUUUCUCUUUCUAUGUCAGUAUUCAGUGAGUUUUCUCUUUUUUCUUUCAAGAUGCUCAACUAAUGGACCGUAUUUCAAUUUGAAUACUACAAUGGUUUCUUAGAUUUGUUGCCAGAAGUAGAUGAACAAAAAUAACUAGACCCAUAUGGUAAAAAAUAAUUGUCAUUUUAGACGUUUUUUUAAAUGAUACAUAAACCUAAAACAAUAUGGUUUUGAAAGAAAAAAACUAAAUUUUAUCAUAAACAAACCCAUAUCAGAUCUCAAAUAAAUGAAUUACCAAGUUGACCCUAGAUCUUAUAUAACUAGGUCUGGAUUGACAAAAAUAACUAGACUCAUUCGGUUAAAAAAAAAAAAAGACGACGUGAUGGAGGACUGGCCAAAGCUACUUUCUUCCCCUCUGCCUCUGUAUGAGGCUUAUAUAGCCUAAAACGCAGCUCUAUUUAGGAAACAAAAUCUAGGGACACAAUCAUGGGUGGCUUACAAUCGAAUAAAGCAAAUUAGGAAGCAAAAUAUUGUGAUUUAUUCUAUGAUCUCGGUAAUUAUUUCCCACGUGUAGAAUAUUAGCCAUUAGGUGAUGGUGCGACUCCCCUUUGCGUUCUUCCAUAGCUGGCAUAUAGGUGUUCAAAGUCAUUACCUUUGGACCAAAGAUGAAAAAGCUAGCGGGAAUGGUUUGCAGGGUUCGUUGCGUGCAGAAUAUUGGGUUGUUCUGCAUGUAACGUCAUUAAUUACCCUUGACCUGUUUCAUAUGGGGUGGGUCGAGACCGAACGGUUAUGGGGUGAGCCUCGACCCAAUUGCCUUUCGGGUUGGCCGAGAACCACUGCUUUUGGGGUUGCAGGACCCAUUUGUCUUUGGGUCUAUCCUCAGCCCCAUUGGCUUUGGGGUCGGCCGAGACCCACUCUUUUUGGGGUGAUAAGACCCAUUUCUCCUUGGGUUUAGCCUCGGCCCAAUUGCCUUUGGGGCCGGCCGAGACCCACUCCUUUUGGGGUGACAGGACCCAUUUCUCUUUGGGUCGAGCCUCGGCCCAAUUGCCUUUGGGGCCGGCUGAGACCCACUUCUUUGAGGCUGGUAGGACCCAUUUCUCCUUGGGUAUAGCCUCGACUUAAUUGCCUUUGGGGUCGGCCGAGACCCACUCUUUUUGGGGUGGCAGGACCCAUUUGUCCUUAGGUCUAUCCUCUACCCAAUUGCCUUUGGGGCCGGCCGAGACCCACUCUUAAGCGUGUGGUAGGACCUAUUUGUCCUUGGGCCUAGCCUUGACCCAAUUGCCUUUGAGGCCGACAGAGACCCACCCCUUUUGGGGUGGCAGGACCCAUUUGUCCUUGGAUUGAUCCUCGACCCAAUUGCCUUUGGGGUCGGCCGAGACCCACUCCUAACUAGGAGGGUGUCAGGACCUAUUUUUUCCUUGGGUCAUGUGUGGGCCCAAAUUCCUUUAGGGUCGACCGAGACCCACUCCUUGGGGGGGUGGCAGGACCCCUUUUCUCUUUGGGUCCAACCACGACUUAGCCUCCUUUUGGGGCCGGUUAGGACCUCUCUCCUCUUAGGUCCGACCACGGUUUGGCCCCUUUUUAGGGUCGGCAAGGACCCCUCUCCUUUUUUGGUCCGGCCACGGCUUGGCCCCUUUUUAGGGCCGACCAUGACCCUUUUUCUUUGGGUCUGGCCACGGCUUGGCCCCUUUUUCUUUGGGUCUUGGCUUUUUUUUUUAGGCUAAAAAUGGGUAACAACAGAUGCCCCCUCUUUACAAUGCUUACGACGCAAAACUUCCUCAAUGUUUUGCAUGGUAAGCUUGUAAAGAAAACAAAAGGUCCUUCUUGCUUGCUGAGUGAUCCACUCAUCCAAGGGCUUCAAAAGGUAAAUGGUCUCAAUAUUAUCGGUGACUUGUCCAGAAAAAUAAUGGUCUCAUUGUAAAGGGUGACCUACCCAAAGAAAAAUGGAAAACGGUCUCAUUCUAAUAGUUGACUUACCUAGAGAAAGAAAAACAAUGAUGGUCUUAUUAUGACAGGUGGCCUACCUAAAAAAUGAUGGCCUCAUUGUGAUGGGUGAUCUACCCUAGUGGAAAAAAAUGAUGGUCUCGUUGUGAUAGGUGACCCACCCAAAUGCAAGAUGGUCUCAUUAUGAUGGGUGACCCACCCAAAAACAUGAUGGUCUCAUUGUGAUGGGUGACCUACCUAGAUGGAAAAUGAUUGUCUUAUUGUGAUGGGUGACCUACCCAGAUGGAAGAUGAUGGUCUUAUUAUGAUGGGUGACUUACCCAGAUGUAAGUGAAAAGGUUUUUAGAAAGGGGUCUGAAUAUAUAGAUGCUUGCCCAUUAUAAAGAUUUUCGAAAAAAUCCAUGUUUUUUUUAGGAAAUAGUCUCAAUAUCGGAUGACCUGCCCGUUUUAAGAUUUUUAUAAAAACUCCAUGCUUUUUCUUUAAAAUGGUCUCGAUAUCAAGUGACUUACCCGUUUUAAACUUCAAAAGAAAUCAUCUUACCUCGAGGAAUAAAGUAGUGGUGGUUCAUUUUCUUUUUCAUAAUUCCGUUGACCUGAGAUUUUGUACCUCAGCGGUUCCCAAAACCUUGGAGCUAUUUUGUCUUUCAUCACACCUUUCCUGCCAGGUUAGUAUUAUGACAAUAUAGCAUGCAUGUUUUGUUACCUAUUUUGGAAACAUAGGUCCCCCCUUUACAUUGUAGACUUCUUUGAGCUCUUGUUUCCAUUUGUUUGCCCGACCUGUCCUUUUGAACCAGAAUAUGCUCUCGUGCUACAUUUCCUAUCCUUUUCAUGCUUGAUGAAGAGAUUUCCAGUUCCUUAUAGGGCCCUUUCUUACUCUAUUGAAUAUCGCCUUUUAUUAUACUUUUGCUGAUGUUUUAAUUGUCUUUUCUAUUUUUAAGAAAUUAUUUAAAGAGGAAAACUCAAAAGAUUUGGUUUUGUUCAUGAAAAUCGAAACAUGCAAUCAUCAAAUUUUGUUUUAAGCAAUUCUUAUAAAGGUGUUUCAAAGGUUUUUAUAAUGAUACCCCUUAAUGUUGGGCUUUGGUUCACUAUGUACCCCUAUAUGCACUUCGUGCACUUCUUGCCCCCAGUGUGGUGUGCAAAUGUAUGUCAAGUUUAGAUUUGGUUUGGUUCUCUCCAAUUUAGGAGUUUGAUGGAGUCAUCUUGAGCAUAUUAUGAUUCCUUAGUCAUGCGUAAAAAAGUUCUUUUAAGUAAAAGAUUUCAAAUGCUAUGAGAUCAUGCGUUUUAUGAAGAAAAGGUUCUUUACAAAGAGAAUUCAUGGCCGAACUUUAUUUUAUUGAUUGGGAAAUUACGUAAUAAAUCAAGCGUAAUAUUUCUUUAUAGAGUCAAAAGUCACAGGUCUAACUAAAUCUUCUUCAUCCAUUCUAGAUAAUAGCAAAGCUCCUCCCGAGAAGGCUUUCUUCACCACGUAAGGGUCCUCUUAGUUUGGUGCCCUUUUACUCUGAUCUUCUCUUGAUAAAGGCAAUAUUUUCUUUAGCACAAGGUCUCCUUCAUGGAACCCUCGAAGUCGGACCUUCUAGUCAUGAUUCGGUCAUUCUUCUUUGGUAUAGUUGAUGAUGACAGAUUGUAGCUAUCCUCUUUUCACUGAUCAGAUUCAGUUGUUCAUAUCUAACUUUUUCUCAUUCUACCUCUUCUAGCACAGAGUCUACCAAUACUCUCAAUGAGGGGAUUUCCACUUCUAAAGGCAUCACUGCCUCUAUCCCAUAUACCAACGUGUACGGGGUGGCUCCUAUUGAGGUGCGGACUGUGGUGUGAUACGCAUGAAGGUCAAAUGACAACAUCUCAUGCCAAUCCUUGUAGGUGACUACCAUCUUCUGAAUAAUCUUCUUGACAUUCUUGUUAGUAGUUUUUACCGCACCAUUCAUUUUUGGCUUAUAUGGUGAGGAGUUGGAAUGCUUGAUUUUUCAUUUAGCGCAGAGUUCUGUUAUCAUUUUGCCAUUGAAAUUCUGGGCAUUAUCAGUUAUAAUCUUUUAUGGUGGAACAUACCGAUAAAUCAAAUCUCUCUCAAUAAAUGUCUUCACCACUUUUUGCGUCACAUGAGCAAAUGAACUGACUUCUACCCAUUUUGUAAAGUAGUUGAUAGCCACGAGAAUAAACCUAUGACCAUUGUUGGUUUUUGGGUUGAUAGGUCCAAUCACAUCAAUCCCCUACAUCGCGAAGGGCCAUGGAGAUGUCAAGUUAAACAAAGGAAUUGGAGGGGCGUUGAUUUUAUCACUGUACACCUGGCACUUAUGGCAUCCUUUCAUGGACUUCCCAUAAUGUGUCCUUGGCCUUAGCUUCAUCCAAACAUCUCAACAAAGUCCCAUCAGAUGAUUUCUUAUACAAAAUCUUCCCAUCAAGAUAAAAGUCCAUUGCCAACCUUCCCAAGGUCUUCUUAUCUAUUUUGGAUGCCCCCAUGGGAUAUGCCUGGUUUUGUAAAGAGUUCUUGGUAUCAUAGUACCAAGGGUUUCCAUCAAUUUCGACUGAGCAACAAUGAGCUAGGUUAUUCUUGAUAUCAAUGUGUUUCGGUUUUUCCUUGUGCCCAAAGUCUAUUUUAGCCAUAAAAGCUAGUGUGGCCAAAGCGUCAAUAAACUGGUUUCCUUCCCUUCUUAAAUGGGUGAACUCAAUUUCCUCAAAUUCUCUAGCAAGUUUAGACAGGUAUUCUUGGUAAGGUCUCAAUUGUUCGUCCCUAGUUUUCCAUUUUCCUUUCACUAGGCAAAUAAUUAGCAUUGAGUCUCCAUACACAUCUAUCUUUCUGAUUUUUAGCUCCAAUGCAGCCUCUAAACCGAGAAUGCAAUCUUCAUACUCAGUUGUGUUGUUAGUGCACCCAAACUGCAACUUAACUGAAACCGGAUACUGUUUCUUAUUAGGAGAGAUUAUCAUUGCACCUGUUUCGUUACCACAUACAUUUACAGCACCAUCAAAGUACAUAGUCCACCACUUUGAUUUCCCUUCCUCGACUACAAGCACAUCUUCAUCAGGAAAAUCAAAGUUUAACGGCUCAUAAUCUUCCAUAGCAUGGUCAGCUAGGUGAUCAGCGAUGACACUCCCUUCCAUGGCUUUCCUUAUCAUAUAUACUAUGUCAUAUUUAGCCAACAAAACUUGCCAUCUUGCAAUUUGGCUUGACAGAUAGGGCUUUUCGUAGAUAUACCUUAAUGGGUCUAAUUUUAAAAUCAACCACGUAGUAGAUACAACAUAUACUGACGCAAUCUCUUUGCAGCCCAUGCUAGUGCGCAACACAACUUCUCAAUCACUGUAUACCUAGACUCACAUUCCGUGAACUUCUUGCUUAGGUAAUAAAUGACGCCAAAGCCAUUGCACUGAUGAAAAGUCUUCCUGACGAUGAUCCACGUAGCUUCAAGAGCCAAGCCGACGUUCACUGCGCUUAUUGUGAUGGUGCUUAUCACCAAGCAGGCUUUCCUGAUUUAGACCUUCAAAUUCACUUCUCGUGGCUCUUCUUUCCCUGACAUAGACUCUAUUUAUACUACUUCGAAAGAAUCUUGGGUAAACUGAUUGAUGAUCCAACUUUCGCUUUGCCUUUCUGGAAUUGGGAUGCCCCUGCCGGCAUGCAAAUGCCAGCCAUUUUUACUGACCCCAAAUCACCACUUUAUGACCCCCUUCGCGACGCGAAUCACCAACCUCCGACAUUGCUUGAUCUUAAUUACGCGAAAGGAGAUGCGAAUCCAGACCCUGCAAAAGCAGAGGAAUUGUAUGCAAGCAAUCUUAACGUAAUGUACAGGCAAAUGGUGUCCGGUGCCACGAAGCCUACUCUCUUUUUUGGAAAACCAUAUCGUGCUGGUGAUGAUUCAAGUCCUGGAAUGGGUACAAUUGAGACCACCCCACACACUCAGAUUCACUACUGGACCGGCGACCCCAAUCAAACUAACGGGGAAAAUAUGGGCAAUUUCUACUCAGCAGGGAGAGAUCCCAUAUUUUAUUGUCAUCACUCGAACGUCGACCGAAUGUGGGACAUGUGGAAGAAAAUACCAGGAGGCAAGCGAAAGGAUAUCGAGGAUCCUGAUUGGCUUAAUUCAGAGUUUCUUUUCUGGGAUGAGAAUAAAGAGCUGGUUCGUGUAAAGGUUAAAGAUACUCUUGACACCAAGAAGCUAAGAUAUGGCUUUCAAGAUGUUCCUAUUCCUUGGCUGAAAACUAGACCAGCACCAAAAUUAACAAGGCAGGAAAAAUCACGUCGUGCAGCUAAAAAAACCGUUGUAUUAACACCAAUUAGUGCAUUCCCUGUUGUCUUGGAUAAAGUCGUAAGUGUGGAGGUUUCCAGGCCAAAGAAAUCAAGAAGCGCGACGGAGAAAGAAGAUGAAGAUGAAGUUUUAGUUAUUGAAGGGAUUGAGUUUGAAGAAAAUCAAUUAAUUAAGUUUGAUGUCCUCGUCAACGAUGAACCUGAUUCACCUGGUGGACCAGACAAGUCCGAGUUUGCAGGAAGUUUCGUCAAUGUGCCUCACAAGCAUGCAAAAAAAUCAAAGACAACUAUGGUAUUGGGGAUUACAGGAUUGAUGGAAGAUCCGGAAGCUGAAGGAGAUGAAACCCUUGUGGUGACUUUCGUGCCUCGGACUGGUGGUGAUUUUGUUACCGUUGCCAAUGUCAAGAUUGAGUUUGUCGCUGACUGAUCAUGGUGAUGAGAGGACAUAUGCUACCAUUUUAUUUUCUUUUCUUUUUUUCCUUUUGCCUUUUCUUGUUUUUUCUCUUUCUAUGUCAGUAUUCAGUGAGUUUUCUCUUUUUUCUUUCAAGAUGCUCAACUAAUGGACCGUAUUUCAAUUUGAAUACUACAAUGGUUUCUUAGAUUUGUUGCCAGAAGUUGAUGAACAAAAAUAACUAGACCCAUAUGGUAAAAAAUAAUUGUCAUUUUAGACUUUUUUUUAAAUGAUACAUAAACCAAAACCAAUAUGGUUUUGAAAGAAAGAAAAAAACUAAAUUUGAUCAUAAACAAACCCAUAUCAGAUCUCAAAUAAAUGAAUUACCAAGGCGGCAGAUGUCUCCCGACCCCGAAAGGUACCUUCUAUGAGAAAUUGGAAGAUGUCUUCCUUUUUUACACUUGGGUCAUUGAGAAAAGUGGAAAUGUCCACUGACGCCGCGCUUGAUCAACAUAGGUGGGUUUACUUAAUGCGGCAGUGGACGAGGAGUGUUUCGAUUGAAAAUAAGGAGGUUUUUCCUUCUACUUUUAAGAGGAAAAAAAAAGCCAAAUUUUAUAAAAUUUUCAUUGCAAUGGACAGAUAAAUACCCAAUUUUCCACACCUCUCGCCUGUAAUACAAUAUGACAUACAGUAUAAUUAGUACAAAAACGCAAGGCAGUACUAUAAUUAGAGAUUUUCUGUUUUUUCUUUUCUUUUUCUUUCAAAAGUGAACUAUAUAUCUUAUACAUUCCCCAAAAAAAAAAUCUGCCUUUUUCUUUACGUAAAAUCGUUUUUGGAAAGGCAACGUAGUUUUAUUUAUAUUUUCAUAGAGCAAAUAUUACUAAAAGAAGGUUAAAUCAAGUAUAUACCUCGAUUAAUAAUACAUGAUUAUUUUUUAUUCAGUUUGGUGUUGGAAAAAAAACAUUAAAAUAACCAAAUUAUAAAUUUUAUUUUUUAAAUUUCAAAACCAGACCAAAUCAAAAACUAUUUCAAACCAACGGAGUAUGAAUAACACGAUAGAAAAUCCUCGGCAAUAGAUGAAACAAAGGAACACUCUUAUUCAAUUCCUAAUUUGUUGAUGCCAUCAACCCUAAAAAUAGCAAAAUUUUAAAUCUUUAACUAGAAAUAGCACAAACCUACAAACAAAAACCAAUCCAAGACUAAAAAUUCCCAUUAAACAACACCCAUUUACUUCAUCACUCACUAAACAGAAAAAUGUUCAAAAUCCAAUCUUUACUUGUUUUUUAUGACCCUGAGGAAAAUAGAACACUCUUUCUCCACGCUUGAGAACAUUCACAACUGGACCUACACCUGCCUUCUCUAUAUACAAUCAUCCCCUCUAUAACCUGGAACCAGAAAGGAAAAGUCAAUUUUCUUAGGAAACAAAAAGAAUAAAAAAAAUAAAGUCAUUUCACACUUCGCCUUCAUUGUUCCCAUAUUCCUCCUCCUCCUCAUAUUCCUCUAUUCAUAGCCAUCAUUUUUCAAAACCCAACAAGCAACAGAAACAGCAACAGAAGUCAACAAAAACUUGAAGAAUCGUGCUUGAAAAAUAGAGACUUGCCAGAGAAGACAAAUGCGAGACAACUAGAGAGACAGAAGGGGGUGGGCUAUGAAUGGGGCUAUAGAGGAGAUCGAGAGAAAAGGGUGGAAAGGGAGAAGGGGGUUUGCGAUUGUGAGAGUGAGUUUUAGGGUUUAAGUCUUUUGAAGACACUUUUCUAUUUAUUUGUUUCAUCUGCUAUCGCGGUGAAUUUUAAAAAUUCAUUUCGCAGAAAGAACAAAUUUUUAUGGUAUCGCGUUUUCCAAUAAAUCCUAAUUUAGUUAAUAAAAAUUUUAUGGUAUGAAACUAGAAAUAUAAAAAAAUUAAUAUUAUUUUUUUAAAAUAUUUUGUUUAAAAUAAAUUGUCUUAAAUUACUAAGAAUUUAUUUUAUUUUAUUUUAUUUUUUAUGGUUUAUUUAUAAUAUUUUUAUCUCUAGCGCCAGUGAAUAUUCUACUUCAGAUAUUUCCAACUUUAAAGUCAAUAAAUAUUACAUAGCAAAAAAAAUAUAUGAUAUUCUUGACUCUGGCACAAUGAAUAAAUUAAUAAAAUGAAUUUAAAACAAAACAUAUAUAUUUUUAUAUUUUUUUAAAAAUAAUAAUAAUAAAGGCGAAUGGGCUAGAUGGGCCUGAGACCUAGGCCCAACCCAACCCUAACUUUUUUCUUGUUUUUCCUUUUUUUUUAGUUGGGUCCAGUCAGCCCGUACGGCCCCGCCAGGUCACUAGCCCAAGCUAGUGACCCGGCUGGGCAGCAAGCACGCGUGAUGCGUGUGGUACAAUGAUGUACUAAUUAUAAUUCACAACAACAGUAACAAGUGAAUUAGAGCAUCUCCAACAAGUGUGCUAAAUGAAAAAAAUAUUAUUUUGACUCUUUCAUGCUUAUUUUACACACUCCAAAGGAAGUACUAAACAAAAUGUUAAAAUGCAUUUUCAUUUUCUCUUUCACAAACAUUAUUUUUAUAUAUCUCUCAAAAAAGUCAAAAUCAACAAAGUGGGGUCAACAAAAAAAUAAACCAAUUAAACGUGGCUAUAUGGAAAAAAAAUAACAUCAAACUUAUUAAGAGAAAAUAAAAUACUUGUUUCUUUUACUUUAAUAUAAUUAGCUUUUCAAAUGAUUUGUUUUCAUUGGAAUAUAUAUGGAGGACUGGCCAAAGCUACUUUCUUCCCCUCUGCCUCUGUUCUUUGUGUGCUUCUCCUCUGGUCUUGCUUUUCUUUGCUUGGUUUCUUUUUGCUUCUCUUGUUCUCCCUGUCUCCCUCAGUGUCUGCUUGGUAUUCUCGUGUUGCUCGUCAUGUUCUCUGGUUUUCUUCCUUUCUUUUCAGUGUCUGUGUCGUCUGUGUUUUUUUGUUCCUGUGUUGUUCUAUGUUGGCUUGAGCUUGCUCCCAGUUGCUGGAGUUUUGACGGAGAUUCUACAAUCCCUUUCCUCUGUUUCACUCUGCCUCUGGUUUUUUUUUUCUCUGGUUCGUCCUUCCUGUAUUUGCUCGUUCGUCCCCUUCUCUCUCUAAUGGUUUUUUCUUGUCCUCUCCUCCCCUGGUUUUUCUGUUCUUCCGUUCAUUUCCUUCUUGUAUUCGCUCAUUCAUCCCCUUCUCUCUCUACUAUUUUUUUUAUCCUCUCCCCUCCCCACUCAUUCAUGGCCUUUCUUCGGCUUUUAUAAAGCCAUAGAAUGCCAAACAUUCGUGCAUCAUGGGGGCGAGGGAUAGCAGCUGGGAGACGUGGUCCAUGAUUGAAACGGUUUUGGUGCAUUCACUGUGCAUUGAUAUUCUUUAAGUUUUCUAUGUAGCUCUAGUUUAUAUUUACAAUUAAGUUUUGAAUUUUAAUAAUAUUUGCAUUUAAGUAACAAUAUUUCAUUCUAAUUAUGUUUUUAAUUCUUGAGCAGGUGUAAAAGAAAAGAAAUAGAGAGGAAAAUACUCCAAUUAAGGUAUUUUCCAACCUUAAAAUUGUUAAACUUGGUUUUUACGUGUUCGAUUGACAAAGGGAUUUUUUUUAUGGUGAUAAAAAGCCUUAACAUAGCAGAAGAAAGAAGAUCAAGAAUUCAAUAAUAUAAAGUUUUUUUUUAUUUGGUUGGGUUUUGAAGGUUUUUUGGCCUGUUUAAUUAGAUAUGUUUUGAGAUUGAAAAUGAGUUUAUAAAAGUUGUUAGCAUAAUGUUUUGAUGUUUGGAGGGGAUAAUGAAAGAUUUAGAUUUGCAUCAGUCUUGUAAUUUUUUAAUAGCCAAAUGAUUGUUGAAAAUAUUAAUUGGUCAAAACAAUUUGGAAAAAUUAACCUGACCCUUUUGUAGUUUAGUCAUCCUUUUCCUUUGCCUCCAUUCUUUAAAAAAUUAUGAUUUACAUUUUGAAGUUCAUGAGUUCCUAAAACUUCACUGCACGCCAAAACAAAUCAACAAAAAACAUUAAAUUGUUUACAAGAUUGUCAUUAUAUUUCAUUUAAUGACUAAAAAGCUUUUGGAACGUUAAAAUUAAUAAAUUGCCACAAUUUGUUUUUUAAAAAAAAACUAGCUACUGAAAAUCUUACCCUAGCUCCAUCUCUUCUCUUGUUUUCUUCUAGCCACCACAAUCACCUUACAUCUAUCAUCUCUCUUAUCACAAUACAGAAGUUACCUUACAUCCUUUUAUAAUAACACACGCACAACUACACCAGCCAUCUAACACCAUCUACUAUGCAAAGCAAGUAACAAUUGAACUUGUUUUAUCACCCUCAAGAUAAACCACUUCCACACUUGAACACUCUCAUUUCAAUAUUUGUUGUAAGAGAUAGUAGAGUUUUUGGCUCUUCUCAUUAAGAAGGGAAAAAUAUUUUCUUCAGACAUUCAAUCUAUCAAAAUUUACAAGUCUCGAACAAGUGAUAAAAGGGAAAAAUUCAUUCCCUUAGUUUACAAUCUUAAAAAGGAAAUAAAAAACACCAAUUCUUCAAGACUCCAAAUCAAUUCUCAUAGAUACUAAAUUCAAAGAAGAAACAAUUAAUUAAGAAUUUAAGAUGACAAAACAAAGCCCUUACCAACAAAACCCAAGAAUUACAACCUUAUGUGUAAAAAUAAUUAUAAUAAUUCCAUUAGGAAGUAGAAUCGUGACUCAAUAUAGAUAAAAUUACAACACAAAUAAUUUAAACCCGCCCUCCAAAAUCUUGAAAACAAAAAUCUUUAUCAAAGAACCUCCAUACCCACAUAAAAUAAACUACAAAUUAAUAACAUAAUUAAAUGAGUCUUAGACCUGAAGAGAGAAAGCAAAAGGCGAUGGGUGGGAUUAAUUUUUUAGAACAGGGCUUCACUAGGAGAGGAAGUGCUUGUUACAAGCAUUUCAGUUUUAACUAUGAGAGUGCAAUGGGCCAUGUGGAAGUGGAUCUCCAAAAUUGGUGAUGUUUUGCAAACCCAUGAUAAGAUAGAUUAUGUUGGAAGAGAGAGAGAGAGAGAUAUUGUGUUUGAAAAGAGAUAAAUUUUUAUAUGUUCUUGGGUGUUUUUGAUAUGUAAUAUACAAGGAUAAUUUGAUCUUUUUAUUUUAUUUGAGAAAUUAUUUUGAUCUAUAAUGUAAACUAUAAUUUUUAAAAGAGCAUAGGCAAGGUAAAAAAAAAAAGAACUAAACUAUAAUCAGGUUCAUCGAUGUCCUCGUCAACGAUGAACUUGAUUCACCUGGUGGACCAGACAAGUCCGGUAGUGAUAACUACAAGAUUUCACAGUUUUACCGACGAAAAUAUUCUGUCGAUCUGUGAUUCAGAGUUUGUCGGUAAUUUUUUUACCGACAAAAUCAUCAACGGGAAACGUCCAUCGGCUUUCCUUUCGUCGGUAAUACCUAAUUCCAUCACUAAAUCGGUUGGUAAAAAAAAACAAUUUCUGAUGGUUUUGCAGACGGAAAUUACGCACCAAAAAAAAUAUUUCCGCUUGAAAUAUAUCGACGGAUGUAUUCCGUCGGUGAUAGUGGCAUAUCCAGUAAAUAUUUUUCAGCUCCUGGUUAAAUGCCAACGGACUAUAUCCCUCUGUAAAUUUGUCGGUGAGUGGUGAAAUGCUGACAGAAUUUAUCCGUCUGGAAAUUCAUUGGGGAUUGUGAAAGCUACUGUGACAUGCCGACGGAUAUAGUCCGUCUGUAAAUCCCUCGGUGAUUAUUUUUAAAUAUUUUUAAAAAAACUUAUUUAGAAUAAAUAAUAUAAAAUUAUAUAAAUUAAUAGAAAAAAAAACAAUUAUGCAAAUAAAAUUUUUAUUAAACAUCAAAAACAAAAGAAAUAAUGUUAAAUAAUAUUCAUUACAAAUUGAAUGUGUUUCAAAAACAAAUAUUAAAUUAACAUAAUGACGAAGCUGGAGGAGGAGGCUGGUUGUUAUAAGGCCAAAAAGGAGGCACACAUGUAUCACCACUCUGUGAUGUCAUGUUCAUGACCAAUUGGUGAAGCUGUUCAUAAUUCACCGAGAGGUUCUCAUAUUUUUCGGUGAGCUGAGCCGUGUGUUGUUGCAAGGCCACGAACUCCUUAGAUUGGGUGCUCGAUACUGAUUGGGAGCUCCCAACGGUUGAUACACUACGGGCUGCCCGCAAGUUCUCGACUGUAGUGGUGGAGAGCUCGUACACUUGAUUUUUAUCCGGUCCACCGGACGAUCCAACCACUAUCCACAAAUCCGGAUCGAAAUCCAGAUGGGUCGAAAGAUCGUCCCUAUAUCUCUCCCUCAACCGGCUAUUAUAGGUCUCUUGAAAAUGAAAAAAGAAAUCAUCAUAUUCAAUUCAAUAAAAAUAAUAACUUACAAAAUAAAAUGUUUGAACAAACAUACCACAAAGUGUUGAGCACGGUCGUCAACGAACUGUUUGCGCCUCCUUUUGACGGUCUUUACUCCGCACGUGCGUCUCAACAAACAGCUCAAUUGGGCUCGUCUCACAUCCAAGAGAUGUAGCCUGUAAUGAAAAAAAAUAAUUAACAAAUUAUUUAAUGAUAUAUUUCAUUUAAAUUAAUCUUAUUAUCCGUUUCGCAUAUGCAGCAAACAGAACGGAGCUGCUGGUGUGUGUUGUCACCGAGCCAUGAAUUGGCCGGUUCUGGUUGCCAGCACCAGACUGUGAGCGUUGUGUGAACCGCUCAGACAUCACGUGCUCAAGAUAUUGUAGCCAUAUAUCUGCCAGGAUGUAUAUCGGUUUGAAAUCCCUCCAAAUCGCCAUGUCGUUCCAGCCUUGGAGACCCUUAUAACUCGCGUUUUUUUUGCCUUUUUUUGUGCUUCAUAUAAAAAAUCAUGCAACCUACUUUCAUAGUGAGAAAUUAGAUUUUGAAACAUAAAUAUUUUUCUAAAAAAAUCUUGUAUUGUUUUCGAUGUUACCUAGUUGCCGCGUGAAUUUCCCACACCCUCCUCACAAUAGUGUCAUGCCCACUGUCCCAGUCAAAUUUGUCCGGUGUAUAAAUAAUUAAUUUUUUAAAAAAUAAUAAUUUAUUCACAAUUAUAUUAAUAAUUUAUUAGAAAUAAGUUGAAAAUUAGAAAUUAACACCAAUCUCAAAUCUAUCAAACCAUGCAUUGAUUUGAGGUAUCCAUUCAGGAUGUCUGGAUACCUGACUCCAUUGAAAUAAUAGAAUCUUCAUCGAUGAUUUAAAUGCCGAUGAUAUUACUCGGGCGGCCUCAAUGUUUGUGAACCUAAAAAUAAAUUAAAUUAAUGAAAUAUUGAUUAGUUGUUCAUAAAUAUGUUAUAAUUUAAAAAAAAAACUAAAAAUUUAACAAACUUACAUUGAAAGGUCGUCCUUCCACAAUGCCUCAUACUUGUGGGUGAAUUGAUUCCGCUGCGAAGGCACGCCGCCUCUGCGCUGUGAAACCGCGCUGGAAGAGGCAGCAUCGGUUGACGGCGCAGGUGCCUUUUCUUAACAGGCACCUAAGGAUAUCUCAUCCUCGCUGCUAGAAGAACUAGCUGCGACCAUACGUGAGCGACGAGCUAUGGAUUUCGUUCUAUGCAUCUACACAAUUUUAUACUAAUAAUUAUAUAAUUAAAUUCGAAUGUUAAAAAAAAAAAUUGAUAGCACCUCCCCUAUACUAGAGACUACCCAAACUUUUCAAACCUGUAAAUAUUGACAAUAGCCACAACCAAUUGACCCCAUCUAUACUAAUCUUGUAUAUAACAUAACAUCUAUACAAAUAACAUCCAUACUAAUUACAAGGUAAAUUCAACAAUAACAAUUAAAAUUCUACAAAUUAUUCAAUUAUUAUGGUAAUACAAACAAUAAAAUAUAUUCAAAAAAUUCAAAAAAAAAAACUAUAGACUAACACAAAUCAUGCAAUAAUAGAGUAAAAUUGAGAGAAUAAUUAAAUUUAUUCCAACAUAUUCAAUUACUAAUUGCAAGGUAAAUUCAACACUAACAAUUACAAUUCAACAAAUUAUUCAAUUAUUAUGGCAAUACAAACAAUAAAAUAUUGCCAAUAAAUUUUUUUAAAAAAAAACUAUAGACUUUAGGAAUGAAAUAUACUUACCUUAAUAAUGUGUUUAUUUCAAAACUUUAUCUACAUUAUAAAAAUACACCAAAACAAAAAACAUAACAAAACUAACAAUAGCUAAAACAAAGAAAAAAAAAUCCUUAAAGUAAAAUGAAGUAGAGGAAACACAUACCUUUUAAUUUUAUAAAGAUCCAAGUAGAGAUUACAAGCAAAACAAACAAAAGUCUUGAAGAAAAUGAGAGGAAAAAAAUAAAAAAUGAAAGGGGAAUAACGGAGCAGAUGAAAAAAUGAACUGAAGGGGCGGUUGCUGGGAUUUAUAGCGCAGUUGUACCGAUGGAUGCACCGACGGACAUUAAAAAAUAUUAUUUUAAAUUAUUAUAUCGGUGACUUUUGAAUUUCGCACCAUUAUUUUUUAAUUACCCUUCAUAUUUUUCGCAGUUCGUCGGUAAUUCCGUCGACAACAACACACGGUUAGAGAUGCAUUUAAUGCCCCGCCCUUGGGAAUUCACACUGUUCGUCGGUAAUUUUGUUGAUAAUUUUGACAUGUCGACAACAUACCGACAGACUGGAAUUCGUCCGUAAAAUUGUCGAUGAUGGUUGUGGCAUUUCCAGUACCGCUACUAUGAAAUGCCGAUGGACUGGAAUCCGUCCGUAUAGUGUGUAAGAAAGAUGAUGUUUGUAUUACCUAUUUACUUUCCUGCAAAAACUUAAAUGAUAAAUUGUCCAUCACACAAAACAAUAACAACAAUGCUUAAACAAUACAAACUUAUAAAAUAAAUAUUUCGUGUUACAAAAUAUAUCAUCCAUAAUAUAUAUUACAUGAAAAAAAUGUUUUACACAUGGCUUCAUUCUGAUUGUUAGUUAGAAUUUUCUUCUUCUUCGUCGUCAAUUGAAUAGUCAUCACCUUCAUCGCAAUCUUCAAUAUGGAUAUCAUCAUCUUCAUCGACCUUUGCUUGUCUGCUAGAGCUCAAAACAACAUUCAACUCCUCUGCAUCAACAUCAACAAGACUAUUAUCGAAAACAUGAAAUUUAAAUUUUCUUUCAAGUCAAUCGAAGGAGAAACUCGAUAUGGUUCAACCAACUCACUAACUUGAAAGACUUCAUCUCGCACACUUGUGUCUUUGUUCUCAUCCUGAACAACCUCGACACGACCCCUGGGUUUCCUUUUUAAAACGGAUAACCAAUCAACUCUUGAUCGAUCCUUUCUAAAGAAAGGGGUGUAUGUGUAAUAAACUUGUUGACAUUGCUUUGCGAAAACAAAGACAUCGUUUACGUUGCGGAGUCUAGCUUUUGAGUUGAUUUCGACCAAACCAUAGUGCAGAUCAACUCUGAUUCGUCUGUCAGUCGUGUCAUAUCAAUAGCAUUAGAAUAAAAACACUAUAUUCUACUCGCUAUGAUAUUGCAGUUUGACAACCUCUUCUAAUCUACCAUAGUAGUCAACUUCUAACUCACUACUAGUCGAUCCCUUAACACAAACACCGUUGUUGUAUGUCUUUCUUCCAUGCCCGUAUUGUUUAGUAUGAAACACAUAUCCAUUGAUAAAAUACCCGUUGUAGCACUUCACUUUUCUUUCAGGGCCCAGGCUUAGUGAAGACAAUGACUUAACAUCACUCCUUCCCAUUUGAUAAACCUUGUAUGUAAUGUACAUCAAUGAACAGUAAACGAGAAUCUCAUAAUGACAUGCAUACAAUAAUUUUGCAAGUGAUAAUGAGUUUGUGAUAGUACUUACAUGUGUUCUGAACCACGUGGAAAAUUAUUCAUCUUGUAAUUGAAAUAUCUGAGAUUCAGUCAACUAUGAGUUAUAGGACAACAAAUAUUGUCGAUGUUGCUUGCAAGUGAUAAUGAGUGUAUGAUAUCACAAUAUAUAAAUAGUAUAUUAUUAACAAAGUUUAAUUAGUAGUACACAUAUAUAUACUUACUGAAUAAAAGGUCUCAGCUCAUCACAGUUAAAUAGAACAUAAUUGUGUGCUUGUUUUAAAUUUAUUACCGACAAAUAUCUUCCUCUUACGACAUUUUUAGGUGUGGGUCAUCCAGGAUUGGAGAAUAUUGACAAGUUCCCACUAGAAGGCACUUCACCGCCAUCAUCAUACCGUGGAAUGCGAUUGAUUCUCGUUCUCAGAUGAGGUUUGAAAUAGUACGUGAUAAAUGUUAAAAUCUCCUCAAUAAUAUAGGCCUCACAUAUCGAAGCCUCAACAUGCGCCUUGUUCUUAACCUUUUUCUUGAGAUUGAAUAAGUACCUGCAUUGAAUUAAUCAAAUAUUUUCAAUUAAGAAAAACAAAGAAAAUACUUUUAUAUAUGAAUUACAUUGCAACUGUAAUAUCUAACCGUUUGAAUGGAUACAUGCAUCUAUACUGGACCGGUCCUCCAACUUUUGCCUCGAAUGAUAGAUGUAUGGGGAAAUGCUCCAUUGAGUCAAAAAAUGACGAAGGGAAUAUCAUCUCAAGUUUGCAUAGUAUCUCGACGAUAUUCGUUUCAAGCCUCUCAAUGUGAUCAACAUUCAACUUGCUGGAACAUAUAUCUCUAAAGAAAUGAUUGAUCUCCGUGAGUGCAUCCCUUAUCCCUUUUGGCAACAAAUCACGAAAAGCUAAUGGGAUGAGUGUUUGCAUAAACAUGUGGCAGUCAUGACUCUUCAUUCCAUACAAUCUGCAUUCCUCCGUAUUAACCAGCCUUGAUAUGUUCGAGGCAUGUCCAUCGAGAAAACGCAGACUCAUAAGUCAUUUGUAGACUAAUAGUUGUGCGUUUUUCUCUAACACAAAGCUUGCUUUUGGUUUUGCGACCCGUGACCCAUCUCAAACCAACUCCAUAUUUUUACGGUUAUAGAACAAAGUUAUAUCCAAUCUAGCCUUAAUGUUGUCCUUUGUCUUCCCCUUCAUAUCCAUGACGGUGUUGAAAAUGUUCUCAAACAUGUUCCUUUCAAUAUGCAUGACGUCAAGGUUAUGGCGAAGCAGAUUGGUCUUCCAAUAAGGAAGCUCCCAAAAGAUACUUCGCUUUACCCAAUUAUAGGUCAAACCAAAACCAUGAAACUUCUGCUUACCUAAUUGCAGACCAAACACAAUGUCACCGUACUCUGAUACAACAUCAUGCAAUUCUUCACCAAAAAGACGUGGAUAUGCAACAUCCUUUUCAACUCUGCCAACAAAGAAAUCUUUUUUGCUCUUUCUGUACCUAUGAUUCUAUGGCAAGAAACGACGAUGACAGUAAAAAAAAAAGCUUUACCUCUGUUUGUUAGCGUGAAUGCCUUGUUGUUUUCCAUGCAGUAUGGACAUGCUAGUUUUCCAUGCAUACUCCAACUAGAAAGCAUUCCAUAAGCUGGAAAAUCAUUAAUAGUCCACAUCAAAGUCGCCCUUAUAACAAAAUUUUGUUUCCUCGAUAAAUCAUAAGUCAAAGCUUUGGAGGAACUGCGCCAAUUCAUCAAUCAACGAUCGAAGACACAUCUAUAUUCCGGCCCGGGCUGCUUGGACCGGGUAUGACAGUAGAUAAAAACAUGAACUCCAACCUCAUACACAUUUUCGGUGGCAAGUUAUAAGGAGCAGCAAAUGACCCGAAUGGGCUGAAUCUGUUUGUACACAACCCAAGACACAUGUUCCUUGAUUCAGUUGAAAAGUGAGGAUGCACACUGUUAAAGUGUUUCCAUGCUUCGUCGUAAGAAGGAUGCAUCAUCACUCCAUCAACCAUAUCAUGUGAUUGGUGUCAUGUCAUGUGCUCAGUAGUCCUUGGUGACAUGAAUAACCUCUGCAGUCUAGGUGUGAUUGGGAAGUAUCUAAGUUUUUUAUAUGCCACUAGAGUCUUUCCCCUGCCAGUUCUGGGUUUGUAACGAGAAUGCCCAUAUGUCAUGCACUCGGUCAGCUCAGCAUUUCCAAGGUAGUAUAACAUGCAAAAGUUAUGGCACAUGUCAAUUUUCUGGUAUCCUAAACCGAGGGGUUUCAUCAUGGACUUCGCAGCAUAGAAGUUCUCUUUCAGCCUGUUCCCUUCAAGUAAAAUGCUUAUUGCCUAUUCAAUAAUUUUGUCAUACCUGACCUCACUCAACCCGUGAUCUGACUUUAUGGUGAACACCUGUGCUAUGACUGAUAAUUUACUGUGGUUCAUGCAGCCAUCCCAUAAUGGUUCGUUAGAAUCUUUCAACAAAUCAAAAAACCUAGCUGAAUCUACAUUAGGUUCUUCUUCUACGAUUGGACAUUAACUGACAUUACCUUGAUUCAUUCUCAUUGCAUCCAUAACCAUAUUCCUAUAAGGAUUAGUGUUGUCACUUGCCACUUCAUGCAUGUUGCUAGCAUUAGAAGUUGACCCAACCACCCUUUCUCCCAUGCUCUUAUUACGAACAAAUACUUCUCCCUUUGUGUAGAAGAUGCAUCAUUACAAUAUCUGGAUGUAAAUACUUUUUAUUUUGACACUUCCUGAAUGGACACCUAAUACCGCCUCUAGUAAAAUUUUUGGGAAUAGAUGUGAAAUUAAUAAAACCCUAAACCCCAUUACAAUAAUUCAUCCUCCGCAAUCCUUGGGGUGAAUCUCAAUACAUCCAUGACUUCAAUCGAACCUCUAUAAAAUUAUGAUGACAACAUAUAUUAAUUAACUAUGUUAGGUAAAUAAAUUUGCAAAAAUAUUGGUUUACCUCAAGAUUAUCCAACAAACUAAUUACAACUUCUCAUAAAUAUUAAAUAUUCAUUAUCAAUUAUCAACGUCCAUACAAAUUAAUACAUAUAAAUUUACGGAAAUUACAACUUCGCAAUACUAUUGAUAAAAAUUAAAACGGACUCGUUAAAUAAGCUAUUAAUUAUUUCAAAACAACACAUAUAAUUCGAUAAUUCAAUAAAGUUUCAACAAUUCCAAACAAAUACAAUUUUACAAAAUCUAAAACAAACCAUAACAAGUACGAAAUUAUACAUUCAUAUACUACAAGUUUGUUUGAGAAAUAACAAUAAAACAUGUACAUAUACUAACAAAAUACAUAUACUAAAAAAACAAUAAAAUUGACAUUUAAAUGUUAAAAUUUUAAAAGAUAGAAUUACUUACAAAAACUGAUAAAAUAUGUUGGUAAAUCAGAACACGGAUGUUGUGACCACAAAACUUAAAGAAAUAUGACUUGUUGUGCUGAGAAGAGGGAGAUUUUUUUUUAGGGGGGCUAGUUGUUUGCAGUAGGGGAGCGUUGGGAUGGGGAAGAAGAAAGAGAAAUAGGGGAGGAGAGGGUCGGCAGAGUGGUCAUAUAUUAACUUUUGUCGAUGGAAUCACCGAUGAACUACUUCUGUCGGUGAUUCCGUAGGCAAUUUUGAAGGUGAAUCAGUCUCGUCACUGUACGAAGAUUCCGGUUUGAAUCCCUUAGUGAUUCCGUCGGCAAUUCGAACAGUGAAUCGGUCACGUCACUGUAUGGAGCUGCCGGUGUAAAUCCCUCGGUGAUUCCAUAUAUAAAAUCACCUGCAAAAACAUCCACAUCAGCGAACCGUCUUUUUUUUUAAUUCUGAAUAUUUCGUCUGUAAUUCUGAAUAUAUAAAAUUAUAAAUAAUUAAAUAAAAAUAAACCUCAAGAAAUAUUUCAAGACAUCAAGGAUAAAAGACUAAUUUACUCCUGAUAAUGUAAGUUAGUUAUUCGUUUUUACUCAUGUUUUUUAUCAAAAUAAUUUUUAUUAGUAGCGUGUUUGUUUAAUUAAAACUAUAGGUAAUUGAAAUAAUUUUUCUCUCUUUUUUCUUUUCAGUAUCCUAGAGGCGGCUUGAAAUCCAUGCUCAUGUUUUUUCUUGUUUUUCUUCUCUUUGGUGAGUUUCAAUUUUUCUCUUCUAUUGUACUGUCGCAUAUGUGCGUUGUCGCGGUGAAAAAACAUUCACUCUCAAAAUUAUAUGUAUCUAUGUGGCAAAUAUAGGAAGACAAGGAAUUCUUAUCUUUUAUUAGUAGAAAAAUAGAAUGGGAAUCGCCACCUAAUAUUUUGGUCACUAGGAACCCUAACUGGUCUCAGAGAUCGAGUACGGACACUGGUUGCGUAAAAGAAAGGUAUUAGCACCCCAAAUACGCUCUGCCUAAGGUAAGCUGCAUUGUUUUAUUGUCUGAUAAAAUCUAAGCUCUUGUCGUGUUUUCUAGUUUCUGAUCUGUUUAUGGUUUAAGAAAAGUCCUCCUCGGUAAGGAGGUCCUUAUCUUAUCGGGUAAAAACCUAACCAUUCUAAAGUUAAAAAACUAUCUUUUUAAUAUCGAGACUACGCCUUAUAUAUAAGCGCGUUAUCCUUAAUAUUAAAAGAAAAAAAUAUUUGUUUUUGGAAUUUUUGAAAUAUUGGUCUAGUUCUCGUGACUUUAAUAAACGGGUUAUUAAAGUCAAAAUACAUGCUAAAACAUUUGUUUUUUUUCUUUUUUUUGAGAGACUUGGCCGUAUGAAAACAAAAUAUUUUUAAAAUUUUUUUAAUGUUUUGACGAAAACCACGUAUUUUAAUACCGGAUUUGUAUCUUUACAGUAUACAAAUACAAACCAAUAUAAAUCAAAAUGUCGUUAAACAUUUAUGCAGAAAAAUCACAAAUUUCAAAAAAAAAAUUAAUUUUUUUGUAUGGGCUGGACUCGGCCCAAGAGAAAACUAGACCGAGAUCUGGCCAAAAUGAAAUCGGGCCAGAACUGACCCAAAAGAGAACCUACUUGUGGUGGGACUCAACCCAGCCGCGUGGGGUGGGUUGAUGUUCCAGCCCAAAACAAAUCAAUGUAUUGGUUGCUGGUUACUCUGCUGAGCACAAUAACUAGUGAAUUAUAAUUAGGUGGUUACUGAAUUGCUCACGUUCUGCAUGCAAAUGAAGAAGAACAAAAAAUGGACAAAGGAGGAGGGAAGGUUACCUGCAAUGAGGGAGCGUGGUUGCUGUCUCUGGUGGCUUGUGGGGGCGGCGGCGGCGGCUGGGAACUCCAGUGAUUCUUCUUCCAAACGUGGUGGUUAUGCAGUGAGGACCUGCUGCGCCGGUCGAUGGUUCUUCUCCUCCUGAGAGUGUGAUUUAUUUUUUUUGCUUUGUCUCUACUCUUCUUGCUUCUCUCUUUCUCUUUUAUUUUCUUUUCUUUCGUUUCGUUCACUCUUUCUCUCUUCUCUGUUUUUGUUUCCCUCUUUCCCCUCUCCUUCUUCCCACCUCUGUUCUCCCCUGUUUCCUUCUCUCUAUCUCCCUAUCUCCUCUGUUCUUCUUUCGAUUUCUCUUCCCAAUACCCCUCUGUUUUGGUUUCUUUAUUUAUUCAUUCUCCCGUCAACUCCCCCCUGUUCUGUUGGUUUCCCCCUCCUCUCUGUCUCUGUCUCUAUCGUUUUGUUUUUCUUCUCCCCUGUUCUGCUCUGUCCCCCCUUCCUUUCCAAAACUUUCCCCGACACUCUCUCCUUCUCUUCCUUCUCUAAUCCUCCACUGUUCUCUCUUUCUCCUCUGUCUGUCCUUGUCUUUCCUCCUCCCCUUUCUUCAGUACAUCCUCUGGCCAGAGGAUGCAGGCGUUUUCAUUUGUUGUUGCAGGGACAGAGUAACGGCCGGCGUGCAUGGUGGCGAGUGAUAUCAGCCGUGAGACAUGCCUCCUUGAUUGAAGCAAAUCAGCGCCUUCGCUGCUGCAUCGUCUCUCGGCCAGCUGCACACAACGUCUUCUGAAGAAAACAGUGUUCAGUGAAACGGCACCGUUUUGCAACUUUAAAUGAUAUUUCUGAUUUGGUCCUUGGAUGUUUUUGCAAUUUUGUAAUCAAACCCCGGAUAAAUUAUAAUUGGAUCCCUUGAUAUUAGCACCUUUUCCGGUUUAGUUCUUGGUUUCGGAUUGUUUCAAUCAAGUCCCUAAAUGACCAUCAAUAUUCAAUAAUUAUGCAAUUGAGCUCCUUAUUUAACCAAAUCAACUCUUCAAAAUUAUAAUUGAACCCCACAACUUUAAUUGACUUAAAAAAUAAUUUUUCUUGCAAUCAAACCCUCCAUAAAUUCAAUUAAACAUUAGAUAAAAUUUAAUUGAGUCCAUAAACAUAUGAUUUUGGACUUUUUUUUUCCUCCAAUUGAAUUUUCCUUGUCAAUAGAGCUUUCAUUAGUUAAAAAUAUACUGUUAAAUUUUUUUUUUAUAUUUUUGAACCUCCUCAAUCAAUUUCUGGUCAUUUUAUGAGCAUUCAACAUCCUUUUCUCGCUUCUAUUAUUUCUUUGAAUUUUUUUUAAAUAUAUAUUUUUUGUAUUUUUUUUAAUAUUUUGUGUGGAAGCCCAAAAGGAGUAAUAACACAUAAGUUCAAUUAAAGGGCCCUAUCCCAUUGUUUCUUUAAAGACUUCAGUAGAUUUGUGACGCCUAGUUAAAGGUCGGAAGAAAUAACUUGCUUUCUCUAUUCAAUAAAAUAAAAUAAUAAUAAUAAUAAUAAUAAUAAAAACCUCUCUCAUUCUUAUCUGAUGAAGGAAAAGGACAAAAGAUAUGGGGUGGAAAAGAAAAGGUGAAAAGAGAACAAUAUAUAUAUUCUCCAUUUUAAAAUAUGUAUUUUUAUAUUUUGAAAUGCAAAUAUAAAAAUAUGGUGUUAUUAAUUUAUACUUUGCCUUUGAGCAUACAUAAUACAUUACAUUUCAUGGAAUCGUUACUUUAAUUAAAAACCCAGCAACAUCGUGAAGGAAAACAAAAGGCAAGAAGAAGACAAAUAAGACCCCGUUUGUUUGCUGGAAAGUAGUUUCCUUUUGAAAAGUGAAUUCCGGAAAAGUGAAUUCCGAGAAAAUGAAUUAUUUUUUUAUGUUUGAUAGUGUAAUUGAAAAUAAGUUGGAAAACACUUUCCAGUGUUUGGUUAUGUCAUGGAAAAUGAGCUGGAAAAUAACUUAUUAAUGUUUUAUUUUUCUCAAGUUUAUUAAAAUAAUGAGGAACAAAUCUUACAAAUUAAAAAGUUGAAUGAGAAUGAAAUUGAAAAAAAAUAUAAUUUCAUAAAUUAUCUCAAAUAAAAUAAAUAAUAAUCAAAAUAAUAGAGAUCAAAUCUAAAAAAUAAAAAAAAAUGAAAGAUGAAGAAAUCAAAAUAAUAAUAAUUAACAUUUCAUAAAUUAUUUUAAAUAAAAUAAGUAACAAUCAAAAGAAUGAGGACCAAUUUGAUAGAUAAAAAAUUUCAAUAAAAAAAUGAUAAGGAAAAAGCAAAUAACAAUUAUAAAAAUGAGGACCAAAGUUAAUAUAAAAAUUAAAUUUUAAGAGAUGAAAUUGAAAAAUAAAUAAUCAAAACAAAAUAUAUAUAGCAAUCAAAAGUUUGAGGACCAAAUUUGAUAUAAUCAGCAAAUAAUAUGACAUUUCUAAAUUUUUCACAACUUCCGGAAAGUGUUUUCCGCCCAAAUUUUCAAGGAAAACACUUUCCUGGAAACCAAGCCAAAUUUUCUUUUGAUUGGAAAGUGUUUUCCGUUGACCAACUUUUCUAAUGGCAAACAAACACAUGAAAGUUUGGAAAAUGGUUUUCCGGAAAGUGAAUUCCGGGAAACAAACAUAGCCUAAGAGUGCAAGACCCCGAAAGGUACCUCCUACCUCGUGAAUGAUCUUAUGAGAAAUUGGUAAAUGUCUCCCUUUUUCACACUUGGGUCAUUGAGAAAAGUGUGUGGCCCAGCCACCGUGCAAUAUCCACUGACGCCACGUUUGAUUGUAGGUGGGUUUGCUUAAUGCGGCGGUGGACGAGGAGUGUUUCGAUUGAAAAAGAGGAGGGUUUUCCUUCUAUUUUUAAGAGAGAAAAAAAGAGCCAACUUUCUACACCUCUUAUCAAGGAAACUAAUGAAUUCAAAUCACUGCCAAUUCAAGCGUAGCUGUCACACGAGAAAUGCCAGAUUUUGUGCUUUCCAUAACUAUAGGAUCAGUCUGUUAUUCCUGCAAAUAUUACUAUUGAUUCUGAUUGUAAAUAUUCGUCCCUUACACACAUUCGAAUCUCUGAAAUUAAGCUCUCAGGGUUGUAUAAAGAUUACAAGAAAUGAAUGGAAAAUGUGUGAGUUGUAUUACAAUAAUAUUGCAGUGUAAGUUGCUUUAUGGUAUUAGAGCCUGAAAAUCUCUAAAGAGUAUUCAUCCUUCUUACUUCCUUCUUUCUGCUUCCUGCAAAAUGACCACCAUCUAUGCAUCUACCACCAACUCACCAAACUCACCCAUCAUCACAAUCAAUGCUGCCACAACCAUCAACGAAAAACUCAUCCCCUCUACUUUUCCUCAGUGGAGGGCUCAAUUUGAAGCCUUACUCAUUGGCUAUGACUUUAUUGAUUUUGUAACGGGUAUACACCAAUGCCCUGCCAUUGAUACACUGAAUUCCACUGCCUCUAAAGCUACGAAUUCCCACUGGAUUCGCCAAGACAAGCUCAUCUUACAUGCCAUCCUCACCUCCACCUCCACCACCAUUACCCCUCUUCUUGCUGCCUAUAAAACAUCCCAUGAGGCUUGGAUAGCACUUACCCGUUUAUAUACGGGGAAAUCAAAAACGCGUGUGAUGCAGCUCAAAGAAGAUUUGACCCUGAGCAAUCGUGGGUCUCGCACAGUUACUGAAUUCCUUCAAGGAAGCAAAGUGAUUGCUGAUGAACUAGCAAUCAUUGAUCAUCUAGUUUCAGAUGAUGAUUUAACUCUAUACAUACACAAUGGAUUGGGUAUUGAAUUCAGAGAAAUUGCAGCUCCCAUUCGUGCCCGCGAGACUUCUCUGAAAUUUGAAGAAAUUCAUGACCUUCUUGUCAAUCAUGAGAGUUAUCUUCGGCGGCUUGAGCACCAAUCUGCAACCCAGUUUGUACCCACUACUAAUUACUCUAGUCGAUGGAGCCCUCAGUUUUCUUCUUAUUCCAGAUAGCCUAAAUGGUGCCCCCCAGUUGCUUCUCAUAACUCUCGUGGACACAGUAGGCCUCACAGAAAUGGGUCAUUCAAUUCGGGUCACAGGAGGUUUAAACUGAAAUGUCAAUGGUGUGAUCAACUGGGUCAUACAGCAAAACAAUGUCCCAAAAUGUCUACUUCUGAUUUCACUGCAAAUUGUGCAGCUUGCUCUCAACAAAAAAAUCACAAGUGGUUAGUUGACUUAGCAGCAUCUCACAAUAUGACCACUGAUCUCUCUAAUCUGAUGAUUAAUUCUGAAUAUGAUGGUACUGAUGAGGUGGUAAUUGGUGAUGGAUCAGGUUUGCCCGUGUCUCAUAUUGGGUCCUUGUCUCUUAAAUCGUCCAAUCAUGUCUUUCAUUUACGUGACACUCUUUGUGUUCCAACCAUUCAUAAAAAUCUCAUUUAUGUUCACCAUUUUACCAAGCAUAACAAUGUUUAUAUUGAAUUUCAUCCUACUUAUUUUUUGGUAAAGGAUCGGAUCACGGGGGCGAUACUACUCAAAGUCGAUUGUGAAGAUGGAGUGUACCCAUUUCCGGAGCAUCUACCAUCCACCAAGAAAAAUAUUGUUGCCUAUGUUCAUGAACGUACUACACCUGAUGGAUGGCACAAACAUCUUGGUCAUCCAUCGUCCAAAUUGGUUCAUCAUCUCAUUCAUGCUUUUUCUUUACCUACCAAUAAAAUGGUCAUUCCUCUCUGUGCACUUCAUGCUCUCAAAAUAAAGCUCAUUGUCAAACAUUUAGUACUCAUGGACUUACCAGCACUACUCCAAUUAAAUUGAUUUACACGGAUGUUUAGGGCACAUCUCAUGAUCUUGCAAUUAAUGGCUUAAAAUAUUAUAUUAUUUUUGUUGAUCAUUAUACCAAAUAUAUUUAGCUUUAUCCCAUGACUCAUAAAUCAAAUGUUCAAACCAUUUUUCCAUAAUUUCGUAAUCUUGUGGAAAAUCGAUUCAACAUAAAAAUUAAAAGUCUUUAUUCUGAUAAUGGUGGGGAAUAUAUUGGCCUCAAAAUUUAUCUUUCUGUCCAUGACAUUAGUCACUACACUACUGCUCCCCACACUCCCCAACAAAAUGGUAUGUCUGAAAGGCGACAUUGCCACCUUGUUGAAACUGGUCUUACCUUACUCACCGAUGCUCAUAUGCCUCUCUCUUAUUGGCCCUAUGCAUUUCAAAUUGCUGCCUAUCUUAUCAAUCGCAUGCCCACCGUUACCUUGAAUAAUCAAUCUCUGUUUGAAAAAUUAUUCAACCAAAGGCCCAACUAUCUCAAGCUCAAACAGUUUGGUUGUCUCUGUUAUCCGUUAACUCGGCCAUAUAAUAAAUAUAAACUUAAGCUGAAAUCUAAACCAUGCACAUUCAUGGGUUACAGCCUAUCCCAAAAUGCAUAUUUAUGUUUUGAGCCAUUAACCAAAAAAAAUCAUCACCUCUUGACACGUAAGUUUUCAUGAAGGGUCCUUUCCUUUUCAUCAACCAGAUCAUAACAGUUCCCAUCCUUCUCCAUCUGUUGAGCAACAUUCAUCUGUGAUGAUCUUGUUACCAAAGCUUUCUUUUGCUAGUCCCAGCACUUCUCCGGAUGUGGGUACUGAAGUCUUGCCAUCAUCUGAGCAUGGGUCACCCUCUGCACCGUCUCCUCUCCAGAUAAGUACUCCCUCUUCUCCCUUGCUUUUAAAUCCAAAUACUUCAAUAUAAUUGUUUGCCCCUACUAUCUCUGAAAACACUGAGGUGCCAGUCCACCGCAUGACUACUAGGUCCAUGAAAGACAUCCAUAAACCAAAAAAAUCCUUCCUUGUUACCAAACAUCCUGUCCCAUCAUCCUUGGAACCCUCGAGUGUUACUGCAGCACUCACUGAUUCCAGAUGGCGUAAAGCCAUGUCCUCAGAAUUAACUGCUUUAAUGUGUCACAAUACCUGGCAAUUAGUACCCCCUCCAACUGAUUGUAAUAUUGUUGGCUGUAAAUGGGUGUUUCGGGUUAAAAGGCAUGCUAAUGGAUCUGUUGAUCAGUUCAAAGCCAGGCUAGUGGCCAAAGGGUUCAAUCAGCGACCAGGACUGAAUUACAAAGAGACAUUCAGUCUUGUUGUUAAAUUAGUCACCAUACAAACUGUCUUAGCUAUUGCUGUGAUGCAGGGUUGGUCUUUGAGGCAAUUGGAUGUUAAUAAUGCAUUCCUUCAUGGGCAUCUCACUGAAAAAGUGUAUAUGAAGCAACCUUCUGGUUUCAGGAAUCCGGAACAUCCUGAUUAUGUUUGUUGUCUUACCAAGGCCAUCUAUGGCCUAAAACAAGCACCUCGUGCUUGGUACUCUGCACUUAAACAUGCACUAACAGAGUUUGGUUUCAUUAAUUCUAAAUCUGACUCAUCUCUAUUUGUGUUUCAUACUAGUUCUACUAUUGCCUACUGCCUAGUGUAUGUUGAUGAUUUGAUUAUUACAGGCAAUAAUUCAGUUUUUGUUGCAAGCAUCAUUGAUCAUCUUGGCCAGAAAUUUUCCAUCAAAGACUUGGGGUCACUGCAUUUUUUUCUUGGUGUUGAGGUCAUUCCUACUACAGCCGGCUUGUUUCUCACUCAGCACAAGUAUAUCAGAGAUUUACUUGCCAAGACUAGUGUGGACGGUGCUAGGGAUGUCACCACACCUCUCUCAACAUCUGUUUCCUUACAACUGGAUGAUGGUUCCUUCUCUGUUGAUUCCACCGAAUAUUGUCAAGAUAUUGGCGCUUUGCAAUACAUGUCCCUCACACGACCUGAUAUCAACUUUGCUGUCAAUAAACUCUCCCAGUUUAUGCAUUUUUCAUGGUGUUACUAUCAGCAAAACAUCCAACACCAUAUUGACUUGUUUCUCGAAUGCUGAUUGGGCUGAUAGUCUGGACGACAGGAAAUCCACUUCAGCCUACCUACUAUUCCUUGGUAACACACCAAUUUCCUGGAGUUCUAAAAAGCAACGUGUAAUUGCACGAUCAUUAACUAUAGCCGAGUAUAGGGCUUUGGCAAUGGCUGCAACAGAGUCCGUGUGGCUACUAUCCUUGCUCCAAGAACUGAAGUUUAGUCUAUCACAGCCACCACUCCUCUUAUGUGAUAAUAUGGGUGCAACACAAGUGAGUUUUAAUCCUGUCCAACAUUCUCGGAUGAAAUAUAUACAGAUUGAUAUUCGCUUUGUGCGAGAUUUGGUUGCGAAAAAUAUUCUUGUUGUUCAACAUGUCCACACAACUGACCAGCUAGCUGAUCUGCUCACCAAGCCUCUCUUCAGGCAAUGAACAGAUUUCCUAUGUGACAAGAUCGGCCUAUCUGAUGGUAGCCCGUUCUUGCGAGGGCGUAUCAAAGAAACUGAUGAAUUCAAAUCAUUGCCAAUUCAAAUGUAGUUGUCCCCAUGAGAAAUGCCAGAUUUCAGGGCUGUAUAAAGAUUACAAGAAAUGAAUGGAAAAUGUGUGAGUUGUAUUACAAUAAUAUUGCAAUGUAAGUUGCUUUACCUCUCGCCUAUACUACAACAUGAUAUACAAUAUAAUUAGUACAAAAACACAAGGCAGUACUUGAUGCAAAUCAGGGAAAAGGACUCCCCAUAGUUUCGUGAUCAAAGCCUCCAUCAACAUGGGAGCUGCUGCAAUCUUGUUUCUUUUCUGUUAUUACUUUUUCUAGUUUAUUACUUUCCUAGUUGGAUUUGGAAAUCUAUUCUGUUAUUGUUUUCCUAGUGUAUUAUUUUCCUAGUUGGAACUGGAGACUGUAUUAGUAUUUAAGGGAGGAUGAAAAUAAUAUGAAGGACCAUUAUUUUUUGCCAUCCUAUGACUCUGAGUUGAGUUUUCCUUGGAGUGAUUCCAACACACAGAGAGAUUUUAUGCUAGUCCCUGUUCUUGGUAUUCAGCAUGAAGCUGCUCCAAGAAAACGUUGACACCAAUUUGGUAUAAGAGCUUCAGUGUGGUUACCCGGUUCCAUUCAUUGCGGUGUUUUACGUCCAUGCUUGUAACCCGCAGUGGUACUUCGUACGCCAUGGUAACCAACCAAAUCCCGAACAACCCAAAUCCAACCAACCAAAACCCAAACAACUCAAACCCAACCAACUAACACCCGAAUAACACAAACAACCCAAACUCAAGCCAUCAAAACCCAAACACCCGAGACACAGACCAGUCUCAACUGCAAUAUCAGGUUGAUCAGAUCGCCAUAGUGAUGGAGCAACUUAUUCAUCGACUAGAUGUCAUGGAGGAGCGUUGUGCUCGAGAGGAGUAUGGUCCCUUUAAUUGGUGAGGGCGCAGAGCAGUUCAUAGAGAGAGGUUGGGCGAUAGUGAUGGAGAUGUUUAUGAGGAAGAAGAAGGAAAUUAGGAGUUUGAGGGUCAUGAACCUCAAGUUCGAUGUCAUAGGUGAAACAUGCACAAAGGACAUGAGGAUCAUGGUGCAGGUUAUCAACCUCUUGAUGAAUUGACCAAAAGAAUGAAGGUUGAUGUUCCAGAUUUUUUUGGAAAACUAGAACCCAAUGCUUUUGAAGACUGGUUAACAGCUAUCGAGGAUUACUUCGAUUGGUUUGUUGUUUCAAAGGAUAGGAAGGUUCGUUACGUUCGGAUGAAAUUAAAGAGCCAUGCAUGAGCAUGGUAGGGGAGUGUGGAAGAAUAAUUGUGCCAAACAUGAAAACCAGGAAUUUCUAAUUAGGAAGAGAUGACAGAGAGACUAAAAGAAAAAUAUUUGCCCAUUGACUAUGAGCAAAUGAUGUUCAAGGAGAUGUUGCAACUCAGACAAGGUUCAUUAAGUGUUGAUCAAUUUACAGAUCGCUUCCACGAAUUGACUGUACGUAGUAAGGUUAUGGAAACUGAACAACAAACUUUAGCCCGAUACCGCACUGGAUUAUGCAGCGACCUGCAUAAAGAAAUGUGGACUGCAUGCUUAAUCAACGUGGAAGAGGCGUAUCAAUUGUCACUCCAUUUUGAGAAACAAAUAGGGCCUUCUAUUGGGAGAAAAAUGACGUCGUGGGAUUCAAAAUCAGAACUUGUCCCAGCUUCUUCAACCCAAAGGCUCCCAUCACUGAGGGAUCAAACUAGAAGUGGGGUCAUUAGAGAUUAUAAAGGAAAAGCCAAAGCCUCUAAUGAAGAACCACAAUGUUACAAGUGUAAAGGCUUCGAACACUAUGUUGUUGUAUGCCCUACAAGGGAUAAAAAGUUAGCAUUUAUUUGUCAAAAAGAAUUGUUAAUAAAGGACACUGUUGAAGACAUGGAGGAGGAAGAAAUUGAUGGGAGUAGACAUAGUGACGAAGAACACUUGAGUGCAUCAAAAUUACCUAGCUGUGUUAUCCAUCGAAUAUUGACAGGAACUAGAAAGGAGCUUCAGGCUAAUCCCAAAUGGUUACGCACCAAUAUUUUUCACACUCGUAUGGAGCAUAAUGGUCGGGCUUUGAAUGUCAUUAUUGAUAAUGGCAGCAGCAUGAACAUGAUCUCCGAAGCUGCCAUUGAAUGUUUGGGGCUGAAGACUGAGAAGCACCCCACCCCUUACCGGAUUAGCUGGGUUAAUGAGGCCAAUUCAGUCCUAAUGAAGCAGCGUUGCUUGGUUAAAUUUUCAUUGGGAAAAAAAUAUGUUGACGAAGCUUGAUGUGAUGUAAUUCCUAUGACUGUGUGCCAUAUGCUACUGGGACGUCUGUGGCUCUAUGACCGGAGAGUUCUCUAUGAUGGGUAUGCUAAUACUUACUCUUUUAAUUUCCAAGGUAAGAAAUUUGUAUUGGAUCCCCUACAGAUUUCAAAAUUUGAUACAAAAAAUGAGGUUGUCCCAGUUUUAACAAUGUGAAAAUUCUCUCGAAUUGUACAAGCGGAAGAUAUGGUGCUAUUAGUAGUGAGCCGUGAGGUGAAGCAGGAGGACGACAUUAUUCCAACAGAGUUCUCGACAAUGUUGGAAGAAUUUUAGGAUAUCAUGCCUGAUGAGAUUCCAAAUCAACUACCUCUAAUGAGGGAGGUACAACAUGCCAUUGAUCUGAUUUCGGGAUCAACCCUGCCUAAUUUACCACACUAUCGUAUGAGCCCAACGGAGAAUGAAGAGCUUAGUCGUCAAAUUCAACAAUUACUGGACAAGGGUUUCAUUCGAGAGAGUCUCAGGCCCUGCACUGUCCCGAUUUUACUUACACCAAAGAAGGACGAUAGUUAGAGGAUAUGCAUCGAUAGUCGAGCAAUUAAUAAGAUAAAUGUGAAGUACCAAUUUCCCAUUCCUUGUCUUGAUGAUAUGUUGGAUUCACUAUAUGGCUCCUUUAUUUUCACUAAGAUCGACCUUCGAAGUGGUUAUCACUAGAUUCGUAUCCAGGUGGGUGACCAGUGGAAGACAGCAUUCAAGACAAAAGAUGGUCUAUUUGAGUGGCUAGUCAUGCCAUUCAAACUAACCAACGCACCAAGCACCUUCAUGCGCGUAAUGACGCAAGUUCUCAAACUAUUUUUAGGCAAAUUUGCUGUUGUUUAUUUAGAUGACAUCUUAAUUUUUAGCCGAAGUGUGCAGGAGCAUUUAAGCCAUGUCGAACAGGUUCUGAAGGUCCUAAGAGCUGAACAGCUCUAUAUUAAUAAAGACAAGUGUUCGUUUAUGAGGAAAAGUGCCAAGUUUCUAGGUUUUAUAAUCUCUAAUCAAGGUGUCGAGGCUAACCCUGCAAAGGUGCAAGCUGUACAGCAAUGGCCAACUCCCCAGAAUAUAUCUGAAGUCCGGAGCUUUCACGGCUUGGCCACAUUUUAUCGGCGAUUUAUUCGCAAUUUCAGCGCAAUCAUGGCCCCAAUCACCAAGUGCCUGAAAGAAAAGAAAUUUGCAUGGAGUACGGCAGCUGCCAAAGCAUUCACAGAAAUUAAAAAAAAAAGAUAGGGCAAGCACCAAUGCUCAAGUUACCAGAUUUCUCCAAAAUUUUUGAAGUAGCUUGUGACGCGUCACAUGUGGGAAUCGGGGGGGCGCUGAGUCAGGAGGGCCAUCCCAUUGCUUUUUAUAGUGAGAAGCUUAAUGACACUCGCCAGUGAUACUCGGUAUAUGACAUGGAAUUCUAUGCUUUAAUUCAAACACUCAAGCAUUAGCGCCUUUAUUUGAUCCACAGAGAGUUUAUCCUCUUUACAGACCAUGACUCCCUGAAACACUUAAAUUCCCAAAAUAAAAUUAAUGCACGACAUGCUCGUUGGAUGGAUUAUCUACAGCAGUUUGAAUUCGUUAUUAGACAUAAGUCAGGGACGGAAAAUAAGGUGGCCGACGCCUUAAGCAGGAUACCACACUUAUUGCAUAUGUUUUCAGCUAAUGUUGCAGGUUUCGACAGUAUGAAAACAGAAUAUACCAACGACGAGGACUUUGGUAGUGUAUGGAAUAAUAUCUCUAAACAAGGGCAUAUAGCUGAGAAGGAGUAUGUGUCGCGAGAUGGAUUCCUAUUCUUCAAAUCACAGCUAUGCGUUCCGCGUGGCUCCUUUCGGGAAUUUCUGAUAACAAAGCUCCAUGGCGGGGGUUUAGCUGGCCACUUCGGUCAUGAUAAAACUUUUGCUAUUGUUGCUGACCGAUUCUACUAGCCUCGAAUGCGGAGGGACGUGCAUCCCGUGGUUGAUCGGUGUCGAGUUUGCCAAUUAAAUAAAGGCACUAAGCAACCCGCAGGGCUCUAUACGCCACUUCCCAUCCUAGACAGACCCUGGUAGCAUCUUAGCAUGGAUUUUGUCCUUGGGUUGCCAAGAACUUUGCAGCAACAUGAUUCGAUUAUAGUGGUAGUUGACCAUUUUUCCAAAAUGGCCCAUUUUCUCCCAUGCCACAAGACUUACGAUGCAUCAAAAGUUGCUGCCUUAUUUCUGUAAGAGGUCAUUCGUCUGCAUGGUAUCCCAGUUUCGAUCAUGUCUGACAGGGAUGUUAAGUUUGUAAGUUUUUUUUGAAAAACAUUGUGGGCAAAACUGGGAACAUAUUUGAUGUUCUCCAGUGCCUUCCAUCCCAAAACGGACGGCCAAACUGAGGUCACCAAUAGAAGUUUGGGAAAUUUAUUACGUUGCCUAGUCGCGGAUCAUGUGACUAGCUGGGAUAUAGUGCUUCCGCACGCCAAAUUUACCUUUAACAACUCUGUUAACCGUUCGACAGGCUGCACCCCAUUUGAAGUGGUUUAUGGCUUUCGACCCAACACUCCACUUGAUAUUAUUUCAUUACCAUCACCACCUCGGCCAAGCGAGGCUGCGCUGGAUUUCUCCAACUAUAUGCGAGAUUUUCACGAGGAAUGCAAACAGCGCCCGACCACCCAUACAAGUUCUUAUGCAGCUGUGGCAAAUGCAAAACGCAAGGAUCAACAAUUUAAGAUAGGUGAUAUGGUUCUAGUUCGUUUGCGUCCAGAGCGUUUUCCUCCGUAGAGUUUUACUAAGCUACAUGCACGUAGAGCAGGCCCUUUCCAAGUCACCAAGAAAUUGGAUUCUAAUGCCUACGUCAUUGAUUUACCCACUGAUUUUGGUAUUAGUCCUAUUUUUAACAUUGAAGAUCUUACGGAGUUCAAGGGCAAUGUCAAAAACAUUACUGCACUACCAGUUCCAGCCAUAACACUAGUACCACGAGUUCCAGAAAUUACAGCACCACGAGAUGAGAUUGUUGCCAUUCAUGACCAUCAAUUUGUUACCACUCUCGAGGAGGUUAUUAUAGGUUCUUAGUGCAAUGGAAAAAUCGUCCAGGUUCAGACUCUGUCUGGUUGCAAGCUUCAGAGAUCAAGUGUUUACACCCACACCUAUUUACAACAUACACCAGUCAAAACUUGCCAGAGUCAAGUUCUUCAGGGGGAGUGGUAGUUGAUGCAAAUCAGGGAAAAGGACUUCCCAUAGUUUUGUGAUCAAAGCCUCCAUCAACAUGGGAGCCGCUGCAAUCUUGUUUCUUUUCUGUUAUUACUUUUUCUAGUUUAUUACUUUCCUAGUUGGAUUUAGAAAUUUAUUCUGUUAUUGUUUUCCUAGUUUAUUAUUUUCCUAGUUGGAACUAGAGACUGUAUUAGUAUUCAAGGGAGGAUGAAAAUAAUAUGAAAGACUAUUACUUUUUGCCAUCCUACGACUCUGAGUUGAGUUUUUCUUGGAGUGAUUCCAACACACAGGGAGAUUAUGUGCUAGUCCCUGUUCUUGGUAUUCAGUGUGAAGCUACUCCAAGAAAACGUUGACACCAGUACUAUAUCAGAGGUUUUUUGUUUUUUUUUCUGUUUCUUUCAAAAGUGAACUAUAUGUCUUAUUCCCAAAAUAAUCUGCUUUUUUCUUUUCAUAAAAUCGUUUUUGAAAAGGCAACGUAGUUUUAUUUCUAUUUCCAUAGAGCAAAUAUUACUAAAAAAAGGUUAAAAUUCAAUCACUUGUGUUUGUGAAAAUCAAAUAUAUACCUAGAUACAUAACAUAAAUCAUUAAAACUAGGUGUGAUUAUUUUUAAUUUGUUCCUUUUGGGGUAAAAAAACAAUCAAACCAUAAAUUUUUAUUUUAGAUUUCAUAAUCAACCGAACUGAAAAUCAGUUUAAAUUAUAAACCUCUAGGAAUUUAAAAAUAAAAUAAAUAAAAAUUAAAAUAAUUUUAAAUAUGUUAUCAAUAGGUGAGGAAAAGAAAUAAUGGUAUGAAAAGUGUUCAUGUAAACCUGGUUGAAAUCAAUAAUAUUACCAUGAAAUGAUAUUAAAUAUGUAAAUGAACUAAAUGAUAAAAAGACAAAAUAAAUAUAUUUUAUAAUAAGAAAAUGAUCCUGAGAAUUUAUUGUGAUAACCGAUACGAUCCAUGUAAAGAUGACACAAGAAAAUUCGGAUUUUGGUGUAAAAUCACCUACCAACUAGUUUUAUACUAUCAAGUAUAAUUCUCAAUACAAUCAUCUGAUCAUGUUGAAAUCUUACAAGGAGUCUUCUAAUAUAGUUUUCUAUAUUAGGUUAAAAUUUUAGAGUAAUCGGAAUAUAAAAAGAUUAUACAAGAAUGUCGACAAUUGGAUAAAAAAUAAAAUAUGUGCUUAAUUGUUAAGAUCUAUUAUUAAAAAGAACUUGAAAAUUUUGGAAGAUUACCUGCUAUGUGCUACUGAAUUUUAUUUUUUAGAUUUCAUAAUCAGACCAAACUAAAAAUUAAUCUAAAUUGUAAAUUUAUAAAAAUUUAAAAAUAAAAUAAAUAGCAAAUAAAUAAAAAUAAAAAUGAGUUUAAAUAUAUGGUCAAUAGGUUAGAAAAAAAAAAGAAUGGUAUGAAAAAGUAUUGAUAUAAACCACCUUGCAUUACCUAAUUUACAGAAGUUAUGGGCGCACACCUUAUUAGUAUGACACUACACAACCAUUUACUAGUAUUACACUGCUCACACCUAAUUCCUUAUUGUAGAAUUUAUAGGCACAUUUUCUUUAUUAAUAUGACGCGAUAGACACCCACUUCUUUGUUGUAGAGCAUUUACAUGUCUCAUCAAUGACUUGUACGAUGCUAUAAUGUCUCACGAAUUAAUAGCACAGCAACCAACAACCAACAGCUCAUUUUUUCUAUAAUUACUCAUGUACAAUAUAUCUACAAUCUUACUCUUUAUGAGAUAAUUUUAUAUGUAAUUAAUAUUUUUUAUUUUAAAUUAAAUAAAAUUGAGGACUUGAUUAAAUCAAAUAAAUUAAUUUUUAUUUUAAUUAAAAAUUAAAAAAAUAAACAACAACAAUAGAUAGACUAAAUUAACAAAAACAAAAAAAACAUGAUCACAAUAACUUAAAAAAAUAUUUUUAAAAAAAUAAAGCAAAUAAUAAAAUUUAAUUAUCAACUUAUUAAAUAUAAAAAGAUAAAAUUUGAUAAAAAAAAAAAGACAAAAAAAUUCAUUUCAAUUCAACCCAAGUUAUCAUAGCAAACCUAUAACCAGGGUGAACUCGCUAAAUUCGCACCCUCGGUUAUGAAAUCAAAAUAACCUGAUAUAAAAAAUAAAAAAAUCACAAAUCUCAUUUUUGUUUUGAAAAAAAUUCAAUGUUGAAUGAUAAAAGUUACAAAGAAAAUACAUAAUAAAAAAAACUAUGUGAACCUGAGUUAACUUUUCAAAGCCGUGAACUGGAUCAUUAAACUGAAAGCAACCUAUAUAAUUUAUCUUUAUGAUAUUUUUAGUUGUAUUGUGAGCUACAUUCCAAUAGUCUAGAUCUCAGAUUGACCAAGUCUUGUCUAAUCUAGCAAACACAAAAUAAAACAAAUUAUCUAGUAUAAUCCAAAACACAUCAAAUAUAAAACAAGAUAAUUAUUUAUGCCACGCGUGCUCCUUCAUUUGACCACACAACACCAUCCCCGCUGCCACAUGCCAAUUCACCUCGGUCUGCUACGAACAUGAUGAACACAACUUCUCCUCAGCAACAAGUUCAACAGCAGCAACAGCAAAGGGAAAAGAUGAUGCAGUUACCUCAGCAUCAGAUACUUGCUCAGCAACAGCAAAGGCAAAAGAUGAUGCAAUUCUAUUUCUUUUUGUUUUGUGUGUAUGAAACCAUAACAUUUAUGGCGUUUUUCAAAUGCAGACACAACCGUUGAAUUUUUAAAUUUUAAUGAGGAAAUCAUGUCCCAAAGUUUAGAAGAUUCAUGUUCUUAUACCCUUUGAAAUCUGCCCCUGCAUGUGUCUCUAUGUACGUAUGUCUAAGAAUCAUUAUUGGGUAAAAGAUCAUCUUUAGUUUUGGGUUGAAUCAAAAUGAAUCCUUGCAUUUUUGUAGCUUUUCUGAAACUUUGAGGAGGCAACAAAAUACUUUAAAUUGAACUGAACUUUCUGUUUCACUGCCUAGAACUACUAUAUAUACUUUAAUUUUAACUGUGAAAAGAAUAAGUUAUCCAUGAAAGACGACAAAUGAACCUAGAGAAAAGAUUAUUUUAUCCAUGAAAGACAACUUUUUGUAUUUUUUUUUUUGAAGGGCAAAGACUUUAAUGUGCUAUUAUAAUCCAAGGUAAUUAAAGUUCUGUUAAUAAUAGCACCUGAAUGGAAGAUCCAUCUUGUUUAAAAUCUAAGUUAUUGAUAAAUAGGUUAACUCGAAUUAAUUUAAAUUCACUAGAUCAAAAAUCCAGGUUAUUGGUCGAGUAAGUUAACCUUAUUUAAUCUUAAUAUAUUUUUUAAAAUUAAAAUAUCUUCAUAUUAGACUUUUUUAAAUGAAAAGUAAACUUGAAAUGACAUGAUUUUAAAGAAAAAAACUAAUUUUUUCACUUAAACUAUCUCAAAUUAGAUUUUAGAUCAAUGAAUCACCAAGUUAACUCGAGAUUUAAUAUAAUUAAGCCUAGGUGGACAAAGAUCACUAGGCCCUAUUAAUAAAGAAAAAAUAAAAAACAAAAGUUGUGGGAUGAAAAAGAAAAGGAAAGGAAAAUAUAUCAUAGCAUAUCUUCUCCAUUAAAUUUAUAAUCAUCAUUUUUUUACUCAUGUUUUUAAAUAAAAUAUUUUUUAUUAGUAAGAUAUUUUUUAAUUAAAAAUAAAGGUAAUUAAAAUAAGUUCUUGUAAGAGUUUGAAUGAUUUAAAAUAAGCAGGAAAAACUAUAUUUAUUAAAUCUAAACUAUAUUGAUUUAUUAUUGAAUUUUAUUUAAGAAAAAUAAAUUAUUUUGUUAUAAGUAUUGUUUCUUAAAUUAAAACAAAACUAAUCACAAUCUUAAAAGAAAGUUUUUAAAAAAUAAAAUUUGAAAAUUAUAUCUUAAAAAAUAAGAAAAAGAUUAAUCUAAUUUUUUUUUAAUUUAUAAUAAAGAAUUGCAAAGUAGAAAUCUUAUAUUUAUUGAAUAUUUAUAAUCACAAAUUUAAAAAUAAUUGAUCCAGAGAUGAACGUGGGGGGGGGGGGGGGGGGGCUUUUCUACUUGAAAAUGUUCAUGCUUUUUCUUGUUUUUUUCUCAUUGGCGAGCUUCAUUAUUUUCUCUUCUAUCAUAGGUUCAAUUAUUGGACCGUAUCCCACUGUUUUCUUUAAAGACAUUAGUAGACAUACCAUCAAUGUUUGUUUGUUUUUUUUACAUGCUUUCUCUAUUCAAUAAAAUAAUAAUUAAAAGUACCUCUCCUUUUAAUCUUAUCCGACGAAGGAAAGGAAGAGGACAAAAGAUGUGGGGUGCAAAAGAAAAGGAGAACAGAGAAGAAUAUCAUAUAUAUAUAUAUAUAGGAGUCAAAAAGAAUAGUAAAAGGAAAACAAAGAGAGGAAGUAUUAACCUUUCCAAAUGCUAAUAUUGACACUAAGGAAAUAUAUAUAUAUAGAACAAAAAUAAAACGUUGCACAUCAAAUGUUUUUAAGAAAUUAAUGGAUUCAAAUAUACAAUAUGAUGUUAUUAAUUUAUACUUUGCCUUUGAACAUAGAUAAUACAUUACAUCUCAUUGAUCCGUUACUUUAAUUAAAAACCAGCAACGCCAUAAAAGAAAAAAUAAUAAUAAAUAAAAGCAAGAAAGAGAUAAAAAAGAAUGCAAGAUUUUAUUAUUAUUCGGUGGGGCAACACAAGCAUGAUUGAGAAAAGGAAAGGUAAUUUUUUUGUGGAAUAACUUAAUUAAUUAAUUUUUGAGCUUAUUAUUUAAAAAUACUAGUUCGAGUAUUAUAGAUAUCGAGAUUACCAGAAAUCUAUAUAAUUAUUAAUUUUAAAAUCUUGAAGAAUUAAUCAACAUACAUUUCAACUGUCUCGAACAUUAUAAAAGAAAAUUAGAAAGUUCCUUUUUUUUUUUUUUUACAGUUCGAUCAUUGAAAAUAUAAAAGAUAAAAAACCAAUGCAGACUCAAGAUCCCAAUUAAACCAUACCCAUUUACUUCAACACUCACUAAACAGAAAAAAAUUCAAAAUCCAAUCUUUACUUGUCCAUUAUGACCCUCAGGUAAAUAAAACACUCUUUCUCCAUGCUUGGGAACAUCACAAGUGGAACUACACAUGCCUUCCAUAACUCUAUGUUAUCCUAGAACCAAAAAGUCAAUUUUCCUAGAAAACAAACAAAAUAAAUAAUGUCAUUUCACACUUCACCUUCAUUGUUCCCCAGUGGAAUUUACCAUCCUCCUCUUCCUAUUCCUCGAUUCGUAGCCAUCACUUUUUAAAACCCACCAAGCAACAAAAGCAGCAGCCAAAGUCGACAAUAACUUGAAGAAUCGUGCUUUCAAAAUAGAGACGUGCGAGAGAAGAAAAAUGCGAGACAACCAGAGAGGCAGAAGCGGGGUUGGCUAUGAAAGGGCUUUGGUGGACAUCGAGAGAGAAAAGGUUGAGAUGAGGAAAGGAGUGCAGGUUGUGAGAGUGAAUUUUUGGAUUUGAGUUAUUUUAAGACACUUUUCUAUUUAUAAUUCUGUUAAGUUAAUAAUAUUUUUAAUUUUUUGGUUUAACAAUUCUGGUCCGGUCUCCUUCUAUCGGUUUCAGAAUUUUAAAACUGAAACUAAACAGAAUUUAUUUAUUUUUGUUUUUUAAUAGGUUAUUUUUUGUUAGGGUUUUUUGGUUUUUUUUUUUUUAGUUUAAUAAGUUUUUUGGUUUUUUUUUUCUCAUCCCUAAUUAAAAUAUUACUAUCCAUUCAUUAUGCAUUUUUUUUAAAGUUUUCUAUGUAGCUCUAGUUAAUAUUUGCAAUUGAGUUCCUAGUUUUAAUAAUCUUUGCAUUUAAGUAACAAUAUUUCAUUAUAUUCUUGUUUUUAUCUCUAAAUAGCUGUAAGAGAAACGAAAGGAGAGGAAAAAUACUCCAAUUAAGGUAUUUUCCGGUCAUGAAAUUGUUAAACUUGGUUUUUAUGUGUUCAAUUGACUUCAAUAAUAUAUUGAGUUUUUUUAUUUGGUUGGGUUUUGAAGGUUUCUUUGCCAAUUAAGAUGUAUUUUGAUGUAUUUUAAGACUGAAAAUGAGUUUAUAAAGGUUGUUAGCAUAAUAUUUUGGUGUGUAGAGUGGAAAAUGAAAGAUUUGGAGUUGUAUGACUAAAACUAUAUUUUUGUAAUUUUCUAGCAACCAAACGGUUAUCAAAAAUAUUAAGUGGUCAAAAUUUUUUUUGGGAAAAGUAAUGGCUAUUUUUUUUCUUUACCUCUAUUUUUAAAAAAAAUUACAAUUUACAUUUUUUAAAUUUAUGAGUUCAUAACACUUUAUAACACGUUAUCAACAAAUAUUAUAAAGUAUUUCAUAUUCUUUUAUUAUGCAAAACAUAGUUGAUUUUUUAUUGUCACCAUAAGAUAAACCACUCACACACUUGAAGACUCCAUUAUCAAUUUAUCAAGGAUUGUAAGAGAUAAUGGAGAAUUUAGCUCUUCUUAUUAAGAAUAAAAAAGUAUUUUCUUCAGACAUCCAUCGAAAUAUAAAAAAAGCACAUCAAAUUUAUCUCCUUUCGAAAUUUUCCAUCAGAGACCACCAAAGGAAUGCAUAAUGGACACAGAGUUGAAGAUAAAGGGGAGAAACAUUAGAAGGGUUAGGGGUGGAGACAAACAUUUUGCAUUUAUCAAUGGAAUAAUUUUUUUUGAAAAAAAAAAUAAAGAUUUUUUUAAAUUAUUUUUUAUAUAAUUACCAAGGGAAAUUAAUUUUGUCGGCAAAUGGUAAGAAAUAGUUGAAAAAAUUAACAAAUUAAUUAAUUUUUCAUCAUUAUUUAACGGUGCAAACUAAUCUCUUAAUAAUGGUAUUGGUAAUAGUUUUUUUUUAAGCUAAUUCUGUUAGUAAGAAGUAGCAAUUUAAAUUUUUUUCUUUAAAUAAAAGUUUUUUUUAAGUUGUGAGUUUUUUUUAAACUACUUAAGUGUGAUUAAUUCUUAAUUUUUUAAACUUUUUAUGUUCAUGUAUUUAUUUCAAUUUAUCAACUUAUAUUUUGAGGUUUUUAAUUGGAGAAGUUCAGGAUCUGUAUUGUCUUUCUAAUUUUAAUGACUCUAUUAUCAUAUUAAUUUUAAUAUGUGAAUUUGAGUUUCAUAUAAAGGACUUGAAUCUUAUUAUGGAUGAUAUAUUUAAAUUAAUUUUUUGUAUUACUCUUCAAUUUAAAAUAAAAUAAGAUGUAUCUUUACUCAAUAUUAGUUGCGCUUUGCAAGAAUAAUAGUUCACUAUUUAAUGGGUGAUCCAAUGCGUCUUAAGCUAAAUAAUAGAGAUAGUUUGUUCCUCUUACGUAAUUAUAACUGAGAAAUUAUAGUCAUUGAAAGUCAAACCUUGAGAAAGUUGUCGGAUAUAUAAUAAAAUAAUAUUUUUUUUUAUUUUAAAAAAAUUAUUUUUAACAUUAAUACAUUAAAACAAUAUAAAAAUACCAAACAAAUUAAUUUAAAAUAAAACUAAUUUUUUUAAAAUAUAUUUUUAAAAUACAAAAACAACAUCAUUAAAAUGAAAUAAAGAUGGUAUAACUUUUGAUAAACAAGGUUUGUCUGAUACUCGUGUCCACAUGCUCAGAAGGCUAUAGCUGUGGAAAAGGCAUCGAAGAUUAAAUGAAUUUUUGAAUCACAUUGUCCACAUGCUCACAAGGUUCAAUGGAUUUUUGAAUCUGACCACAUAAAUGCAAUAAUCAAUUCAAUUUAUGACAACGAGAACAGAACAUGUUGGAUGCAUAACUUCAUGUCUGUUGAAUAUUGAAUUUUUUUAUAUAAAUAUAUUUUAAAAAAAUGAAAACUAUGGUACUCCCAAAAUUGUAUUGACUGGUUGCCUCUUUUAGCUUCUUUCAAUUCAAAUAGAAUAUUUUUUUAAUAAAAAGAUUUACAGAUCACUUUCACUCGGAUUGAGACUAUUUUAAUGGAAGCCACAGUAGUCGCUUUACCAUAGACAUUUCUUAUAAGAGGUAUCCAAGAAUCCUUCACCCCCACACCAAACCAAACUAUGGCUUCCUUUAUCUCUCUUUCCAGUAGCAUCCCUUUAGCUGCCUCCUCUUUCUUGCCUUCCUUCCCGAAAACACACCGAGUUUCCAGAAUUAAAAAGCCAAACCGUCACAAUAUCCCGAUUGUUUCUUGCAAAUCAGGCAAGAAUGAUCAUGAACAAAACCCUGCCACCAGAAGAGAUCUGCUCAUUGGUCUCGGUGGACUCUAUGGAGCAACUAGUCUUAGUGAUCCGUUUGCCUAUGCUAACCCCAUUGCACCCCCAGACAUAACCCAAUGUGAGCUAGUUACCCUGCCAACCGAAAGUGACCCCUCGAACUGUUGCCCUCCAACAUCCACAAAGAUCAAAAACUUCGAAUUCCCUUCUGCGUCCUCCCCAAUGCGCAUUAGGCCUGCUGCUCAUUUAGUUGAUAAAGCCUACGUAGCUAAAUACGCCAAAGCCAUUGCACUGAUGAAAAGUCUUCCUGACGAUGAUCCACGUAGCUUCAAGAGCCAAGCCGACGUUCAUUGUGCUUAUUGUGAUGGUGCUUAUCACCAAGCAGGCUUUCCUGAUUUAGACCUUCAAAUUCACUUCUCGUGGCUCUUCUUCCCCUGGCAUAGACUCUAUUUAUACUACUUCGAAAGAAUCUUGGGUAAACUGAUUGAUGAUCCAACUUUCGCUUUGCCUUUCUGGAAUUGGGAUGCCCCUGCCGGCAUGCAAAUGCCAGCCAUUUUCACUGACCCCGAAUCACCACUUUAUGACCCCCUUCGCGAUGCGAAUCACCAACCUCCGACAUUGCUUGAUCUUAAUUACGCGAAAGGAGAUGCGAAUCCAGACCCUGCAAAAGCAGGGGAAUUGUAUGCAAGCAAUCUUAACGUAAUGUACAGGCAAAUGGUGUCCGGUGCCACGAAGCCUACUCUCUUUUUUGGAAAACCAUAUCGUGCUGGUGAUGAUCCAAGCCCUGGAAUGGGUACAAUUGAGACCACCCCACACACUCAGAUUCACUACUGGACCGGCGACCCCAAUCAAACUAACGGGGAAAAUAUGGGCAAUUUCUACUCAGCAGGGAGAGAUCCCAUAUUUUAUUGUCAUCACUCGAACGUCGACCGAAUGUGGGACUUGUGGAAGAAAAUACCUGGAGGCAAACGAAAGGAUAUCGAGGAUCCUGAUUGGCUUAAUUCAGAGUUUCUUUUCUGGGAUGAGAAUAAAGAGCUGGUUCGAGUAAAGGUUAAAGAUACUCUUGACACCAAGAAGCUAAGAUAUGGCUUUCAAGAUGUUCCUAUUCCUUGGCUGAAAACUAGAGCAACACCAAAAUUAACAAGGCAGGAAAAAUCACGUCGUGCAGCUAAAAAAAGCGUUGUAUUAACACCAAUUAGUGCAUUCCCUGUUGUCUUGGAUAAAGUCAUAAGUGUGGAGGUUUCCAGGCCAAAGAAAUCAAGAAGCGCGACGGAGAAAGAAGAUGAAGAUGAAGUUUUGGUUAUUGAAGGGAUUGAGUAUGAAGAAAAUCAAUUAAUUAAGUUCGAUGUCCUCGUCAACGAUGAACCUGAUUCACCUGGUGGACCAGACAAGUCCGAGUUUGCAGGAAGUUUCGUCAAUGUGCCUCACAAGCAUGCAAAAAAAUCAAAGACAACUAUGGUAUUGGGGAUUACAGGAUUGUUGGAAGAUCUGGAAGCUGAAGGGGAUGAUACCCUUGUGGUGACUUUCGUGCCUCGGUCUGGUGGUGAUUUUGUUACCGUUGCUAAUGUCAAGAUUGAGUUUGUCGCUGACUGAUCAUGGUGAUGAGAGGACAUAUGCUACCAUUUUCUUUUCUUUUCUUUUUUUCCUUUUGCCUUCUCUUGUUUUUUCUCUUUCUAUGGUAGUAUUCUGUGAGUUCUCUCUUUUUUCUUUCAAGAUGCUCAACUAAUGGACCGUAUUUCAAUUUGAAUACUACAAUGGUUUCUUAGAUUUGUUGCCAGAAGUAGAUGAACAAAAACAACUAGACCCAUAUGGUAAAAAAUCGUUGUCAUUUUAGACUUUUUUUAAAUGAUACAUAAACCUAAAAUAAUAUGGUUUUGAAAGAAAAAAACUAAAAUUUAUCAUAAACAAACCCAUAUCAGAUCUCAAAUUAAUGAAUUACCAAGUUGACCCUAGAUCUUAUAUAACUAGGUCUAGAGUGACAAAAAUCAAGGUUGUCAAUUUCGUUCCGUUUCGCCCGAAAUGACCGAAACAUUCCAUACCAAUUCAAAAAACGGAACAAAACGGAACAAUUUUCAUCUCAUUUUAAAUCUCGGUCCGUUCCGGAUUUUUCGGUGAAAUUUCAGCCGGAAUGUUCUGGUUUCAUUCCACAUGUUCCGUUCCGCUCUUGAAAAGCCGUUAAAUCAAAUUGAACCUUGUUUAAUUUAAUUAAUUAAUUAAACCACUCAAGUAUAAAAUGCUUUUUUUCAUUACUAUUUUCAAUAAAAAUGAUAUUAAUAAUAAUAUUGAAAAUUAUUAUUACUAUUUUCAUUAACAAUGAUAUUAAUUUUUUAAAAUUAGAUUUAUCACUAAUAUAUAUGGUUUAUAUUUAUGUUGUUUUUUUUCAUGUUUAUACUUUGUAGGAAUUUGAGCAAAACAAGAGAUGCUUUAGAUUACAUUAGCCUUGAUAAUAUUGACCUAACUUUAUAUUUAAAAUAUUUGUGUUAAAACAUUUUACUUUCAUAAUAUUUUGAUAUUUUGUUUAAGUUGAAUUACUUUAAGUUAAAAAUCUUUUUAAUCUUGACUAUUUAUAAAUAUUUUAAAAUUUAAAAUUAUAUUUGUUUUGCAUUGUGUUUGUAUUGCAUAAUUUAUAAUUAAUUUAUUUUAAAUUUGAAUUAUAUUUGUUGAAUAUAUAUAUAUGAACAGUACAACCCUGAAACGGCACGUCGAAACGCUCCGAAACUAAAACAUUCCAUUUCAAUUGAAAAAACAAAACACUUACCGAAACGGAAUGGACAACUUUGACAAAAAUAACUAGACUCAUUCGGUAAAACAAAAAAAAAAAAAUACAAAAGACGUGAUGGAGGACUGGCAAAGCUACUUUCUUCCCCUCUGCCUCUGUUCUUUGUGCGCUUCUCCUCUGGUCUUGCUUUUCUUUGCUUGGUCUCUUUUUUCUUAUCUUGUUCUCCAUGUCUCCCUUAGUGUCUGCCUGGUAUUCUUGUGUUGCUCAUCCUGUUCUCUGGUUUUCUUCCUUUCUCUUCAGUGUAUGUGUCGUCUGUUCGUCUGUGUUUUUUUGUUCCUGUGUUGUUCUAUGUUGGCUUGAGCUUGCUCCCGCUUGCUGGAGUUUUGAAGGAGAUUCUACAGUCCCUUUCCUCUGUUUCACUCUGCCUCUGUUUUUAUUUCUCUGGAUCGUCCUUCCUGUAUUUUCUCGUUCGUCACCUUCUCUCUCUACUGGUUUUUUCCUGUCCUCUCCUCCCUUGGUUUUUCUGUUCUUUCGUUCGUUUCCUUCCUGUAUUUGCUCGUUCAUCCCCUUCUCUCUCUACUGGUUUUUUUUUCCUAUCCUCCCCCCUUCCCCCUCAUUCGUGGCCUUUCUCUGGCUUUUAUAAAGCCAGAGAAUGCCAAGCGUUCGUACAUCGUGGGGGCGAGGGAUAGCAGCUGGGAGACGUGGUCCAUAAUUGAAAUGGUGCAUUUACUGCUGAAACGGUUCCUGAGGAAGAGGGCGAUCAAUAGUUUUUGAAACGGAGUCGUUUUCUUGAUUAAAAUGGCUAUUUUCAAUUUUGCCCCUGGAGCAAUUGGAAUUGGACCCUUAGAUUUCAGCACCAUUUACAAAAAAGUCCUUGGUUUCUAAAUUAUUCAAUUCAGCCUUUAAUUAACUCUUCAACUUUCAUUUCUUUUAAAAUUACUUCUGGAAAAAUCAAUUAACCCUCUUAUAGUAUCACAACCUAUUUAUUUUAAUCCUUAAAUUUUAAUUUCUUGCAAUUUUGACUCAAAUCAACCCCAAACAUUGAUAUUGCUUCAAUUAAGCCUUUAAUUGCAUUAAUUAAUUAAAUCAAAGUUUAAUUAAGUCUCCAUACUUAUCAAUUCUUUUAAUUUUGUACCAAAUUGACUUCAAAAUUUAUAAUUUCAUCAUUAUUAGUCCUCAAACUUUCAAUACGUUUUGUCUUAACCCAAUUCUCAAAUUAUUUUUUUCAUUCAUUUUUUUGUUAUUUAUUUUUUAAUUUAUUAUUAUUAUUUUAUUAUUUUUUUUUAAAUUUCAAAAAUUAGGUUAUGACACUCAUGUUAUGUUAAUAGUAUUUUUAAUUUUUCUAAUCAUUUUUUUAGGGUUGUUCUUGGUUUUGUUUUUUUUGUUUCCUUAGUUUUUUGGUUUUUUUUUCUCAUCCCUAAUUAAAACAUUAUCCAUUCACUAUGCAUUGAUAUUCUUUAAGUUUUCUAUGUAGCUCUAGUUUAUAUUUGCAAUUAAGUUCUGAAUUUUAAUAAUAUUUCAUUCUAAUUCUGUUUUUAACUCUAAAGAGUUUCAAGAGAAAAGGAAGGAGAGGAAAAUACUCCAAUUAAGGUAUUUUCCAACCUCAAAAUUGUUAAACUUGGUUUUUAUGUGUUCGAUUGACAAGUAGAUUUAUUUGAUGGUGAUAAAAAGCCUUAACAUAGCAGAAGAAAGAAGAUCAAGAAUACAAUAAUAUACAGAUUUUUUUAUUUGGUUGGGUUUUGAAGGUUUUUUUGUGUGGCUAAUUUAGAUGCAUUUUGAGUUAGCAUGAUGUUUUGGUGUUUAGAGGGGAAAAUGAAAGAUUUAGAUUUGCACAACCAAAACUAUCAAACUAUCAAUCUUGUAAUUUUCUAGCAACCAAAUGAUUGUUGAAAAUAUUAAUUGGUCAAAACAUUUUGGAAAAAUUAACCUAACCCUUUUGUAGUUUAGUCAUCUUUUCUCUUUGUCUCUAUUCUUAAAAAAAUUAUGAUUUACAUUUUAAAGUUCAUGAGUUCAUAACACUUCACCGCACGCCAAAACAAACCAACAAAAAACAUUGAAUUGUUUACAAGAUUGUCAUUAUAUUUUAUUUAAUGAUUAAAAACAUCUUAGAAUGUUAAAAUUAAUAAAUUAAAAAAUUGCCAUAAUUUGUUUUAUAAAAAAACUAGCUGCUGAAAAUCUUACCCUAGCUCCAUCUCUUCUCUUGUUUUCUUCUAGCCACCACAAUCACCUUAUAUCUAUCAUCUCUAUUAUCUACACUUUCAUAGAUUUCAAUGUAGCCCAAUAUAGAAGCCACCUUACAUCCUUAUGUAAUAACACGCAUAACUACACCGACCACCUCACAUCCUUCUACUAUGCAGAGCAAGUUGCAUUGAACUUGUGUUGUCAUCCUCACUAGAAGAUAAACCACUUCCACAUUUGAACACUCUCAUUUCAAUAUCUGUUGUAAAAGAUAGUAGAGCUUUUGGCUCUUCUUAUUAAGAAGGGAAAAAUAUUUUUUUCAAAUAUUCAAUCUAUCAAAAAAGCACAUCACCAAUUCACAUCAAAACACUACAAAUUUACAAGUCUCGGACAAGUGAUAAAAGGGAAAAAUUCAUUCCCUUAGUUUACAAUCUUAAGAAAGGAAAUAAAAACACCCAUUCUUCAAGACUCCAAAUCAAUUCUCAUAGAUACUAAAUUCAAAGAAUAAACAAUUAAUUAAGAAUAUAAGAUGAAAAAACACAAUCCCUUACCAACAAAACCCAAGAAUUACAACCUUAUGUGUAAAAAUAAUUAUAACUAUCACAUCAGGACAUCACGACGACCAAUUAAAAAUAUUUGAAAAAAAAACAGAUAUCUAACAUCUUGUUUUUGGGGGGAAAAUGUCUACUUCAAGGAGUCGUCAUCUAGUAUUAUGAUCACUAGGAACUCUAACUGGUCAACAGAAAUUCUAUGGUACGGGACUAGUUACACGAAAGGGAAGGUGUUAUCACCUCUUAAGCAUUAUACAUGAGGCAGACUCAAUUGCUUGUUUUGUCUAAAAUUGCUAAGAAUUUGUUUUUCUUUUUUUUUUUGGUCUUUCUACAAUGUUCCUGACUCUAGCUUCAGUGAACAAUUAUUUACGAAUAUUUUUAAUUUUAGUGUUGGUAAAUAUUGCACAGCCCAAAAAAUAUGGAACUUCUGACUUUGGCGCCCGUGAAUAAACCUGGAAAAUUUGAGUUUUUUUUUUAAAAGCUAUUUUUAUUUGUUUUUUUAGGCUGGAUCUAACCCAGCUGUAUAGAUUGGGCUGGACCCAGUGACCCGACUGGCCACUGUUGCAUGCAUGCGUGAAUGGUUCACGCAUGCAUGCAACAGUAACUGAUUAAUUAUUUUAGCAAGCAAGGAAGGAAACUUACCUGGACGUGCUUCUGCUGGAGGCGAAGUCGAGGGAGACAGCCGGAUGACACUGGAGACCGGUUGCUGGGCAAACAUCUCGACUUUCCCUUCAUUCUUCUGUGUUUCUCGUUUCUCCCAGGUCUUCUUUUUUUAUUUCUCUCCCUUUUCCUUUCUGUUUUCUGUUGCUCCUCGCUAUUAUGGAAAGGGAAUGGAGCUGUUGGUCGGAGCAGCAUGGUAGGGAGAGAGGAGCGCCUGUUGGAGCUUGUAGCGUGCUGCUAUUUCACAGCUGGUGCAGAGGAGAGGAGAUCGCGGCAGCAAUCUAGAGGACGAGAGUCGGUGUUGUGAAGAGUUACUGGAUGUUGCUUGGGGUUGGACUGAAACUUACCUUCAGCUGGCAAUGAACCUCUGAUGGAUUCUGCUCUUAGUCGAAGAUAGGACGGUUGAUGCUGCUGUUGCACUACUUAAAGAAGAGACUUCUAUUGUUUUUUCAUUGUAAAACCAAAGAUUGCAUGUCUGAGAGGAAACCUUCUGCUGCUUACGAUGGCAUCUUGCUGAGAAGAGGACUCUCCUGCUCACAGUGGCAGCUUGUUUUGAGGAGCGGCUGGCGUUUGUUGCUGAUGGUGUGACUGGAAAUCAAGUUGCUGAAACCAGUGUUGCUGCUAUAUCAGAGGAGUGGAAAUCAUGGCAGAAAUCUAGAUGAGGAGAGCCGGUGUUUUCAGUGAGGAGGAAAGGAGGAGCGACCCCACUGCUGUCUUGGCGACUUGCUGUUAUUGCUGCUGGUAAGAAGAGGUGUCCAUGAUGCAACCUUUCUGGCCUGGUGGUUUAGUGAUAUCCUACCUUGAUGAGGACCAGGCAUGAUAACUUAACAGCAUGCAGAAGAGUUCAACCGAAGAAGGGGUUACCGGGACAAAAAGAUGGAGCUGAUUUCUCUUUUCUUGGUGUUGGUGGCGGAGAUAUCGACAGAGAGAGGGUGCUGGCUGGUAUUGGUAUUGGUUGAUUCUCGGAGAGAAAAUAAAAAAAAAGCGGGGGCGGUGGUUUGUCUUAAAGAAGGUGAUUCUUUAGGGUUCGCCGCCCCUUUUUUUAUGUUUCUUUUUUUUUAUGUGUUUCUUUUUUCUUGUAAUGUCUCGUGUGCAUUCACUAGGAUUUGUAUUUAUAAUGUAAAAGUUUCAUCACGUAUAAGAAAUAAAAUCUCAAAUAAACUUUUUUUUAAAAUUUAAAUUUGAUUAAGAAUCAAAUUCGAAUGUGAAUAACUAUCAUUAUCUUGAUGAUAAUGAUAGAAUGACAAAAGCACAUUGUAGGCCCUAGUUUUCGCGCAAAUUAACAAAUCACACUUUUCAUCAAAAUAAAUCUUUUAUCUUUUAAUUUUACAUUUUAACCCCCGUAAAACUAAAUUAAAAGCUCACGGGCCAAAAUUGAGUCAUAAUAAUUGCUCCAUUUUUACAACGCUUACAGUGCAAAGGCAUUAAAAAAUUCAUUUUCUUUUGACUUUAUAUAGUAUGUUUUGUAAAGAAAACUAAGCGUGAAAACCCUUCCUCUUCUUUUCUUUUGAUUAUUUCUUUUAUUUUUUUUGAAAUGGUCUAAUUAUUAUAGGCGACCUACUCGAUAAUAAAAUGUGAGGGAUCUCAUAAGUGGUCUAAUUGUUCCAAGCGACCUGCCCAAUGAUGAAGAAUGCGAAGAAUUUCAUGAGUGGUCUACUUGUUCCAAGCGACCUUCCCGAUGGUGAAGAAGAAACGCGAAGAAUUUCACGAGUGGUCUAAUUGUUCCUAGCGACCUGCCCGAUGAUAAAAUACGAGGGAUCUCGUGAGUGGUCUAAUUGUUCCAGGAGACCUGCUCGAUGGUGAAGAAGAAAUGCGAAGAAUUUUACGAGUUGUCUAAUUGUUCCAGGAGACCUGCCAGAUGAUAAAAUACGAGGGAUCUCGCAAGUGGUCUAAUUGUUCUAGGCGACCUGCCCGAUGGUGAAGAAGAAAUGCGAAGAAUUUUACGAGAGGCCUAAUUGUUCCAUGUGACCUUCCAGAUGAUAAAAUGCGAGGGAUCUCGCAGGUGGUCUAAUUGUUCCAGGCGACCUGCUUGAUGGUGAAGAAUGCGAAGAAUUUCACGUGUAGUCUAAUUAUUCCAGGUGACCUGCGCGAUGAUUAAAUGCGAUGAAUCUCGCAAGUGGUCUAAUUGUUCCAACCGACCUGCCCAAUGGUGAAGAAUGUACAGAGAGAUUUUUUUUUGUGAAAAAUACAAAGAUUUUUCAGAAACGGUCUCAUUCUUAUGGGUAACCUACUCAAAUGGAAAAAUACGAGGAUUUUUCAGAAGGGGUCUCAUUUUAGUGGGUGACCUACCCGGGUGAAAAAAUAUGAAGAUUUUUUGGGUGGCCUAAUUCUCGUGAGCGGCCUUUCCAGAUCAAAACUUAAAAAGUCUCAUUGUGAUGGGUGACUUUCCUAAAAAAUACGAAGAUUUUUCGGGUAGCCUCAUUCUCGUGGCUGGCCUGCCCAGGUCAAAAAACAAUUCUCAAAAGUGAGCAAUUUUCACAAGCAUUUUUAGUUUUUGGUCAUUUUAAGGUGGCCUUCCUUUUGAGGGAUCCCAUCGCGGAUUUCUCUUAUGAAUCUUUGCAAAACACAUUGUUCAAUGUCUCAAAGUUUAGAUGACAUGCAUGCAUCCUUACCUGAUUUGAAAUAUAGAUCCACAUUUCUUCUCAAUCUUCUUGUUGCUUGAUUAGUGAGGACUUGAUAUCUCUGAUUUGGAUCAUAUUUGUCAUUUGGUUUCUAGCCCACUCGAGUUGGCCAAUAUAAGUCUUUUUCUAGAUUUGUUUACACAACUCAACCUUCAUGGUGCCCAUCAUGACCCACUUGCAUGCUAGAGAUUUUUUAUCUCGUUGAAUAAUUUGAGAGGAUCAUUCAUUACUCCCCGUCUAGCUGCUAAAAACAUUCGGUGUCACUUGUUGAAAGAAUCAAGCAGCCUUUUGUAAACCAAAAUGUCCUUUGGUCUUGUUGUAGGAAAUGUUCCUCUCAUUUUUUUUCUAGAAGGGAUCGAUUUUCCUUCUAAACACAAUGUUUCCCCCUUGUACUAGUCAUUGCCUCUAAGUGUGCUAUGUCAACGACUUAAAUAAAUAAUGAUUUCUCUCAUAUUCAGUUUGGUGAGGGAAUAUUUGUCUAAAAUGAAUCUUGAAAUCUUGAUCCUGCAUUUUGAAAACCAAAAUUGUUUCGAUGUGAGUUAAAGCAAUUUUCCUUUUGAAAUCUUGCAACUCCCUGGUUAUAUUUCUUGGAAAAGAGAUGAGUUGCUCUUGUGUUGGCGAUAUUGUCAUUGGUGAAAGUACGUGAUGAGGUGACCUUUUUUUAUGGGUUUUCAAAGUGAAGGGCUCGAGAAAAAGCUCGAGGUUUUGUUUGAGAAAAAUUUAUCUUUUUUUGAACAAUUAUUUUAUCAUCAUGAAUAAUAAUGAGUAGCUUAUUCUCAAUGUUAUGACUCUUAUGAAAAAGUACUCUUUGCAUUUUGAGAGCAUUGUUUACUGUUCCAAGUUGCUUGCUUGCUUGAUUAGAAAAGACUUCUACAGGUAUGUAACGUAGGCUGUGAUUUUUUGCUAUGAAAGAAAAGAAUUCACAAGGCUAAGGAUCAAUAUCAACAGUUCGACUCUUUGAGUAUUUUAUCUCUCUUUUUUUUCUGCUUUGAUUUGUCCCCUUUCAUUGUUUUAGCCAGGGCAUGCUCACUUUGUUUAGGCUAUUAGUUUUUCUUGUGAUUUGGGAAUGCCCCCUAUCAUUUGAGUUUCUUGGGCUCUUUUGUCUUUUUGGCUUUCUCACGGCUUUUUCCUCUUUUUUGAUAAUUGAAAUUUUCACUUACCCCCAGUAUGGGGUGUAAUCAUAGUCAGGAUUUUCAUGAAAGAAAAAUUUAUUCAGGCUAAAAAAGGAACCACAAGGGAUAUAUUUAUUUAAGAACAUGAAAGGAAUAACAAAGAUGAUUUGUUCUCAUUUUAAACGCAAGCAGUUAAGAUCAAUAAAUAUCCAGGCCAAUUUAUCCAGGCCAUCUUCUCUCACCAUCUUGUCCUUUUGAGAUUCCUUCAUUGUAAAAUCAAUGGUAGACGACCUUUUUAUGGGAUAUGCUGGUUGAGCAAUUUGAGAAUACGUAGUCUGUUAAGAUUCAAAUGACACCUAUUUUUCCCCUAGAUUCUGUGAAUUUGCGAGCAAAAGUUCAGGUUGAGCCGUAAACUUUGCUUCUCUGAAUUUAGAUCUAAAGGCCUAUUCGAGUAGACUAGUAAGCCUUGCGACUUCUUCUCUAAGACUUCCCAUCUCUUUUCGGUGUUGAACUUCCAACUGAGUUCUUUCUUCAUUAUCCAUUUGUCUUUUUCACAGUCAAGUGUUAUAGGUGUGUUUCAAUAGCGAACCUAUAUUUCAACCCACUAAAUGAAAGUUAUGCAAUCAUGCGCAAGUGAGGACGCUAUCAACAAGGAAAAUCCAGAUUCAAUGUGGUCUCGCCCUUCAUGGGGUGGCAAUGGUCGCUAUUCAUGGAUUUUAGGAACCUGAUGUCGUUCUGAUGCCAACGAGGGGAUCCUUGUCCAGUCUUGCUUAAGUUUGAGCUUUCAGCUUUCAAUUUAAGUUUAUCCUCUUUUGUCAACUGUAACAACUCAAACUCUUGUAUCCUACAUGAUGGUCAUUUAUCAUCCACCAAUGGUCUUGGAAUUCAAGAUGUCGUAUGUCGGGCUAGCCACAGUGAGACUAUACAGGGUACAACCUAGUAGGAGAGUUCUAGUCGUUUAAGUGAAUCAAAGGAUAGGUCACUAUCUAGUCUUAAAGGGUCUCUCACAUGCUUAGUAAUCGUCCUUGAAAGGUCGAUAUGAGGCUUACCAGUGGUGUGAAGAUAGAGGUCCUGAAUAAUAUUAGAUCGGCAUAUCAAUUAAUAUCAAGUAAACAAUCAAGCGAAAGUUGGAUGGUUUCACGAGUCUUGCCCAGGUUAAAGCCAUUGGGGUACCGUUACUUCCCCACCUAUCAUAAAUUUCAACGUGUGUGCUCUUGAAGUGAUGCAUGACAAUAUGGAUGCGUGCUAAAGCGGUAAAAAACAAUAACCAUAUAAACACAACACAACAAACAUUAUAGCAAUUGACAAAUAAAAAGCAAAGCUUAGUCCUAUAAUUCCCUAGUGGAGUUGUCAUUUUGUCACACUUGGACAUCGCAGCGACCAAUAAAAAAUAUUUGGAAAAAGAACAGAUAUCUGGCAUCUUGUUUUUUGGGGGAAAAUGUCUAGUUCAAGGAGUCGUCACCUAAUAUUAUGGUCUCUAGGAACCCUAACUGGUAAACAGAGAUUCUAUGGUAUGAGACUAGUUACGUGAAAGGGAAGAUGUUAUCACCCCUUAAGCAUCCUACAUGAGACAGACUGCAUUGCUUGUUUUGUCUAAAAUUGCUAAGAAUUUUUUUUCCUCUUUUUGUAGUCUUCCUAUAAUGUUCCUGACUCUGACGUCAAUGAACAUUUAUUUACAAAUAUUUCCAACUCUCGCAUUGGUAAAUAUUGCACAACCCAAAAUGUGUGAUACUCCUGACUCUUACACUAGUGAAUAAACCCGCAAAAUUUGAGUUUUAAGAAAAGGAAGCUAUUUUUAUUUUUUUUUAUUUUUUUUUGCUCGAUCUAGCCCAGCCAUACGGGUUGGGCUAGGCCUAGUGGCCCAACCUGGUGAAUGGCCUAAGCCAGUGACCUGGCUGGCCACUGUUGCACGCAUGCUUGAAUGGUUCACGCAUGCUUGAAUGGUUCACGCAUGCAUGCAACAGUAACCGGUUAAUUAUUUUAGCAAGCAAGGAAGGAAACUUACCUGGACGUGUCGAUGCUGGAGGCAAAGUCGAGAGAGAUGAUCGGAUGACGCUGGAGACCGAUGGUAAGGCAAACAUCUCGACUUUCCCUUCAUUCUUCUGUGUUUCUCCUUUCUCCCAAGUCUUUUUUUUCCUCUCCCUUUUCCUUUCUGGUUUCUAUUACUCCUCGCUAUUAUGAAAGGGGAAUGGAGUUGUUGGCCGGAGAAUCACGGUGGGGAGAGAAGAGCGCCUGUUGACACGACCAAAGAGUUGAUGUCUUAUCCCAAGUGUAGGAGUGUCGAAGUAAUAAAUAACCCGGCAAGACCGGGGUCGAACCACAGGGAGGUUAACUGUAUAAACUACAAAUAAAGAAAUACAUAAUAACAGAAAAGGAGUUGAAGAGAGCUUUGAGAUGUGAUAUUGAUAUAAGGAUUAAACAAGGAUAAAAUAAUUGUCAAGGUUAGAGGAUCCACUAAUGGUAUUGAUAUAAGGAAAUACAUAAUAACAGAAAAGGAGUUGAAGAGAGCUUUGAGAUGUGAUAUUGAUAUAAGGAUUAAACAAGGAUAAAAUAAUUGUCAAGGUUAGAGGAUCCACUAAUGGUAUUUCAAACAAGUAUAGUAUAAACUCUUUUUAUUACUCAACUAGAAACCACACGCAAAGAAGGUUCCAAUCGGAUUAUAAAUUGUUAACAUGAUUACAUUAGUUAUCUUAUUCGAAUAAUGUUAAUACUUGUAAAUGUUGUCAGGUAUUCAUGAUUAUAACUUAUGUUAACAACAAAUCAAGUUCCUUUCAUAGCACAGGUGUCAGUUAUACCAUACGGUUGGGCUAUGAAAGUGCCAAGUAUUUGUUGUACCAAGGGUUAUACAACAUAAAUCUAGAUUAACCAUUUAACAAGCAAAGUAUUAAAAGUGAACAAGAUAACAAAUACAAAACAUGUUAGUAUCAAACAUUAAAGUCCAUGUUGAGUUUAUACUAUGCUUAUUCUUACACCAUUAGUGUAACCUUUCCACCUUGACAUAAUAAACUUAGCUAAACAUAAUGAAAGAGAGAAACAUAAAUAAACAAGAUAAGAACAUAAAUAAGAUAUAAGUUAACUAAGUAAAGGAAAUGAAAUGAAAAGCACAAACAAGAUAUUAAUAUAAACAAAACUUAAGCAUUAAAAAAAUAUAAAGAGAGAGAGCAAGAACAUGAUCUUGAUAUGAAAACCAAGAUGCCUAAAUGCAUGGCAAAUGCCUCCUUUUAUAGGCCAAAAUUUGGAUUUAUUUGUUGUUAUUCAUUUUUGGACCCCACGUGCUGAAGAUGGUGUGUACCCCUUUUGAACCAAGUGCAAGAGUGUAGCUCAUGUUUGAUGGAAAAUUGACAAAAACAAAGGAGAAAGAAAUAUUUUUUCGAACCCUGUUUGAGUUAUUUUCUACUCUUUUUAUCCCUCCCUUUGCUGCCAAAAGCGUCAGGUUUUUUUAGGCUAAUAAGGAGUCAUCAUAUAAAUCCCUCAGAAUUUGCAUUUUAAAAAAAAACUGAUUCUGCUGCUGUCGCAAUUUUUUGUUCCAACUUAGGCUCUAAUUUUGACUUGGUUUCGUAUGAUAUCUGACCAUCCUAGCUAUAUUUUGUCACUCAUGACAUGUUGAAGAAUUGACCUACACCUUUAUUGGGUCCUAGGGAUCACUGUUCUUAGGGCAGACUCUCAGUCAGAUUUGGAUGCUCGACAUUGUUAGAUCAAGAACCUUUUUGACCAACCAGAUUCAUGCCAGAUUCUGUUAUCUAAAAAUAUUUUAUUUGACUUUGAAUCCUUCAUCAAAGUUGUAGUCUAGGACACGUAGAUGAAUUUGGGCUUUUGAAUUGCUUGAUUUCGAUAUCAAAAGCUCAAGAUAUUCCUCUUUGAAAUCUAGCGUAAAAACAUAGAAUCCUGUCGCGAGAAGAUUUCCAGCCGAGUUUGGUUUCAAUUCUGUUUUUCAAAACGAAUUUAUCCUUCAUGAAAGUUGUAGCUCUACAAGUGUAGAUGAAUUUGGGACUUUUGAAUCGCUUGAUUUCGAUAUCAAAAGCUCAUAAUAUUCUUGUUUGAAUAUCUAACGUGAAAGCAGAGAAUUCUGCCGCGAGAAGGAUCCUGACCCGAGUUUUGCACUAAAGACUCUAUUUCCAUCACAAAUUUUGUUGAUUUGUUCUUAGGUCAUACUCUCAGUCAUAUCGGGAUGCUCGGCAUUAUCAGUUUCUGAAUUAGAUCAGGAGACCCUUUUUGACCAACCAGAUUACUACCAGAUUCUAUUCUCUAAAACGAUUUUAUCUCACUUCGAAUCCUUCAUCAAAGUUGUAGUCCUGGACGUGUAGAUAAAUUUGGGCUUUUUAAUCACUUGAUUUCGAUAUCAAAAGCUCAAGAUAUUCCCGUUUGAAUAUCUAGUGUGAAAGUAGGGAUUCCUGCCGUGAGAAGGAUUUUUGCCCGAGUUUGCAGGGAUACAAUUCUAAGAUGCUUAAAGUUUGAAGACCAAUUGCAGGCCAAUUUGAAGCUCUUUUUUGGAUCGAGGACCAAAUGGAAAAGGCGCUAAAAUAAGGAAAUUGAUUGAAGAUAAAAUUAGAAGGAAGAAAUUGAAGAACCACGUUUUUUUUUCUGCACAACUAUCCCAGUUUUUCUUUCUUUUUAUCUGCAAUUUCCUGUUUGGUUUCCAUGUUUCUCUUGCUGGAUUGGAGAGCUGCAGACCAUGUUUUUAUUGCCUCAUUUCAAAGGAAACAACUGGUGCCUCAUGGUCCCAGCUAUGGAAUAAAAGAAAGGAGUUGUACCACCCUUUGAUCAAUGGAAACUAAAUGCUGAAAAUCAGAAUAUGAAUCAUAAUAUUUUAGUUUCCUUUUUAUGUUUUUUUACUGCAAAUCAGUAGGGAUUUGCAUCCUAGAAUUAAUGCAUUGAAUCUUUCCUAAAUAGAGAUAUAUUAGACUAUAUAUAAGCCCCUCUAAUGACCUAUCGAAAGGGGGAGAAAAAGAAAGAAAGAGCAGAGAAAAAGAGAAAAAGAAAGACAAGAAAAAACGCAAGAGAGGCUGGCAGUAGGAGAAAAAAAACUCAGAAAACAGAGGGACAUUUCUUUCUUGCAUUCUUGCGUUACUGUGAGAAGGAGAAGGAAAAAAAGAGAGACGGAGGCAAAACAAGGAGAAAGAAAGGAGGCUUUUCGUUGAUACUAAAAAACCUUCACUGGAACGUGAAAGAAAGAAAAAAAAAGGAUACAGAGCAGAGAAGAAGAAAAGAGGGGGAAGAAAAAAAAAGGAGAAAAAGAGAGGCAAGCGGCAGGAAAAACAAGAAAGAGCAAUAGAACACAAACUCCACUAUCAUAUCAUAGCUUCAACGUCAUUGUUUUUGUCCGUCAGGAGGCACGCGUGAGCUGUUUCUUGGUCUUUUGUUUCAUUUCCUGCAAAACAGGAUCUGCAGGUUUCUUCCAUAGUGUUCCAGCUGCGAGAACUUUAGGGACCCUCACGUUCUUUUCUUUUCUUACGCCUGCUGGAGGAAAGGAUCUGCAGGUGUUUCUUCCCUAGUGCUCCAGCUACAAGAACUUUAGGGACCCUCACAUUCUUUUCUCUUCUUACGCCUACUGGAGGAAAGGUUAGCCGGCCAUGACUUUGUCUUUUUGUUUAUAAUAAAGCUUGCUUUCCCAGUUUCUUUUUUUUCUCUCUGUUGGCGUGGUGAAACGAAUAAGGCAGUUUGUUUUUAAGAUGAGGAAUUAGUGGGGCUGUGAGGCACGGACAUAUGGUUUUGAGUUCAAAAUUUCAGUUUUAGAACUUUGGCUCCCUCAUGCAUAUGGGUUUUUCCUUUUCCAGUUACAGAAUUUUAAGUUGAUUUGGCUUUGAACGGUUUUUUACGAGUUGUUUCAAGCUUCUUGUAAAUCUUAUAAUAUGUAUGAUGGCUUGCUACUUUCCAUUUUGAUGUUUACGUUUAAUUGUGUUGUUUGCGUUUUGCCAAAAAAAUAUGUUUACUUGUGUGUUGCAUACGACCAAUAUCCUAAUAUAUUGUGAACGUUUUUUUUUAUAUAAAAAAUAUUGAAAGUUUUGAAAAUGUGUUUUCGCGUGGAUUUCUUAAACACAACAAAAAUUAUUUUCUUGCAUUUCUGGAUUUUACAACAUAUUUGUAAAAUUCCAAGGGGUAUUCGCCAAUAUUCCAAAAAAUACAAAAAUCUUAUUUUUUAGGGGAAUUCAUCUAUUAUUCACCGUUAAUGUUUGGAUAAAGAAAUUCCAAAGGGAUGAAUAUCCAAAAUAUUAUUGGGAAUAACUUGUUAUUAUUCACUGUUAAUAUUUGGAUAAAGAAACCCUCAGUGGUAAAUAUCCAAAACAAUUUUCUAGGAAUAAUAAGUCAUCACGCAGCCUUGAUUAUAAUCGAGGACAUUUCAAUUUUUGACUCCAUGGUUUACGAGCCGUGAGAGUAUGAAAUACUAAGACAAAAAUAGGCUUUUAAAGGGCCCUGAAUUUCCUUAGAUUUCUAAAUUUUUGUCCUUCCUCGUGAUUUACGAGUCGCAAACUCUUGAAAUAUUAAGGGAAAAAUGAGUUUUUAAAGCAUAUGGAAUCUCCUUGGAUUUCUAUCUUAAUAAAUUUAGUUUGAAUCAAACAUAGAUUUCAAGAAAACUGCAUUGGUUCUCCUUGGCACUUUGUAGACAUAUCUAAAGGUAUGAUCCAUGUUGGCCAAGGGUUCUUGCUUUUAGACUUUGAACCCAAAUCCAUUUAUCAUAGCAAACCUAUCCUAGGAAAACUAAUUAAGAGACACCAACACCAUAGCAAUUAUAAGGCAAACCAAACACCAAGCAGCUUACCUUAGGUAGGGCGUACUAGGGGUGCUAAUACCUUCCCUUUACCCAACCAGUCCCUUGCCUUGAAAUCUCUGAAAGACCAGUUAGGGUUCCUAGUGACCAUAAUACUAGGUGGCGACUCCUUUACUCACAAAAACAAAAACAACCUGAAAUCAAUUGAGGGUCGCUGCGACACCGCGCUCCGCCGCGAUGGUGCGACACUAUUGAUUUGAUGACUAAUUGUUGAGUAGGUGGCCACAUCUUGACUUGGUGACAAUCCUUAUAUUCUUGUCUAAACAAAACAUCAUUGCUAACGUUAGAAUUUGAAAAGAUAGUCUUCAUGAAAGUUCUAGGAAAUUGUCUAAGCUUUCCAACAUAAAUAGAAUCGGUGCAUUUGGACUUCUAGAACUCAAGAUAUGGGCUGAACACUGAACAGUGUCUGGACUGCAGGACAUAUUUCGACUUCUCAGUUGUUGCUACAAUUUGAACUUGAAAACGACCUUUUUGAAUCUUGGACUCUUCAUGAAAGUUUUAGGCCUAUGUCUUAGCUUUGCAUCCAUAUAGACCAGACCUAAAUCCAAGUUCUACAGCUCCAGGUAUGAUCUAAUAACCGAAUAGUGUUCUAGUAUGGACUAAAGCAGCAUCUCUUUUCUAAGCUUGCCCCUCUCUUUGUCUUCUCAAUUUCAGUAGUUAAACUCAUCAAUCAAUCCUUUGAUUUUUGUGAUAGGCCUGCAUUUAAGAUGAACAUUUACCAUAAAUUAAAGGUAUCUUAUAGUAUCAGACUUGUCAUUAUAAAACAUGCUUUAGUUAAGGAGUUAUUGAUACUUUAAGUAAAAAAUGAUGAUAUAAAACCUUGAUAAAAAUGCACUUUUAAAUACUAAUCACACCCCUCCAACCUGCUUAUUACUAGUCCCUAGUAAUCAAAGCGUUAAAAUAGAAAAACAAUUUGCAAGUUCCACAAAGCAAGGCAUUCAUCAUUCAACUUCCAUUAAUUUAUCCAAAUAAACAAACUCAUUAAAUUUAUAUAUCUACUUCAUACUUCUUAAACAAGAUAUUAAUAAACCUUCUUUUUUAUGUGUGUCGCACGUCACCCGUGCGGCAUCGUUUGACGAUUUUCGUUUGCUUGCUUUGAUUCGUUGGGAGUCACCACCUAGUAUUUAAUUGAGGGUUAGUAGGAAACCCGAAUGUACUGGUCUUGUCAGUGAUUCACGAGUAAGGGACUGGUUGUGAUUAGGGAAGGUAUUAGCACCCCUAACGCACCCUACAUGAGGUAAGCUGCUUCGUGGCUUUGAUAUGAUAAAGAAGUUUUAAAAAUUUUAUCUUUUCAUCGGAUAUUAAAAAUACUACUUGCAUGUAAGUUCAUAAUUCUUGAUCGUGAGCAAAUCAAAAUAUUAAAUUCUUCUUUAUUCUUUGCAAUUUUAUCAUAAAAAAACAUCCAUAACAAAAACAAAUGACACAUUUACUUUCACUAUAUUUUUUUUUCUUUUUUUUUAAUUCAAUAACAUACAUAAAAAAAAUAUGAACACACACACAUCCCUUUUUUUACUAUGUUUUUCUCAUUCACCCACAUUUGCAUGUUACAAAAUAUUAAAAUUUCAAAAUAAAAUCAAACAGUAAUCUAAAUACACACAGUAAUGUCUGAAAAUUACAAAAAACAUAAAUAAAUCCUUAGGAAUAGUGUUGGAAUAGUGGCGGUGCAUUGUUCCACGAACCAAAAACAACCAAAAACAACCAAAAACAACUAAAUACACCGAUGAAGGUGACAAAACUGGUGGAUCGAGAACGUCUUCCUCUUCUCUGUCUCCCUAUGCCGGCGGUGACCUGCAAAACAACCAAAAACAUAACAGGCAGUUGAUUUUAAUUUUUCUUUCUUUUUUGGUCCAGAUCGGUUCACAAUCUUCUUUCCCUUCUCCUUCUUCGGAUCUACUUCACUGUCGGUCAGUUUGACAUGGGUUUCGUCUUCUUCUACUCUACUUCGGGUGGUAGGUUUGGUGGUUGUAGAAGGGGCGGCGGCGUUGAUGAUCUCCGCUCCUGUUGGUUGCCGUGGCGGUUGGGCUUGCUGCUGGAGGAAGAAGGCGUUGCUGCACGGGGAGUGGGCCGUCACUGUGGGAUGAAAAAGGCGGGUAGAUGUGGCGGUGUCGAGUCACGAUGGAAGUGGAAGGGGCUGGCUUCAGGCUGUUGUUCUGGCCGUUACUAUUGAGGGAGAGGGUGGUCUGUGUGCAGCUGAGAGAGGAAAGUGGCUGGUUGCUGUGGUGAAGGUGGGGAUGGCUAUGGAAGAAGGAAUCAGGAGCAAAGGUUGGAGGUGGGACAGCGGCUUGAAGAGGGAGAACGGCCUGUGGAUGGGUGCUGCGGUGAGGGUUUUCUUUUCCAAAGGAGGGAGCGACAGCUUGGAGAAGAUGAGAGGAAAAGAGGGGGGGCGCUCCUUUGAAAGAGAUGGGUUUAGGGUUAGGGUUUUUAUGUGUUUUUUUCUAAUGUUUCAUAAUUGCCCCCACCCUUUUGUAUGUGUUGAAAACUCCUAUUUAUAGGCAAAAAUGUUGCUAGGUCCCCAAACUUGGUCCCUCAACUUCUUUCUUUUUUUAUAAAUUUGAUUUUUCUUACUUUUUUAGGAUUUUUUCUUAUCAACAUCGACUCGAAAGAGGAAAAUCGGUGAUUUUAAAAAUAACACGUUAAAAGUUGAACGCGUUCUAAAAACCUUUGAAAAUUUAAAUUCUUUUGAGACGAUGCUAAAAAUGCUAAAAAUGAUGCAAAUAUAUUAAAAAACAUAUUUUUUGGAUUUUUGUUGUUUUUCGCUAUUUUUGGAUUUUUUUUAUGAAAAUUUAUCAAAACAUAGGUCAAAAAUUGGGUAGCAACAAUGUGCUCUGUCGCACCCUCCCGAGAGCUCGACGUCGCGGCGACACUUCCUUCGUAGCGGGGAUUGAUAUUUGGGGUCUUUCUGUUGUGAAAAAGGGAGUCGCCACCUAGUAUUAUGGUCACUAGGAAACCUAACUGGUCUUUCAGAGAUUCUAAGGCAAGGGACUGGUUGCGUAAAGGGAAGGUUUUAACACCCCUAGUACGCCCUACCUAAGGUAAGCUGCUUGGUGUUUGAUUUGCCUUAUAAUUGUUAUGGUGUUGAUGUUCCUUGGUGUUAAUAUUUGUCUCGUAAACCAUGGAGUAAAGAAAAUUGAAAUGUCCUCGAUUAUAAUCAAGGCUUCUUUCAAGGAUUUGUGCGGAUUUAUUAUUCCUAGAAAAUUAUUUUGGAUAUUUACCACUCCGGGUUUCUUUAUCCAAAUAUUAACAAUGAAUAAUAACAAAUUAUUCCCAAUAAUAUUUUGGAUAUUCGUCCUUUAAGGAUUUUUUUUAUCCAAACAUUAGCGGUGAAUAAUAGACGAAUUCCCCCAAAAUAAGAUUUUUAUAUUUUUUGGAAUAUUGGCCAAUACCCUUUGGAGUUUUACUAACAUGUUGUAAAAUCCAGAAAUGCAAGAAAAAUGAUUUUUGUUGUGUUUAAGAAAUCCAUGCGAAAACACAUUUUCAAAACUUCAAAUAUUUGUUUUUUAUAUAAAAAAACGUAAAACAAUGUUAGGGUAUUGGCCGUAUUUAAGAAAACAAAACAUUUUUCAUUUUAUAUUUUUUUGAUGUCUCGACGAAAACCGGGUAUUUUCAUACCGGACUUGUAUCUUUACCAUAUAAAAAAUACAAGCAGAUAUUGAUAAACAAUGCAUCAACAAACUUUCAGAAAAUCACAUAUUUAAAUAAUUCUUUUAAAGAAAAUUUUCCGAAUGGGCCAGACCCGGCCCAAAAGGAAAAUGGGCCGAAAUCAGCCCAAAAAUAAAAUGGGCCAACUUUCUACAGGGCUGGACUCAGCCCAGCCCAAAACCACAUGACGGGUUACUAUUCACUAUACAGUAACCGGGUUACUGUUCCUCUGCACAGUGACAUGUUAAUUAAUUUUACAGUUACUGUGCACAUGCACAGUAACCGGGUAAUUAUUGUUUUCUCACAUUAAUAAAGCAAACUGCAUGCAAAAGACCACGUUACUGUUCAAGUGAAUUAAAUUUCACUUGAACAGUGCAAACACAAAGCAAAUAAUGCUCACGGUGCGGGAGGUUACAGUUUAAUCAAAGUUGGCGCAUUAACUGUUCAAGUGAAUUAAUUCACUUGAACAGUGCGGUGAAAUGCAGGCAAAGAGAACCUGUUACUGUUCAAGUGAAUUAAAACUCACUUGAACAGUGUAAAUGCAAAGAAAACCACUGCGCACACAAGGUGAAAAGAACAAACCUGGAGAUGAAGAAGCUGUCUGCGUUCUUCCGUUCCCAGUCUUUCCCUCCUGUCCUAUGUUGGCGUCGGUUUCCCUGGUUUUUCCUUUCCUCUACGUCUUUGUCACUCUCUCUCUCCUCGGUUUUCUGCUCUUUCUUCUCCUCUGUUCUGCAAGUGUUAUAUGUAAAAAAAAUGAAAGCAAAGCCCGAAAGAGAUGAUGAGCUGGUGCGGUUGGUGGUGGUUGCUGCCACUGCUCUUCCUCCUCUCUGGUGUUGCUGCGGCUGCCUUUCCUCCUGGUGCUGCUACUGCUGCUGGGAUGGAGGAGAUGAUGAGGUCGUUGGCAGCGCUGGUGCGGCUCCUGGUGUUGCUGCUGCUGCUCUUCUCCUGGUACUGCUGGACCGAAGGAAAUGGUGAGCUGACGAUGGCGCUGCGGAAUGGAUGUUCUUCUCUCUGUAUUCUCUUGCUCUUUCUCCGUUUUCCUGUUGGCUGCUGCUUUGCCUAGUGCCUGCUCCUGGUCUGCUGGCGAAACCGGUUUUCUUCAGUCUUCACUGUCUGCGCUCGCCUUCUGCUCUCUUGCGUCUUUGUUUUGCUUCCGUUUCUCUUCUCUCCCUCUCCUCCGUUCUGUUUUCCUUUCUCACAGUAACGAAAGGAUGAAGGAGAAAAACUCACUCUGUUCUCGUGUUGCGGGAAGGGAAGGAGGGCUCCUGCUGAUUCUGCUACUGCGGCUGAGGCAAGGUGCAGCUUCGGCUGGUUCUGCUACUGCAGCUGAGGAAGGAUAUGGCUGCGGAGGAGGUUACAGCUGGGCGAGUGGCUUGGCUCGUUCCUGGUUGCUGUUGGUGCUGGCCAUGGUUCAGCACAGGUGGUGCUGCUAGCUGCUCUUCCUCCUAGCGUUGCUGCGGCUGCUCUUCCUCCUGGUGUGGCUGCUGGGCUGAAGGAGAUGAUGAGCUGACGAUGGCGCUGCGGCUGCUGGCUGGUCCUUCUGUGAUUUCUUCUGUUUAUCUUCUCUCCUUCUGCUCGUCCCUGUUGUAUUCUUCCUCAUCCAUUUGGUCUCUGGUCUUCUUCCCCGUGCUUCCCGUCUUGGCUCUGCUGAGAAGAAAAUGGUUGCUGCUGCUGUGUAGUUCGGGAAGGUGGUCAGGAAGGUGGCGGUGUGCUUCCAAACGGUGGAGGGAGAGAGCAGAGAGAGAGGUUACCGUUCUUCUCUUCCCCUCUGUUUUCCUCCUUUAAUUGCCAUUUUCUUUCGUUCAAAACUUUCCCCCUCCUUUAGUUUUCCAGCCCUCUCCCCUUUUCAAAAAAACUCUCCCCUGGUAAAUUAAUUGUGAGCGGUAUUCAUAGGCACAAGUGGAGCGGGGCAGCAGCGUGCGCAUGGGGAGCAGGGGACACCAAGCCAGGGCAGCCUGCGCUGCUCCCACGCCUGCGCUGCUCCCCACUCCUGAGGGUCUCAGGCAGCGGCAUGCACAUGGGAGGAACGUUGUCUACACUAUUUUGGUUUUUUUCUUUUUAUUUUUUUUUUAUUUUUGUGGGGAUCCAAAAAUGGGUUACAACAUGCUCAAUGUAUGAAAAACAUAAAUGAUGUGGCUUUUAUUGGAAGAAAACAAUAUUCUAUUCUAAUGUUUUUCUAAGGUUAACUGUCUUGGGUUGGGUUAUUAUCUUUUUUUUUCUUUUUUUUAAUAUAUAUACAUAUAACUUAAAACAUAAUGCAUCUUUAACCCAUGUAACGAGCUUUUGGCUAAUGACUCUCAGACCAGUUGGUUUUAGAGCAUUAGGUGUUGAGACACCCCUACGAGCUUAGUUAUUCGAGUUGCAGAUACUGAUACGUAGAUAGUGCAAUGUUUGAUUCCCUUAAGCUUUUCUCCUUAACCCAUGUAACAAGCUUUGGGCCAAUAGCUCCCAAGUCAAUUGACUUUAGGGUAUUAGGUGUUAAAACAACCCCUUCGGGCUUAAUUGCUUGGGUUAGGGAGGCUACGAAACCAAACUUAUCUACAUUUUUAUUAUCAUCAAUAUUAUCAAUUUUUUUUUUUUGCAAAUUAUAUACUAUCAAUUUCCCUUAGUUGUUACAUUUAACAAAAGAACAUAAAUAAUGUAAUAAUCCAAUGUGCAACCCACAAUCAUAUGUUAAAGUGUGUAUGUGAAAAUGAAGGUUUAAGAAUACUUGUUAAAUGAGUAUAUAAACAGAAUCAAGUGAUAACAAUGCGAGAGUUUGUAAGUCUGAAUAUUUCAAGAAGUAUUCUGAUAGACCUUGAUAAGAAUAUUUACUAAGAUGCGUCUCAAGUGUCAAUAAAAUUCCUCCUUACUCUGCCAUCCUAAUAACAGUUUUGUCAAAUGGUUUUAAUAAUAGCAAAAAUAGUUAGUACGUUAGUUUUUUUUAUGUCAACUACUACCCUCUCCUCCCAACCAAAACGAGACAUUGUCAUCAAUGUCCUAAGGUAGAAAGAUAAAGUAUCACUACAAGAUUCCACAGUUUUACUGACGGAACAAUUCCGUCGGUGUGUGAUUAGAAGUUCGUCGGUGAUUUUUUUACCGACGUCAUCACCGACGGAUUACGUCCGUCGGCUUUCCCUUCGUCGGUGAUUCCCACUUCCAUCGCCAUAUCGGUCGGAAAAACAAAAAAACCAUUUGCCGAUGGUUUUACAGACGGAAUUUGCGCGCUGAAAAAAAAAAGAUUCCCGCUUGAAAUAUACCGACGGAUUUUUCGUCUGUAGGUGAUAUUCCCGCUUGAAAUAUACCGACGGAGUUUUAGUCCGUCGGUGGUAUUCCCGCUUGAAAUAUACCGACGGAUUUUUAGUCCGUCGGUGAUAUUGUGAUUGACCGACGGAAAAGAACCGUCGGUAAAUCUGUCGGUGAGUGUAUGAAAUACCGACCGAAUAUGUCCGUCUGUAAAUUCAUCGGUACGUGUUGAAGCUACUGUUAAAUACCGACGGAUUACUUCCGUCGGUAAUUCUAUCGGUGAUGUUUUAAAAUCCCGACCGAAUUCAGCCGUCGGUAAAAUCCUUGGUAAUAUUUUUUUUCUUAAUUUGUUUUUAAAAACUUAUUUAGAAUAUAUAAUAUAAAACUAUAUAAAUUAAUUGUAAUACAAACCAAUUAUGAAAAUAAAAUUUAUAUUAAACAUAAAAAAAAAAACAAAGUUAAAUAAUAUUCAUUACAAACUGAAUAUGUUUCAAGAAAAAUAUUAAAUGAAGUUUUAAAGGUAAAUAAUGUUGAUUACAAAUUAAUAUAAAGGUGGACCUGGUGGAGGAGGAGGAGAUCCUGGCAGAGGCUGGUGGUUAUACGGCCAAAAAGGAUUAGGCGCACAUGUUCCACUAUUUGACAAGUUCAUAAUCAUUUCGUGAAGCUGUUCAUAAGCCGCUUUUUGUUGUUCAUGAGCCGCUUCAUACUCCGCUUUUUGUUGUGCUUGAGACGUUUUGAGUUGCUCAGACUCCGCUCUUUGUUGUGCAUGAGACGCUUUGAGUUGUGCGUACUCCGCUUUUAGGUUAUCGUAUUUCUUGGUGAGCUGAGCCGUGUGUUGCUGCAAGGCCACGAACUCCUUAGAUUGAGAGCUCGAUAUUGAUUGGGAGCUCCCAACGGUUGAAACACUACGGGUCGACCGCAAGUUGUCGGCCGUAGUGUUGGAGAGCCCGUAAACCCGAUUUUUAUCGGGUCCACCUGACGAGCCAACCUCCAUCCACAAAUCCGGAUCGAAUUCCGGAUGGGUCAAAAUAUCGUCCCCGUAUCUCUCCCUUAACCGAUUAUUAUAGGUCUCCUGAAAAUAAAAAUAAAAAGUAAUCAUCAUAUUCAAUACAAUGAACAUAAUAACUUACAAAAUAAAAUGGUUGAAAACAAACAUACCACGAAAUGCUGAGCACGGUUAUCAACGAACUGUUGCGGCCCCUUCUAGCGGUCUUGACUCUGCACGUGAGUCUCCACAAACAGCUCCAUCGGGCUCGAUUCACGUCCAAGAGACGCAGCCUAUAAUGAAAAAGGAUAUAUUAACAACAACUGAAUUUAACGAUAUAUUUCAUUUAAAUUAAUCUUACCAUCCGUUUCGCAUGUGCAGCAAACGGAACGGAGCCGCCAGUGUGCGUUGUCACCCAGCCAUGAAUUGGCCGAUUCCGGUUGCCAGCACCGGACUGUGAGCGUCGUGUGAACCGCUCAGACAUCACGUGCUCAAGAUAGUGCAGCCAUAUAUCUUCCGGGAUGUAUAUCGGUUUGAAAUCCCUCCAAACCGCAACAUCGUUCCAGCCUUGGAAACCCCUAUCCCUCGCGGUUUUUUUUGCCUUUUUCUGUGCUUCAUACCAAAAAUCACGCAACCUACUUCACGCAACCAAAAAUUACAUUUCGAAACAUAAAUUUUUGUCUAAAAAAAAUCCUGUAUUGUUUUCGAUCUUACCUAGUUGCCGCGUGAUUUUCCCACACCCUCCUCACAACAGUGUUAUGCUCACUAUCCCAGCAGAAUUUGUGCUGUGUAUAAAUAAACAAGUUUAAAUAAAAACAAUAAUUUAUUUACAAUUAUAUUAAUAAUUUAUUAGAAAUAAGCUGAAAAUUAUAAAUUAACACCAACCUGAAAUCUGCCAAACCAUGCAAUGAUUUGAGGCAUCCAUUCAGGAUGCUUGGAUAUCUGACUCCAUUGAAACAAUGGAAUCUCCAUCGACGUUUUAAACGCUGAUGAUAUUACUCGGGCGGCUUCAAUGUUUGUGAACCUGAAAAUAAAUGAAAUAAAUUCAAUAGUGAUUACUUCAUAAAUUAUGUUGUAAUUUAAAAAAAAAACUAAAACCUUAACAAACUUACAUCGAAAGGUCGUCCUUCCACUGUGCCUCGUACUUGCGGCUAAAUUGAUUCCGCUGCGAAGGCACGCCGCCUCUGCGCUGUGAAGUACCGCUGGAAGAGGCAACAUCGGUUGACGUCGCAGGUGGUGGAGGUGCCUCUUCUUGAGCGGCACCUAAGGAAAUAUCAUUCUGAGCGACCAACUCUGGUUUUCAUUCUACGCAUCUACACAAUUUGAUACAAAUAAUUAUAUAAUUAAAUUCAAAUGUAAAAAAAAAAAAUUCUACAGCACCUCCCCUAUACCGGAUACUACCCAAAUCCACAAACCUGCACAUAUUAACAAUAGCCACAACCAAUUUACCCAAUUUAUACUAAUUAUUCCAACAUAUUCAAUUACUAAUCCUAAGGUAAAUUCAACAUUAAGAAUUACAAUUCAACAAAUUAUUCAAUAAUUAUGCCAAUACAACAAAACAAUAAAUUAAAAAAAAAAACUCUAGAAUAACAAUCAAAAUAAAUGGAAAAAAUUAAACACAAAGCAUGCAAUAAUAGAGUAAAACUAAUAAUUAUUCCAACAUAUUCAAUUACUAAUUCUAAGGUAAAUUCAACAUUAAGAAUUACAAUUCAACAAAUUAUUCAAUAAUUAUGCCAAUACAACAAAACAAUAAAUUAAAAAAAAAAACCCUAGAAUAACAAUCAAAAUAAAUGGAAAACAUUAAACACAAAUCAUGCAAUAAUAAAGUAAAAUUAAUAAUUAUUCCAACAUAUUCAAUUACUAAUUCUAUGGUAAAUUCAACAUUAACAAUAAAUAUUCAACAAAUUAACUAAUAAUAAUUAUGCCAAUAUAACAAUAAAAAAUAUUCAAUAAAUUCAAAAAAAAAAACUAUAGACUUUAGCAAUGAAUUAUGCAAAAAAAAACUAUAGACUUUAUCUACAUUACAAAAAAUACACCAAAACAAAAAACAUAACCAAAAAAAUAGCAAAAAAAAAACAAUUAAAGUAAAAUGAAAUAGAGGAAACACUAACCUUUUAAACUGAUGGAGAUUCACGAUAAAAAAAGCUUGAGAUCGCCUGAAGAACGGAGAGGAAAAGAAUGGUGAAAAACUGAGGAGAAGAGAAAAUGAACUGAAGAGGCGGUCGGGGUAGGUUAAAAGCCAGUUUUACCGACGGAUUCACCGACGGAUAUAAAAUUAAUUAUUAUUUUAAUUUAUUCUGUUGGUGAUGUGUUAAAAAUCCGUCGGUAACUUUUGAAUUUCGUACCAAAUUUUUUAAUGGCGCUCCAUAUUUUUCGCAGUCCGUCGGUAAGAUGACGCGGUCAGAGAUGCAUUUAAUGAACAACCCUUUGAUAUUCGCGCGGUCCGUCGGUAAUUGUGUCGGUAAAAUUGAGAGAGUACCGACGGACUUAAGUCCGUCGGUACGGCCGUCGGGAUGUGGUGGCAUUACCAGUAAUUGUUUUCGAACUCUCUGUGAAACACCGACGGACUUAAGUCCGUCGGUGUGGCCAUCGGUGAUGUGGUGGCAUUACCAGUAAUUAUUUCAUGUCACAAAAUAUAUCAUCCAUGAUCAAUAAUUAUUUCAAGUAAUUAUUUCGUAAUUGUGGCAUUACAACUAAUUAUUUCAAGUAAUAAAUAUUUUGUGUUUCAAAAUAUAUCAUCCAUAAUCUAAAUUACAUGAAAAAAAGGGUUUUACAUAGGGCUUCAUUUUGGUAGUUAGUUAGAAUUUUCUUCUUCUUCAUCAUCAAUUGAAUUGUCAUCACCUUCGUCGCAAUCUUCAAUAUGAAUAUCAUCUUCUUCAUCGACAUUUGCUUGUCUGCUAGAGCUCAAAACAAAAUUCAACUCCUCUGCGUCAAUAUCAACAAGACUAUCAUCGAAAACACGAAAAUUUGAAUUUUCUUCCAAUUCAAUCGAAGGAGUAACUCGAUAUAGUUCAACCACCUCACUAACUUGAAAGACUUCAUCUCGCAUACUUGUGUCUUCGUUCUCAUCCUGAACAACCUCGACACGACCCCGGGGUUUCGUUUUUAAAACGGACAACCAAUCCACUCUUGAUCGAUCCUUUCUAAAUGAAGGGGUGUAUGUGUAAUAAACUUGUUGACAUUGCUUUGCGAAAACAAAGACAUCGUUUAUGUUGCGGAGUCUAGCUUUUGAGUUGAUUUCAACCAGACCAUAGUGCGGAUCAACUCUGAUUCCUCUAUCAGUCGUGUCAUACCAAUAGCAUUUGAAUAAAAACACUAUAUUCUGCUCGUUAUGAUAUUGCAGUUCGACGACCUCUUCUAAUCUACCAUAGUAGUCAACUUCUAACUCACUACUAGUGGAUCCCUUAACACAAACACCGCUGUUGUAUGUCUUUCUUCCUUGCCUGUAUUCUUCAGUAUGGAAAACAUAUCCAUUGACAAAAUACCCGUUGUAGCACUUACAUUUUCUUUCAGGCCCCAGGCUUAGUGAAGACAAUGACUUAGGUGCACUCCUUCCCAUUUGAUAAACCUUGUAUGUAAUGUACAUCAAUAAACAGUAAAUGAACGAGAAUCUCGUAAUGACAUGCAUACGUACAGUAAUUUUGCAAGUUAUAAUGAGUUUGUGAUAGUGCUUACAUGUGUUCUGAACCACGUGGCAAACUGCUCAUCUUGUAAUUGAAAGAUCUGGGAUUCGGUCAGCUGUGAGUUAUUGGAUAGCAAAUAUUGACGAUGUUGCCUGCAAGUGAUAAUGAGUGUAUGAUAUUACAAUAUAUAAUUAACAGUAUAUUACUAACAAAGUUUAAUUAGUAUAAACUUACUGAAUAAAAGGUCUCAGCUCAUCACAGUUAAAUAGAACAUAGUUGUGUGCUUGUUUGAACUCUAUUUCCGACAAAUAUCUUCCUCUUACGGCAUUUUUAGGUGUGGGUCGUCCAGUAUUGGAGAAUAUUGACAAGUUCCCACUAGAAGGCACUUCACCGCCAUCAUCAUGCCGUGGAACGCGAUUGAUUCUCAUUCUCAGAUGAGGUUCGAAAUAAUACGAGAUAAAUGUUGAGAUCUCCUCAACAAUAUAGGCCUCACAUAUCGAAGCCUCAACAUGCGCCUUGUUCUUAACCUUUUUCUUGAGAUUAAACAAGUACCUGCAUUGAAAUAUUAAUCAAGUAUUUUCAAUUAAGAAAAACAUAUAAAAUACUUUUAUAUAUGAAUUACAUUGCAACUGUAAUAUCUAACCGUUCGAAUGGGUACAUCCAUCUAUAUUGGACUGGUCCUCCAGCUUUUGCCUCGAAUGGUAGAUGUAUAGGGAGAUGCUCCAUUGAGUCAAAAAAUGAUGGAGGGAAUAUCAUCUCAAGUUUGCAUAGUGUCUCGACGAUAUUCGUUUGAAGCCUCUCAAUGUGAUCAACAUUCAACUUGCUGGAGCAUAUAUCUCUGAAGAAAUGACUGAUCUCCGUGAGUGCAUCCCAUAUUCCCUUUGGCAACAAAUCACGAAAAGCUAAUGGGAUGAGUGUUUGCAUAAACACGUGGCAGUCAUGACUCUUCAUUCCAUAUAAUCUGCAGUCCUCUAUAUUAACCAGCCUUGAUAUGUUUGAUGCAUGUCCAUCCGGAAAACGCAGACUCUUAAGCCAUUUGUAGACUAGCAGUUGUGCGUUUUUCUCUAACACGAAGCUUGCUCUUGGUUUUGCGACCCGUGACUCAUCAUAAACCAACUCCAUAUUUUUACGGUUACAGUAUAAAGCUAUAUCCAAUCUAGCCUUGAUGUUGUCCUUUGUCUUCCCCUUCACAUCCAUGACGGUGUUGAAAAUGUUCUCAAACAUGUUCUUUUCGAUGUGCAUGACGUCAAGGUUAUGGCGGAGCAGAUUGGUCUUCCAAUAAGGAAGCUCAAAAAAGAUACUUCGCUUUACCCAAUUAUGGGUCAAACCAAAACCAGGAAACUUUUGCUUACCUGAUUGAAGGCCAAACACAAUGUCACCAUACUCUGAGACAACAUCAUGCAAUUCUUCACCAGAAAAGACGCGGGGAUGCAACAUCUUUUUCAACUCUGCCAACAAAGAAAUCUUUUCUGUUCUUUCUGUACCUGUGAUGAAGUGGCAAGAAGCGACGGUGACAGUCAAAAAAAGAAGCUUUACCUCCAUUUGCUAGUGUGAAUGCCUUGUUGUUUUCCAUGCAGUAUGGACAUGCGAGUUUCCCAUGCGUGCUCCAACCAGAAAGCAUUCCAUAAGCUAGAAAAUCAUUGAUAGUCCACAUCAAUGCCGCCCUCAUAAGGAAAUUUUGUUUCCUCGAUAUAUCAUAAGUCAGAGCUCCGGAGGACCACAACUGCGCCAACUCAUCAAUCAACGGUCGAAGACAAACAUCUAUAUUCCGCCCCGGGCUUCUUGGACCGGGUAUGACAGUAGAUAAAAACAUGAACUCCGGCCUCAUAUACAUUCCCGGUGGCAAGUUAUAAACUGUGAGUAUGACCGGCCAACAAGAAUAAAGAGCAGCAAAUGACCCAAAUGGGUUGAAUCCAUCUGUACACAACCCAAGACGCACAUUCCUUGAUUCAGCUGAAAAGUGAGGAUGAACACUGUUAAAGCGUUUCCACGCUUCGCCGUCAGAAGGACGAACCAUCACUCCAUCAACCGCAUGGUGUGCUUGGUGCCAUGUCAUGUGCUCAACAGUCCUUGGUGACAUGAAUAACCUCUGCAGUCUAGGUGUGAUCGGGAAGUAUCUAAGUUUUUUAUAUGCCACUAGAGUCUUUCCCCUGCCAGUUCUAGGUUUGUAACGGGAAUGCCCGCAUGUCAUGCACUCGGUCAUCUCAGCAUUUUCAAGGUAGUAUAACAUGCAGAAGUUAGGGCACAUGUCAAUUUUUUGGUAUCCUAAACCGAGGGGUUUCAUCAUGGACUUCGCAGCAUAGAAGUUCUCUUUCAGCCUGUUCCCUUCAGGUAAAAUGCUUCUUGCCCAUUGACACGACCAAAAGAUUGAUGUCUUCUCCCAAGUGCAGGAGUGUCGAGGUAAUAAAUAACCCGGCAAGACCGGGGUCGAACCACAGGGAGGUUAAUUGUAUAAAUUAUAGAUAACAAUAAUACAACAGCAACAAUAACAACAAUAAUAAUAAUAGUGAAGAAGAAGAGGAAGAAGUUGAUGAGAACUUUGAGAUGGAAGAUUAACGUAAGGAUUAAACAAUGAUAACAACAAAUGUCAAGGUUAGAGGAUCCACUAAUGGUAUUUCAAACAAGUAUAGUAUAAACUCUUUUUAUUCAAUUGGAAACCACACACAAAGGAGGUUCCAAUCAGAUUAUAAAUUGUUAACAUGAUUACAUUAGUUAUCUUAUUCGAAUAAUGCUAAUACUUGUAAAUGUUGUCAGGCAUUCAUGAUUAUAACUUAUGUUAACAACAAAUCAAGUUCCUUUCAUAGCUCAGGUGUCGGUUAUACCAUACAGUAUGGGCUAUGAAAGUGCCAAGUAUUUGUUGUACCAAGUGUUAUACAACAUAAAUCUAGAUUAACCAUUUAACAAGCAAAGUAUUAAAAGUGAACAAGAUAACAAAUAUAAAGCAUGUUAGUAUCCAACAUUAAAGUCCAUGUUAAGUUUAUAUUAUACUUAUUCUUACACCAUUAGUGUACCCUUUUCACCUUGACAUAAUUAACUUGGUUAAACAUAAUGAAAGAAAGAAACAUAAAUAAACAAGGAAAGGAAAUGAAAAGCAUAAGCAAGAAAUUAAUAUAAGCAAAACUUAAGCAUUACAAAAUAUAAAGAGAGAGCAAGAGCAUGAUCUUGAUCUGAACACCAAGAUGCCUAAAUACAUGGCAAAUGCCUCCUUUUAUAGGCCAAAAUUCGGAACUAUUGAUUUGUUGACUAAUUGAUGAGUGGGUGGCCACAUCUUGACUUGGUGACAAUUCUUAUCUUCUUGUCUGCCAAAAACGUCAUUGAUGACGUCAUAAUUGGAACAAACUUAAAUCAUGAAAGUUCUAGGGAAUUGUCUCAUCUUUCCAGGAUAAAAAUUUGAGAUCAUUUGGAUUUCUAGAACUCGAGAUAUGGGCUGAACACUGAACAGUGUCUGGGCUGCAGGAUAGAUUCAGACUUCUUUGUUGUUGCUACAAUUUGGACUUUCAAACGGCCUUGUUAAAUCUUGGGCUCCUCAUGAAAGUUGUAGGCCUAUGUCUUAUCUUUCCAUCCAUAUAAAAUAGACCUAAAUCCGAGAUCUACAGCUCCAGAUAUCACCCAAUUACCAAACAGUGUUCCAGUUUGGACUACACCAAUCAUCUCUUUUCUAUGUUUGGCCAUCUCUUUGUCCUUUCAAUUUCAGUACUUCAACUCAUCAAUCAAUUCUUUCAUUUAUGUGAUAGGCCUGCAUUCAAGAUGAACAUUUACCAUAAAUUAAAGGUAUCUUAUAUUAUUAGAUAUGUUAUUAUAAAACAUGCUUUAGUUAAGGAGUUAUUGAUACUUCAAGUGCAAAAUGAUGAUAUAAAACCUUGAUAAAAAUGCACUUUUAAGUACUAAUCACCCAUUCAAUAAUCUUAUCAUACCCGGCCUCACUCAACCCGUGAUCUGACUUGAUGGUGAACACCUGUGCUACGGUCGAUAAUUUACUGUGGUUCAUGCAGCCAUCCCAUAAUGGUUCGUCCGAAUCUUUCAACAAAUCAAAAAACCUAGCUGCAUCUGCAUUAGGUUCUUCUUCUACGAUUGGACAUUGACUGCCAUUACCUUGAUUCAUUCUCAUUGCAUCCAUAACCAUAUUUCUGUAAGGAUUAGUGUUGUCAUUUGCCGCUUCAUGCACGUUGCUAGCACUAGAAGUAGACCCAACCACCGUUUCUUCCAUUCUCCUCUCACUCUUGCUAACAAAUACUUCUCCAUGUGCAUACCAACACUGGUAAUUCUCCAUAAACCCUUUGUGUAGAAGAUGCAUCAUUACAACAUCUUGAUGCAGAUACUUUUUAUUUUCACACUUCCUGCAUGGACACCUAAUACCGCCUCCAGUAAAAUUUCUGGGAAUAGAUGUUGCGAAAUUAAUAAAACCCUGAACCCCGUUAAAAUAAUCCAUCCUCCGCAAUCCUUGGGGUGAAUCUCGAUACAUCCAUGAACGAUCAUCUAUGACUUAUAUCGAACCUCUAUAAAAUUAUGAUGACAUCAUGUAUUAAUUAACUAAGUUAGGUAAAUAAACUUGCAAAAAUAUUACUUUACCUCGAGAUUAUCCAACAAACCAAUCACAACUUCUCAUAAAUAUUAAAUAUUCAUUAUCAUUUAUCAACGUCCAUAUGAAUUAAAAUAUAUAAAUUUACAGAAAUUACCACUCCGCAAUACCAUUGAUAAAACUUUAAACGGACCCAUUAAGCAAGCUAUUAAUUAUUUCAAAAUAGCACAUGUAAUUCGGUAGUUCCAUAAAGUUUUAACAAUUUACAAACAAAUACAAUCUUACAAAAUCUAAAACAAACCAUAACAGGUAUAAAAUUAUACAUUCAUAUACUACAAGUUUGUUUGAGAAAUAACAAUAAAACAUGUACAUCUACUAACAAAAUACAUAUACUAAAAAAACAAUAAAAUUGACAUUUAAUUAAAUGUUAAAAUUUUAAAAGAUAGAAAUUACUUACAAAAAUUGAUAAAAUCCGUCCGUAAAUCAGAACACGGAUGAUGUGACCACAAAACUUCAAGAAAUAUAACUUGUUGUGCUGAUAUGAGGAAGAUUUGUUUUGGGGGGGGAGGGGGGGCUGGUUGUUUGCAGAUGGGGAGAGUUGGGAUGAGGAAGAAGAAGGAGAAAUAGGGGAGGAGAGGGUCGGCAGAGCUGACAUAUAUUAAAUUUUUCCGAUGGUUUCACCGACGGAGUUUCCGUCGGUGAUUCUGACGGAAACGUAGACAAGUCACCGUACGGAUCUGCCAUUUCAAAUCCCUCGGUGAGUCCGUUAGCAAUUUAAACGGCGAACCGGUCGCGUCACUGUACGGGCACUGUACGUGCUGUCGUUUUGAAUCCGUCGGCAAAAAAUAACCCGCCAAAACCUCCACGUCAGCAACACGCCUUUUUUUUUAAUUCGGACCAUUUUCCGUCCGUAAUUCAGUCGGUAACUACCGACGAAAAAUUUCCGUCGGUAGUUACCGACUGAAUUACGGACGGAAAAGUGUCCGUCGAUAAUUUCAAGCUCAAAUUACCGACGGAAUAUUUCCGUCGGUAAAUCCGUUGGUAUUUAGCGAAUUUCUUGUAGUGUAUAGAAGACAUCACCUGAAACAGCGAACACUGAUAAACCUGAAACACACUUAAACAAGUAUAAGAAAUAACAUAACAAAAUAAAAUGCUAUUAAUAAAACCAAAGGACGCAAGGUUUCACAAACGAAGGCUCAAAUCCAAUCUAAGUUUUUUACGACUUUCCAUAGUUGACCAAUUUAUACGACUCAUGAAGGGAUCAAGUACAGGGAUGAAAAAUUGUAAUUGGUCAAUCAAUUGUUCAGCAGUAGCAUCAGAGAUUAUGAUUUGUCGUGCCAAAGAUGUUACAAAUUCCUGUUCCACAGCUUGAUAAAGAAAAGACAACAAAUUAUCAUAAAAAUCAUUAACAUCUAACAAACCUAUAGGUUUAUGGUGAAUGUGCAGUUGGGCCCAAGAGGAAAUAUGAAAGAUCUCUUUCAAUGUGCCCAGACCACCUAGUAAAGCAAUGAAGGCAUCAGUAUGGUUAAACAUCGCAUUCAUUCGAUCAGACAUUGUGGAGACCUGUAAUUCCUCUCCAAUUAUUUUUCCAAUGAUGUCCCUUUUGUUAAAGCUUUGGGUACAACCCCUAAAACUUGACUGCCUCCUAAAAAUGCAGCUAUUGACACACCCCUCAUUAACCCAAGGCUGCCUCCCCUAUACACUAAAUGAAUCUUUCUCUCAGCUAGUACCUGACCAAGAUGAUUUGCUGAUUCUAAAAACUUUUUUUCUCCCAGGACUGUAUCCACCAAAAACACAAAUAUUUCUUAUGUGAUGACUUGAGGAACCUGCCAUUUCUACACACUUUUAUAUCUAUUAAAUGUAUGGGUUGAGUAGAAAUGAAGGGAAAGAAGAGAAGAUUUUAUAGAUGAGAAAUUGAAAAUGCAAUCAUACCACCUAUAUGUAGGCCAGCUGGAGUCUCUCUCUCUCUCUCUUUUUUUUUUCUUUUUUUUUGAAAACAUAUGUAUAUACAAGUAGUUGUGAUUGUGGCUCGUAUCUUCUCUUGGUUUUACGUCCAAGAACGGCUUAAACGCCCUUUAUGGGUCAGGGAUAGGCUUUCAUCUAGUUUUCUUAAAAACUGGCAAACAAGGUCUUUUUUAGUCAGAUUCCCAAGAAAGUCGAUCAUGUUCUUUAUGAAAAUAGGGUCAUCAGUCAUGAAAUGCACAAUGCACAUUGCCACUAGAAUAUGUCCCAAAAGUCAAUAGAAGAUUAUCUAAAGACUCUUUAUGUUUUGAAAUAAAUCCUAACUUUUGACAAUUUUCACAAGCUUUGCAGAACACAUGUGUGUCUUUGAACAUGGUGGGCCAAUAGAAUCCAUAUUGUAAGAUUUUUUUAGUCAUCUUUUUUUACAAGAAAUGACUCCCACAUGCCUCAGAAUGACAAAGUUUAAUGACACUACUUACCUCAUUGUUCGAAAUGCAUCUUCGAAAUAUUUGAUCAGGACAAUAUUUGAAUAAGUAAGGGUCAUCCCUAUAAAAAUUAUUCACUUCGUUCAAAAUUUUUUUUUUGUCUUGGGUACUCCAAUGAGCUGGCAAAUCUCAUGUUGCAAGAAAAUUGAUAUUUUUAGCAAACCAAGGCAUUGAACUAAAAGAAAGUAAAGAUUCAUCAGGAAAGUAAUCAUCGAUUGGUGUGAUGUCGGAUGUCGAAUCUAUUGUCAAUCUUGACAAAAGAUUCGUAUCAACAUUUUCAAUGCCUUGUCCUCGAUUUCUUCUUGAGAAUAAAUCAUUUGCAAUUCUUCAGAUUCAUCAAACUCAUUUUUACUCACGGUAGAUUCAAAUUGAUCAUAAACUAAUUCUUCAAUAACAUCUACUUCCUGUGAAUCAUUAUCAUUUCCAGGUUGCUUGCAAAUGUAAAUAUUCAUCUCCAAUGUCAUAUUUCAAAAUUAUAGCUUCAUCAGUCCAUUCCUACAAUUAAUUAAUGCAUUAGAAGUUGCAAAAAAUGAACAUCCUAAAAUAACAGGAAAUGAAUUACAUGCUUCAAUAGGUUGUGUAUCCAAGACAAUAAAAUCCACGGGAUAAAUGAAUUUAUCAACUUGUACUAACACAUCUUCAACUAUUCCUCUAGGCACUUUUACAUAUCUAUCAACAAGUAAGAGAGUUAUAAAAGUUGGUUUUAACUCACCUAGAUUGAGACUCUGAUAGACUGAAUAUGGAAGUAAAUUCACACUAGCUCCAAGAUCAAGUAAAGCUUUUUCAAUUUUAUGUUCUCCAAUAAAGCAAGAAAUUGUAAGACAACCAGGGUCUUUAUAUUUCAAAGCAUUAUUGUUUUGAAAAAUGGCACUUACUUGUUCAGCUAAAAAAGCUUUCUUUUUCACAUUCAGUUUUCUCUUCACAGUGCACAGAUCUUUCAAAAAUUUAGCAUAGGAAGGUACCUAUUUAAUAGCAUCCAGCAAAAGUAUAUUGAUCCUUACUUGUUUGAAAGUUUCAAAGAUUUCAGAGUUGUGAUUGACUUUCCUUUGUUUGGUCAUGACAUAAGAAAAUGGAAAUACUGGUGGGGAAUCAGUCUUUUCUUUGCAAUGUUCAGAUUCAACCCCUUCCUUGCCCUCAGAGAUUGACUCAUCAUCUUUCUCACAAGGUUCAAAAGUGGGUUUUUCAAUAGCCUUACCAUUGCGAAGAGUGAUGACUAAUUUGACUUGAUCCAUGUGUUAGCUUCCAGAGCUACUUGCAUUUGCAUUGUAUUAACCCUUUGGAUUUUGCUGUGGUUGAGAUGGAAACUUACCUUUCUCUUGAAAACUGAGAGCAGAUGUGAAUUUUGCGAGUAUCUUUAAAAUUUGUCAUGCUUUGAGCAAGUUGAGUGUUGAUUGUCUCUUGCUUUUCAAUGAAUGAAUGCAAUGUUUCCUCAAGAUUUUUUCUAGGAGGUGGAGCAUAAGGAGGUGCAUAUCCAUGAGAAUUUUGGAAAUUAUGGCGUGCUUGAAACGGUGGCUGUGAAGUUUGUGCAUUAUUGUUAUCACUCUUCCAACUAAAAUUUGAGUGAUUUCUCCAACCAGGAUUGUAUGUUUGAGAGUAUGGGUUAUGAUUGGGCCUUUGAAAACUGUUUAGAGCAUAGGCUUGUUCAUGAAGGCAUUCCUUGAAAGAAGGCAAAGUUGGACAGUCAUUGGUUGAGUGUUCAUUGGUUUCACAGAUUUGACACACAAUGUCUUGGUGACUCUACUGCUACUAUUGCUAGGAAGAAAAGGUGUCCAUGGUGCAACCUUUUUGGCCUGGUGGUUUUGUGAUAUCCUACCUUGAUGAGAUGAGGACCAGCUUGAUAAGUUAACAGCAUGGAACAAAGUUCAACCGAAGAAGGGGUUAAUAGGACAAAAAGAUGGAGCUGAUUUCUCUUUUCUUGGUGUUGGUGGUGGAGAUAUUGAUAGAGAGAGAAUGUUGGCUGGUAUUGGUAUUGGUUGGUUAUCGGAGAGAAAAAAAAAGGCAGGGGGCGACAGCUAGUCUUAGAGAAGGUGAUUCUUUAGGGUUGGCUGUCCCCUUUUUUUAUGAAUCUUUUUUUUAUGUUUUUUUUCUUGUAAUGUCUCCCUCUUGUCUGGAUGCACUGAGAUCUGUAUUUAUAGUACAAGAGUUCCAUCACGUAUGAAAAACAAAGUCUCAAACAAAUUUAUUCUCUUUUUUGAAAUUUCAAUUUGAUUAAAAUUCAAAUUUAAAAGCGGAUAACUAUCAUCUUGAUGAUAAGAAUAGAAUGGUAAAAGCACAUUAUAGUUUCUAGUUUUCACGCAAGUUCACAAAUCACAUUUUUCAUCGAAAUAAAUCUCUGAUCUUUUAAUUUUAUAUUUUAACCCCUGUAAAAUUAAAUUAAAAACUUAUAAUUCAAAAUUGGGUUAUAACAAUAACAGUUCUAUUUAAACCUGCCACAAAGUCUCAAACAAAUUUGUUUUCUUUUUAAAAAAUUGAAUUUGAUUAAAAUUCAAAUUCGAAAGCGGAUAACUAUCAUCUUGAUGAUAAGGAUAGAAUGAAAAAGACACAUUAUAGUUCCUAGUUUUCACGUAAGUUGACAAAUUACACUUUUCAUCGAAAUAAAUCUCUGAUCUUUUAAUUUUAUAUUUUAAUCCCCGUAAAAUUAAAUUUAAAACUAAUAAUUCAAAAUUGUGUUACAACAAUAAGAGUUCUAUUAGGAAGUAGAAUCGUGACUCAAUAUAUAGAUAAAAUUACAACACAAAUAAUUUAAACCUGCCAUAAAGUUCCAAUCUUUUUCCAGAUCCUUAUAAAAGCAUAAGAACCCAUCUGGAAAAACAUAAACCCACCAUUUUUUAUUCAAUAACUAAUUUUCCAAAGUGGUUUUCAUGUUGUUUUGAACUUUAUAGUAGUGACAAAAGCUCAUGUGGUGUCACAAUAAUGGAUGGGCCAUUAGUAUCCACAUAUCAAAUCAAUUUAUACUAAGAGUGUUCAAAUGUGUACCCAUGUAUUUAAGCAAUUUGUAGAGGACAUUAUCUCUAAAUUUUAAAUCCUAACUUUAACCCUAAUUUUUCAAUAAUUGCUUGAAGCAUCCCUUCUAUCUUCAUAAUAGCCUCUUCAAUCAUGCCACAUCUUCAAAAUCUUGAAAACAAAAAUCUUUAUCGAAGAACCUAACCAUACCCAUAUAAAAUAAACUAUAAAUUAAUGACAUAAUUAAAUGAGUCUUGAACAUGAAGAGAGAAAGUGAAAGGUGAUGGGUGGGAUCAAUUUUUUAGAAUAGGGCUUCACUAGAGAGGAAGUGCUUGUUACAAGCAUUUCAGUUUUAACUGAGAGAGUGUAAUGGGCCAUGUGGAAGUGAAUCUCCAAAAUUGGUGAUGUUUUGCAAACCCACGAUAAGAUAGAUUAUAUUGGGAGAGAGAGAGAGAGAGAGAGAUUGUGUUUGAAAAGAGAGAAUUUUUUAUAUGUUUUUGAUAUGUAACAUACAAGGGUAAUUUGGUUUUUUUAUUUUAUUUGAGAAAUUGUUUUGACCUAUGAUGUAAAUUAUGAUUUUUAAAAGAGCAUAAACAAAGUAAAAAAAAAGAACUAAAUUUUUCCAAAACUUUUUCAAUAAAUAUUAACUUCUUAAAACAAAACUACACAUAACACUCCUUGACCCUGGAAUGUACUUGUUACCUUAUUUAGCGAGAAAUUAGAAAAACAUUUCCCAAAAUUUUUAUAUGCUUUGUCAUUGAGAAAAAAUAGUAUCCAAAUUUUUAUUUUUAUUUUCAUCGUCACUUUCUUUUUGAAUGCAGUCUUUUAUACUCAAUUUCAUGACAAAUUUGUCAAUUUUUAUUAAGAAAACAAAUCCAGCAAUAGAGGACCAAAAUGGAAAAUAAAGAGAAACUUGAUGGCCAAUCUUAAAUUCAAUAAAAAAAGUUCUUUUUAGUCCACCUACUUUUCUUUUUCUUACUUUACAACCCCUUUAGUUUUUGUCAUUUUAAUUUUGGUCUAAAAAUUUAAUUUCUUAACAUAUUAGUUCCUUAGUUAGAAAGAUAAGAAAGAAAGUCUACUGAAAAUAAUGAAGGAGGGACAAAGUGAAUAAUCACUUUUUAGUAAUGAAACUUGUCUUUCUUGGUGACAAUUGUUCCAUUCAAUAAGGCAAGUUCAAUGAUUAUGGAUUUUUCCUAAACGUGCCUGAAAAAAUAGAUUAAGCUUGGUUUGGAUUUUUUUUAUUCAAUUAAGUUUUUUUUUAUUUGAGUGAUUUUAGGAUGUUUUAGGUUGACAUGUUGUUUAUUGAUAUUUUUAUGAUAUUUUGAGGUUUUUUAUAUGAAAUAGCUAGAAAAUAAAUAUUGACGAUAAAAAACCCCUUCUUUUCAUUUUUCAGCUACCAUAAUGAUGACUGGAUUUUGAGAUGUUGCCUACUUAAAAAAACCUUAUGAGCUGAAAACGCAACGUGUUACCUGCUCCUAAUGAAAAAAUAAAAAAGGCACAAAUCUACUGAAGUCUUUAAAGAAAACAAUGGGAUAGGGCCCAUUAAUUGAACUUAUGAUAGAAGAGAAAAAUUGAAACUCACCAAAGAGAAGAAAAACAAGAAAAAGCAUGAACAUGGAUUUCAAGCCGCCUCUAGGAUACUGAAAAUAAAAAAGAGAGAGAGAAAAAUUAUUUUAAUUACCUAUUGUUUUAAUUAAACAAACACGCUACUAAUAAAAAUUAUUUUGGUUAAAAACAUGAGUAAAAUAAGAAUAACUAACUUACUUAAUAUAUAUAUAUUCUCCAUUUUAAAAUAUGUAUUUUUAUAUUUUCAAAAAAACUUUAGAGACUUGAGUGAUUUUUCGAAAAUCCUGAGACAUCAUAGUGAUUUUUGAUAAUUUUAAAACAAGUUUUCAAUUACAUGAUUAAUGUGCGCACGUGCAAGCAGAGGUCAUAUAAAGUUAGAGAUAGAAAAAGAAAAUCUUCGUAAAAGUUUGGUCUCCUCUGUUUUUGGAUGGAUCUUUAAAACUGGCUUGCAUGAGCAACACGUGUACUCGUAUCUUGGAUAUUCUAAUUUCUUUGCUGUCUCUCUAUAUUUUGAAUGCUCAAAAGACCUUUCUUGUACCGAGUCCAAAAUUUUCAGAAUCUGACAGAAAUGUUUCCUUAUAUUAGUUAAUAGGAUGAUUGCUAAUAAUAUUUUUUUUUAAAAAAAAAAACCUAUUACAUCACUAUUUUUAACAGGAUCCUGAGUUGAUUCAAUAAUUUGAGUGAUUCAGAUUCUAGAUCAUAUCCAGUAUUUUAAAAAAAACAUUAAUGUGGUAAAAAACUCAAGUAAACUUAAUUAAUAUUUAUUAUAUUUUUUUUUAAAUAAUAUAUAUUUUUUAUGUUUUUAUAAUAUAUAAAAAGUUGGGUAAACUAGAAUUAUUUGAUUAACCUAUCUUUUUUAUAUCCUGAAAUUUAUUACAAGUCAAGUUUAAAAACUAUGUAUUAAAGUUUACAAAAGAAUUAAAAAUUAAAACUUAUAUUAAAAACAAAUAUUGAUAAAACAAAGGCAAGAACUAAGCAACUCAACUCCAGACCAAGACCAAAAUGUUAUUGUAAUAAAGAUAUCGUGUUAAUAUGGUGGUGGUUUGAUCAAAAGGUUAUUAGUCUUUUAAGUCUGUGAAUUUUUUAUUUCUUAUAAUCAUUUCUUGAAGCAUUCAAAAUAACAUUUCUUGUAUUGAAAUAACAUGGGGGUUUAAUUAUAGCUGUGAAUCCAUGCAACACUGCAUGCAUGCUUAAAGUUUAUUUUGUGUAAUAAAUAAUGUCCAAGUGCUCCAAAUAUGUUUUAAAGCAUGAUAAAAAAUUCACGACUCGAGUCAUGGACUUGAUUAAAUCAAAUAAAUUGGUUUUAUUUUAAUUAAAAAAUAAAAAAAAUUGACAACAACAAUAGAUGGACCAAAUUAAGAAAAACAAAAAACAUGAUCACAAUGACCUAAAAAUAUAUUUUUAAAAAAUAAAACAAACAAUGUAACUCAAUUCUCAACUCAUUAAAUAUUAAAGGACAAAAUUAGGUUAAAACAAAAGGGCUAAAAAAUUCAUUCCAAUUCAACCCAAGUUAUCAUAGCAAACCUAUAACUAGGGUUAACUCACUAAAUUCGCGCCACCGGUCAUGAGAUCAGAAUAACUGGAUAUAAAAAAAAUAAAAAUAAAAUCACAAAACUCAUUUUUGUUUUAAAAAAAAUUCAAUAUUGAAUGAUAAAAGUUGCAAAGAAAAUACAUAAUAAAAAAAACUGUGUGAACUCGAGUUAACUUUUCAAACCCAUGAACUGGGUCAUUAGAGUGGAAGCAACCUAUAUAAUUUAUCUUUGUGAUAUUUUUAGUUAUAUUGUAAGCUGCAUUCCAAUAAUUUAGAUCUCAAAUCGAUUGAGUCUGAUCUAAUAUCUAGCAAACACAAAAUAAAACAAAUUAUCUAGUAUAAUCCAAAACACAUCAAAUAUAAAACAAGAUAAUUAUUUAUGCCACGCGUGCUCCUUCAUUUGACCACACAACACCAUCCCCGCUGCCAUAUGCCAAUUCACCUCGGUCUGGUACGAACAUGAUGAACACACCUUCUCCUCAGCAACAAGUUCAACAGCAGCAGCAAAGGCAAAAGAUGAUGCAGUUACACUUCUAUUUCUUUUUGUUUUGUGUGUAUGAAACCAUAAUAUUUUUAGUUGUAUUGUGAGCUGCAUUCCAAUGAUCUAGAUCUCAGGUCGAUCGAGUCUCGUCUAAUGUUUAGCAAACAUAAAAUAAAACAAAUUACCUAGUAUAAUUCAAAACAUAUCAAAUAUAAAACAAGAUAAUUAUUUAUGCCACGAGUGCUACUUCAUUUGACCACACAACACCAUCCCCGCUGCCAGGGGCGGAGCUAGUUGCAUUUUACAGGGGAGGCCAAAAUUAAUAUAAUAAUAUAUAUUAUUAAAAAUCUUAUUUAUUUAAAUUAAAAAUAUUAAAUAAUAAAAAAUUUUAAAAUGUUUUGCAGGGCCCGGCCCUGCUUGCCACCCCUGGCUCCGCCCCGCUGCCAUAUGCCAAUUCACCUCGGUCUGGUACGAACAUGAUGAACACACCUUCUCCUCAGCAACAAGUUCAACAGCAGCAGCAAAGGCAAAAGAUGAUGCAGUUACCUCAGCAUCAGAUACUUGCUCAGCAACAGCUGAGGCAAUCUUCUUUGCAAGCUUUGGGACAGGUGUUGGUUUUUUUCUGAUUCUUGAAUUUUUCUCGUCAUCUCUUCUUUUAUGAUUGGCUGACUUAACAAUCAUAUUCUAUUUUAUCCAACAAAUUUUAAACGACAAAUGAACCCAGAGAAAAGAUUAUUUUAUCCAUGAAAGACAACUUUGUGUAUUUUUUUUUGAAGGGCAAAGACAUUAAUGUACUAUUAUAAUCCAAGGUAAUUAAAGGUAUAAUAUAAUGUUUUUCUCCACACAGCUUAAGUUUUGUUAAUAAUAAGACAUGAACUGAAGAUAUAUUUUGUUUAAAAUUCGAGUUAUUAAUAGAUAGAUUAACUUAAAUCUAUUAGAUCUAAAAUCUAGGUCAUUGCUCGAGUAAAUUAACCCUAUUUAAUCUUAAUAUAUUUUUUAAAAUUAAAAUAUCAUCAUAUUAGACUUUUUAAAAUGGAAAGUAAACUUGAAAUGACAUGAUUUUGAAAUAAAUUAUUUUGUUAUAAGUAUUGUUUCUUAAAUUACAACAAAACUAAUCACAAUCUUGAAAGAAAGUUUUAACAAAAUAAAAUUUGAAAAUUAUAUCUAAAAAAAAUAAGAAAAAGAUUAAUCUAAUUUUUUUUAUUAAUUUAUAAUAAAGAAUUACAAAGCAGAAAUCUUAUAUUUAUUGAAUAUUUAUAAUCACAAAUUUAAAAAUAAUUGAUCCAGAGAUGAACUUGUUACCGUUGAUGGUAAAAAAAAAGAAAAAGAAGAAGAAGCAGGCAUAACUUUGUUGCUGGCUGAUCAUGGCAGAUAGGGGGCAUAUGCUAUGUUUUUUUUUCUCUCCUUUUUAUUUUCAGUGUCCUAGAGGCGGCUUUUCUACUUGAAAAUGUGCAAUUAUUUUCAGUGUCCUAGUGAUAUCCUCCCUUGAUGAGGACCAGGCAUAAUAACUUAUCAGCAUGCAGCAGAGUUCAACCGAAGAAGGCGUUACCGGGACAAAAAGAUGGAGCUGAUUUCUCUUUUCUUGGUGUUGGUGGCGGAGAUAUCGACAGAGAGAGGGUGUUGGCUAGUAUUGGUAUUUGUUGAUUCUCGGAGAGAAAAAAAAAAAAAAAAAGCGGGGUCGGUGGUUGGUCUUAAAGAAGGUGAUUCUUUAGGGUUCGCCACCCCUUUUUUUAUGUUUCUAUUUUUAUGUUUUUCUUUUUUCUUGUAAUGUCUUGUGUGCAUGCACUUAUAUAUGUAUUUAUAAUGUAAGAGUCACAUCGCGUAUAAGAAAUAAAAUCUCAAAUAAACAUUUUUUUUAAUUUGAAUUUGAUUAAGAAUCAAAUUUGAAUGUCAAUAACUAUUAUUAUCUUGAUGAUAAGGAUAGAAUGAUAAAAGCACAUUAUAGUCCCUAGUUUCCGCGCAAGUUGACAAAUCACACUUUUCAUCGAAAUAAAUCUUUUAUCUUUUAAUUUUACAUUUUAACCCCCGUAAAACUAAAUUAAAAGCUCACGGGCCAAAAUUAAGUCAUAAUAAUUGCCCCAUUUUUACAAUGCUUACGGUGUAAAAUCAUUAAAAAAUUCAUUUUCUUUUGACUUUAUAUAGUAAGUUUUGUAAAGAAAAAUAAGCAUGAAAACCCUUCCUCUUCUUUUCUUUUGAUUAUUUUUUUAUUUUUUUAAAAUGGUUUAAUUGUUAUAGGCGACCUACUCGAUAAUAAAAUGUGAGGGAUCUCAUAAGUGGUCUAAUUGUUCCAAGCGACCUGCCCGAUGAUGAAGAAUGCGAAGAAUUUCAUGAGUGGUCUAAUUGUUCCAGGCGACCUUCCCGAUGGUAAAGAAGAAACGUGAAGAAUUUCACGAGUGGUCUAAUUGUUCUUAGCGACCUGCCCGAUAAUAAAAUGUGAGGGAUCUCGUGAGUGGUCUAAUUGUUCCAGGAGACCUACUCGAUGGUGAAGAAGAAAUGCGAAGAAUUUCACGAGUUGUCUAAUUGUUCCAGGCGACCUGCCUGAUGAUAAAAUGCGAGGGAUCUCGCAAGUCGUCUAAUUAUUUUAGGCGACCUGCCCGAUGGUGAAGAAGAAAUGUGAAGAAUUUUGCGAAUGGUCUAAUUGUUCCAUGUGACCUUCCAGUUGAUAAAAUGCGAGGGGUCUCGCAGGUGGUCUAAUUGUUCCAGGUGACCUGCCUGAUGGUGAAGAAUGCGAAGAAUUUCACUUGUGGUCUAAUUAUUCCAGGUGACCUACCCGAUGAUUAAAUGCGAGGAAUCUCGCAAGUGGUCUAAUUGUUCUAGCUGACUUGCCCAAAGGUGAAGAAUGUACAUAGAGAUUUGUUUUUGUGAAAAAUAAAAAGAUUUUUCAGAAAUUGUCUCAUUGUAAUGGGUAACCUACCUAGAUGGAAAAAUACGAGGAUUUUUCAGAAGGGGUCUCAUUUUAAUGGGUGAUCUACCCGGGUGAAAAAAUAUCAAGAUUUUUUGGGUGGCCUAAUUCUUGUGAGCGGCCUUUCCAGAUCAAAACUCAAAGAGUCUCAUUGUGAUAGGUGACUUUCAAAAAAAAUACGAAGAUUUUUUGGGUGGCCUAAUUCUCGUGGGCGGCCUGUCCAAGUCAAAAACAAUUCUCAAAAGUGAGCAAUUUUCACAAGCAUUUUUAGUUUUUGGCCAUUUUAAAGUGGCCUUCCUUUUUAGGGAUCCCAUCGCAGAUUUCUCUUAUGAAUCUUUGCAAAACACAUUGUUCAAUGUCUCAAAGUUUAGAUGACAUGCAUGCAUCCUUACCUGAUUUGAAAUAUAGGUCCACAUUUAUUCUCAAUCUUCUUGUUGGUUGAUUAGUAAGGACUUGAUAUCUCUGAUUUGAUCUUCGUCGUUUGGCUUGUAGCCCACUCGAGUUGGCCAAUAUAAAUCUUUUUAUAGAUUUGUUUACACAACUCAGCCUUCAUGGUGCCCAUCGUGACCCACUUGCAUGCUAGAGAUUUUCUGUUUCGUUGAAUAAUUUGAGAGGGUCAUUUAUUGCUCCCCGUCUAGCUGCUAAAAACAUUCGGUGUCACUUGUUGAAAGGAUUAAGCAGCCUUUUGUAAACCAAAAUGUCGCCCUAGUCUUAUUGUAGGAAAUGUUCCUCUCAUUUUUUUUCUAGAAAGGAUCGAUUUUCCUUCUAAACACAAUGUUUCCCCUUUGUACUAGUCAUUGCCUGUGAGUGUGCUCUGUCAACAACUUAAACAAAUAAUGGUUUCGAGGAACAAUUCUCUCAUUUCUCUCAUUUUCAGUUUGGUGAAGGAAUAUUUGUCUAGAAUGAAUCUUGAAAUCUUGAUCAUAUAUUUUGAAAACAAAAAUUGUUUCGAUGUGAGUUAAAGCAAUUUGUCUUUCGAAAUCUUGCAACUCCCUGGUUAUAUUUCCUGGAAAAGAGAUGACUUGCUCUUGUGUUGGCGAUAUUGUCAUUGGUGAAAGUACGUGAUGAGGUGACCUUUUUUAUGGGUUUUCAAAGUGAAGGGCUCGAGAAAAAGCUCGAGGUUUUGUUUGAGAAAAAUUUAUCUCUUUCUGAACACUCAUUUUAUCAGCAUGAAUAAUAAUGAGUAGCUUGUUCUCGAUGUCAUGACUCUUAUGAAAAAGUACUCUUUGCAUUUCGAGAGCAUUAUUUACUAUUCCAAGUUGCUUGCUUGCUUGAUUAGAAAAGACUUCUACAAGAACGUAAUGUAGGCUGUGAUUUUAGGCUAUGAAAGAAAAGAAUUCAUAAGACUUAAAGAGUGUUUCAAGGUUUCAAAGACUAAGGAUCAAUAUCAACAGUUCGACUCUUUGUGUCUUUUAUCUCUUUUUUUCUGCUCUUCUUUGAUUUGCCCCCUUUCAUUGUUUUGGCCGGGGCAUGCUCACUCUGUUUAGGCUAUUAGUUUUUCUUGUGAUUUGGAAAUGCCCUCUAUCAUUUGAGUUUCUUGGACUCUUUUGCCUUUUUGGCUUUCUCACGGCUUUUUCCUCUUUUUUUAUCAUUGAAAUUUUUGUUUGCCCCCAGUAUAGGGUGUAAUCAUAGUCAGGAUUUUCAUGAAAGAAAAAUUUAUUCAGGCUAAAAAAGGAACCACAAGGGAUAUAUUUAUUUCAGAACGUGAAAGGAAUAACAAAGAUGGUAUGUUCUCAUUUUAAGUGCAAACAGUUAAGAUCAAUAAACUUUGACCUCGUCCAGUGUGAUGAUUUGGUCUUUCCAAAUGGAUGCAUUUCAUGAGUCUAUGAACAACGAGUCCACUACAUACCAUUAUGCAUAUAUUUAAAACACAUGGCUUUAGAGUCAUGGUGUGAGGGUGACAAUUUAAUUUUUAUUCGUGCACUUUGGUUUAGAGUUUAGUCACCUCAAUGAACGAGUUGCUUGAUUCAUAUGUCAUUCUACAAGUAAAAUGUUAAAAAUAUCAUUUUAAAUAAACAUAAAAUCAUUUUAGAAAUCAAAAGGCAAGUUCAAUUUUCUAAAAUUCCACCAGGGAAAAAGAUUUUGGUAAAAGAAAUUAAUUGAGUUUAUGAGAUCACGUAAGGCUUUAAAGGUGUAUUUGUGAUUUCUUUAGGGGGGAACCCCUUUCGAGAUAUUUGGUUGUAAAUCAAAGAAAAAAAAUGUAAUUGGAAGAUAAUCUCAUUAUUUCAUUGAAAUUUUAGAAGGGAGGCUCAACAACAAAGACUUUAUACUAACAUCUUGAGCUAUGAUUACUAGCAAGGUAACACAUAAAAAGGUUAAACACUUAGCAAUCAUUGAUUGGAGUUUCUAGAAUCUUCCAACAGUCCCUCUCUUAUGAAUUCCUCAACAGAGGCACCUUUCCAAUAGUCAUUUGAGGUCAUAUAUAGACCAGUCUUAGCCUAAUGACAUUGUAGCUUCGUCUUCAUGACGAGUGAUCUCUAGAUGUCUUUGUUUUUAUAGUUAUUUCUCUCGCCUUUGUAACCACCUUUGAUAUUGUGAACCUCAGUUUCUUUCCUUUUUCCAGUGAAACUUUUCUCCUCAGUCGAGUCAUCAAUCCUUCCUAACCGGAUGACUUGUUCAAUCCUCUCGUCUAUAGCAACCGGGUCAGAAAAAGUUGUGCAGAGCUUUCAACCAGGUAUUCAAAGUUUGGGGCCUUGAAAGUGUUGGCAAAUAAAUUGAUCAUCUUUUUUUUUCCAACAAAGGAAGAUUAACUUGUGAAGUUUCCUCACGCCAUCUUUGGGCGUAUUCCCUUAUUGACUUAUUAUUGUCCUCCUCUAUAGCUUGCAAGCUUGACCUAUCAGGGUCCACGUCCAUAUUGAACUUAUAUUGUCUAAUGAAGGCAUCAACUAAGUCCUUUCAUUUUUUUUUUACCUUAGUAUUGCCCAACCGCAUAUACCAAGUAAGGGCAGCAUCACUCAAGUUGUCUUGAAAAAAGUGAAGCAGCAGUUUGUCGUCACAGACCACCUCAGCUAUUUUGUUGCAGUAUACAUUGAGAUGAGUUACAGGACAUUGAUUUGAUGAAUUUAGGCACUCUAAAAUUUUUGGGCUGAUCACAUUGGGACCAAACAAAUCUCAAUAACCUUUAUAUGGUCAUGUAGGCUAGUUCCCUCGAAUGCCCUCAUCCUUUGUUCUGGGGCAACCAAUUUAUCCAGGCCAUCUUAUCUUACCAUCUUGUCCUUUUCAGAUUCCUUCAUUGUAAAAUCAAUGGUAGACGACCUUUUUAUGAGAUAUGCUGGUUGAGCAAUUUGGGAAUACGUAGUCUGUUGAGAUUGAAAUAACACCUUUUUUUCCUCUAGAUUUUGCGGAUUUGCGAGCAAAAGUUCAGGUUGAGCUGUAAACUUUGCUUCUCUGAAUUUAGAUCCUAAGGCCUGUUCGAGUAGACUAGUAAGCCUUGCGACUUCUUCUUUAAGACUUCCCAACUCUUUUUGGUGUUGAGCUUCCAACUAAGUUGUUUCUUCAUUAUCCAUUUGUCUUUUUCGCAGUCAAGUGUUAUAGGUGUGUUUCAAUGACGAACCUAUAUUUCAACCCACUAAAUGAAAGUUAUGCAAUCAUGCGGAAGUAAGGACGCUAUCAACAAGGAAAAUGCAGAUUCAAUGUGGUCUCGCCCUUCAUGGGGUGGCAAUGGUCAUUAUUCAUGGAUUUUAGGAACCUGAUGUCGUUAUCAUGCCAAUGAAGGGAUCCUUGUCCAGUCUUGCUUAAGUUUGAGCUUUCGACUUUCAAUUUAAGUUGAUCCUCUUUUGUCAAAUGUAACAACUCAAACUCUUGUAUCUUAUAUGAUGGUCAUUUAUCAUCCACCAAUGGUCUUGGAAUUCAAGAUGCCGCAUGUCGGGCUAGCCAUAGUGAGAUUAUAUAGGGUACAACCUAGUAGGUGAGUUCUAGUCGUUUAAGUGCAUCAAAGGAUAGGUCACUAUCUAGUCUCAAAGGGUCUCUCGCAUGCUCAAUAAUCGUCCUUGAAAGGUUGAUAUGAGGCUUACUAGUAGUGUGAAGAUAGAGGUCCUGAGUAAUAUCAAAUCGGCAUAUCAAUUACUAUCGAGUAAACAAUCAAGCGAAAGUUGGAUGGUUUCACGAGUCUUGCUCAGGCUAAAGCCAUUGGGGUACCGUUACUCCCCCACCUAUCAUAAAUUUCAACGUGUGUGCUCUUGAAGUGAUGCAUGACAAUAUGGAUGCGUGCUAAAACGGUAAAAAACGAUAACCAUAUAAACACAACACAACAAACAUUAUAGCAAUUUACAAAUAAAAAAGCAAAGCUUAGUCCUAGAAGUCCCCAGUGAAGUUCUCAUUCUGUCACACCUAGACAUCACAGCGACCAAUAAAAAAUAUUUGGAAAAAGAACAGAUAUAUGGUAUCUUGUUAUUUUGGGGAAAAUGUCUAGUUUAAGGAGUCGUCACCUAAUAUUAUGGUCACUAGGAACCCUAACUGGUCAACAGAGAUUCUAUGGUAUGAGACUAGUUAUGUGAAAGGGAAGAUGCUAUCACCUCUUAAGCAUUCUAUAUGAGACAGACUGCAUUGCUUGUUUUGUCUAAAAUUGUUAAGAAUUUUUUUUCCUCUUUUUCUAGUCUUCCUAUAAUGUUCCUGACUCUGACGUCAAUGAACAUUUAUUUACAAAUAUUUCCAACUCUGACAUUGGUAAAUAUUGCACAACCCAAAAAGUGUGAUAUUACUGACUCUUACGCUAGUGAAUAAACCCGUAAAAUUUGAGUUUUAAGAAAAGGAAGCUAUUUUUAUUAUUUUUAUUUGUUUUAUUUUUGCUCGAUUUAGCCCAGCCGUACGGGUUGGGCUACACCUAGUGGCCCGACCUGGUGAUUGGCCCAAGCCAGUGACUUGGCUGGCCACUGUUGCACGUAUGCUUGAAUGGUUCAUGCAUGCAUGCAACCGUAACCAGUUAAUUAUUUUAGCAAGCAAGGAAGGAAACUUACCUGGACGUGUCGAUGCUGGAGGCAAAGUCGAGGGAGAUGAUUGGAUGACGCUGGAGACUAAUGGCUGGGCAAACAUCUCGAUUUUCCGUUCAUUUUUCUGUGUUUCUCAUUUCUCCCAGGUCUUCUUUUUUCUCUCUCUCUCCCUUUUCCUUUCUAGUUUCUAUUACUCCUCGCUAUUAUGAAAGGGGAAUGGAGUUGUUGGCCGGAGGAUCACAGUGGGGAGAGAAGAGCGCCUGUAGGAGCUUGUAGCGUGCUAUUGCUCACAGCUGGUGUAGAGGAGAGGAGAUCGCGAUCGCAAUCUAGAGGAGGAGAGCCGGCGUUGUGAAGAGUUACUGGACGUUGCUUGGGGUUGGACUGAAACUUACCUUCUGCUGGCAAUGGGAACCUCUUGUCUCACGUGUUCGGCGUCGCGGCGGUCAUUCACCACUCAAGAAAAAAAUAAUAGAUCUAUCUCUAUCUGCGGAGAGACAAGGAAUUCUUAUUUCUUAUCAGUGAAAAAUUUGAAUAGGAGUCGCCACCUAGUAUUCUAGUCACUAGAAACCCUAACUAGUCUCAGAGAUCGGGUACUGAGACUGGUUGUGUAAAGGGAAGGUAUUAGCACCCCAACUACGCCCUACCUAAGAUAAGCUACAUUGUUUUGUUGUCUGAUAAAAUCUAAAGUCUUAUUGUGGUUUCUAAUUGUUGGUCUGUUUAAAGGGUCAAGAAAAGUCCUCUGUAAAGAGAUCCUUAUCUUAUCAGGUAAAACCUAACUAUUCUAUGUCAUCAAAAGAAAAACAUUUAAUAUUCGAAAUACGUAUUACGUGUAAUGUUAUACCCCGGAUACUAAAAGACAAACAAAAUAAAAUUUUUGUUGUUUUUGAAAUUUUGGCCAAUGUUCUCUUGACUUUAAUAAACUGGUUAUUAAAACCAAAAUACAUGCUAAAACAUUGUUUUUUGGUGUAUGAAAAACAUAAUAUGAGACACUUGGUCGUAUGCACAAAAACAAUUUUUCUAUUUUCAUAUUUGUUUUUGUAUUUUUGGAAGUUUUGACGAAAACUACGUAUUUUAAUGCCGGAUUCAUAUUUUUUGAAAUGACAAAAAACAGACUAAGUUUCAACAAAACAAAGUAGAAAAAUACACGAAAAAAAUUGUAAUUUUUCAAAAGCAUUUUUUUAAAAAAAAUAAAUUGAAUUGGGCCUGACCUGGCCCAAAAACUUUUCUUGAACUGGGCUGGGCCUAAAUAUUCGGCUGGGCCAGAAUUGGCCUAGCCAUGAACAGUGCUCUCCACUGUUCACAGACUACGUGAACAAUGGAGAGCAAGGAGGCGAGAUGAAGUAGAAGAAAAAAAAGGAAGGGGAAAGGCUAACUUGCGAUGGCUGCAACCGUUGGCUAUGCUACUGGAGGCGAGAGGCGGCGACGCUGGUGGUUCGCAGUGGCUGCAACCUCUUCUCUCUCUCUCUGUUUUCCUCUGUUUUUUUUCUUUGUUCUCUCGGUCUUCAGACCAUUCUUCCUCUUCUGCUUUUCUUUUUUUUCUUUUCUUUCGGUCCUCUCGCUUGUCCCUUCUCUACUCCCUCUGUCUCAUCUCUCUUCAUUUCUCCUCUCGUUUCUGCUCCCCCUUCAUCUCCCAUGUAUUUAUAGGAAAAUAGGGGAGAGACAUGGUUGGGGCAGCCAUUGUGCUACCGCCCCACGAUUGCCUGAGGAGGCACGUCUCCUCCGUUUCUCCAACACGUGGGAGGUGAUUAGUACUUAAAAGUGCAUUCUCAUUAAGGCUUUAUAUCAUCGUAUUGCACUAAAGUAUCGUUAAAUUCCCUAACUAAAGCAUGUUUUAUAAUAACAAGUAUGAUAAUAUAAUAUAUCUUUAAUUUAUGGUAAAUGCUUAUUUUAAAUGCAGGUAUAUCUCACAAUUCAAAGGAUUGAUUGAUGUGAUUAACUAUUGAAAGUGAAGAGACAAAAAGAGAACUAGGCUAAGAGAAGAGAUGCUGGUUCAAUUCCAAACUGGAACACCAUUCGGUUAUUUGAUCAUAACUGAAGUUGUAGAACUCGGAUUUAGGUCCACUUUAUAUGGAUGGAAAGAUAAGACAUAGACCUAAAACUUUCAUGAAGGGUCCAAGACUCAAUUCUUCCAUUUUCAAGUUCAAAUCUUAGAAACAACGGAGAAGUCGGAACCUGUCCUGCAGCUCAAACACUGUUCGGUUUUCAACUCAUAUCUUGAGUUCUAGAAGUCCAAAUGAGCUCUGGUUUUUUUUGUUGGAAAGCUGAGACAAUUGCCCACAGCUUUCAUGGAACAAAGGGCUCAAAUUCUGAUGUUAGCAAUGAUGUUUUGGCCAGCCAACAAUAUCAAAAAUCUGCCAACAAUAUCAAGAACCAGCAGCCAACAAUAUCAAAAAUCUGCCAACAAUAUCAAGAACCAGCAGCCAACAAUGUCAAAAACCAGCCACCAAAUCAAUGGUAGCCUACCAAUCAAUAGUUCUGAAUCUUAGCCUAUAAAAGGAGGCAUUUGCCAUGUAUUUAGUCAUAUUAUUUUUCAGAUCAAAAUCAUGUUCUUGUUUUCUCUCUUUAUAUCUUUGUAAUGUUCAAGUUUUCUUUCAUGUUAUAUUAAUCUCUUGUUUAUGCUUUUUCAUUUCCUUUCCUAUAAUUAGUUAACUUAUAUCAUGUUUAUGUUCUUAUGUUGUUUAUUUAUGUUUUUCUUCUUCAUUAUGUUUAGCUAAGUUAAUUAUGUCAAGGUGAAAAGGUUUUACUAAUGGUGUUAGAAUAGGUAUAAUAUAAACUCAACAUGGACUUUAAUGUUUAUAUCCAAGAAAAAUUGUUAUUAGCAUGUCUUAUCUUUUUAUCUUACUAAUUCUUAAUACCUUGCUUGUUAAAUGGUUAAUCUAGAUUUGUGUUGUAUAACACUUGGUACAUCAAAUGCUUGAUCCUUCAUAGUUUUCGGCCGACAUCGUUGUUAUGAUAGGAACUUGAUUUGUUGUUAACAUAAGCUAGCAACAUAAAUGCCUGAUGAUAUUUAUAAGUAUGGUGUUACUUAGAUAAGAUGAUUAAUAUGAUCAUGUUAAUAAUUUAUAAUGAGCUAAUAACGAUAAAUCAUCCGAUUGGAACCUCCUUUGUGUGUGGUUUCCAAUUGAGUAAUAAAAAGAGUUUAUAUUAUAUUUAUUUGAAAUACCAUUAGUGGAUCCUCUAACCUUGACAUCUGUUUAUUAUUGUUUAAUCCUUACAUCAAUAUCACUUCACAAAACUCUCUUCAACUCUUUUUCUGUUAUUAUUAUCUUCAAAUCUUUCUCUUUAUUUGUAAUUUAUACAAUUCACCUCUCUGUGGUUCGACCCCGGUCUUGCCGGGUUAUUUAUUACUUCGACACUCCUGCACUUGGGAGAAGACAUCAAUCUUUUGGUCGUGUCAGGAGGCCACGGGUCAGCUGAGCAAAAUAAGGUCUUUGGUUGGCGUCUUUUAAAACUAAAAGGAGGAAGAAAAGGCGGUGAAAACAGGGGAACAAAACUUUCUUCUUCCCUUGUUUUCUACGCGUCCAAGGGAGGAAGAAAGGCUAUAGUGCCAUUCAAAACAACACCGUUUUGAGCUCUCUCUUUUUUCUUUUUUGAAUAGUGUAUGAAACGACGCCGUUUUAGCCAAAAUGUGUCGUUUUAUUUAAAUGAAAGCGGCGCCAAACUUAUGCCAAAGUCCAAAUCAGUCUUCAAUUUGUAAUUUGUUCAAUCAAGUCCUAAAUUGCAAUUUUGAUUUAAAAAUCAAUGCAAUUGCAUCCCUUCCAAAAAUCAGACAGCGGCCCUGAAGUUGGCCGCCUUUUUCACUUUGGUCCUUGGUCUUGAAUUUAUACAAUUUGACCCUUAAUUGAUAAAUAAACUUCUAAUUUCUUCAAUUUGGCCCUUGAUUCGGUUUAAUUGCAGCCCCUCUAUUUACGUGUCUUUUCCAGUUUGGUUCUUGGUUUUGAAUUUCUUCAAUUAAGUCCCUAAUUGGCCAUCAAACUUUAAUUUAUGCAAUUAAGCCCCUGAUUUGACCAAAUUAACUCUAAAAAAUUAUAAUUUGACCCCAGAACUUUAAUUUCUUCCAAUUAAAGCUUAAAUUGACUUCAAAAUCAAUUUUUCUUGUAAUCAAACCCUCCAUAAAUUCAAUUAAACUUUCAAUAAAAUUUAAUUGAGUCCAUAAACAUCUGGUUUUGGACUUUUCUUGCUCAAAUUGAAUUUUCUUUGUCAACAGGGUUCUCAUCAGUCAAUAAAAUACCGUUAAAUUUUAAUCUUUGUAUUUUUGAACCUCCUCGAUCAAUUUUUGACCAUUUUCUGAGCGUUCUGGCAUCUUCUUUUCACUGUUAUAUUUUUUUGAUAAUAUUUUCUAUUUUUUUGUAUUUUUUUAAUAGAGAAAAAAUAUAAAUUGAAAAAUAACCCAAAAAUGGGUUAUGACACCUCUGAUGGAUGUUACUCUCGAUUGAAGAUAGGACGUUGGACGUUGUUGUUGCACUACUUAAAGAAGAGACUUAUGUUGUUUGCUCAUUGUAAAACCAAAGAUUGCAAGUCUAAGAGGAAACCUUCUGCUGCUCACGAUGGGAGCUUGCUAAGAAAAGGAUUUAUGCUGCUCACAGUGGCAGCUUAUUGAGAGGAGCGGCUGGCGUUUGUUGCUGAUGGUGUGAGUCGAAAUCAAGUUGUUGAAACCAGUGUAGUUGUUAUAUCAGAGAGGAAAUAACGGCAUAAAUCUGGAGGAGGAGAGCCAGUGUUUUCGGUGAGGAGGAAAGGAGGAGCGACCCCACUGCUGUCUUGGUGACUCUGCUGCUACUGCUGCUAGGAAGAAGAUGUGUCCAUGGUGCAACCUUUUUGGCCUGGUGGUUUUGUGAUAUCCUACCUUGAUGAGAUGAGGACCAGGCUUGAUAAGUUAACAGCAUGCACCAAAGUUCAACCGAAGGAGGGGUUACCAGGACAAAAAGAUGGAGCUGAUUUCUCUUUUCUUGGUGUUGGUGGUGGAGAUAUCGACAGAGAGAGGGUGCUGGCUGGUAUUGGUAUUUGUUGAUUCUCGGAGAGAAAAAAAAAAAGCGGGGGCGGUGGUUGGUCUUAAAGAAGGUGAUUCUUUAGGGUUGGCUCCCUCUUUUUUAUGAAUCUUUUUUUUAUGCUUUUUUUUCUUGUAAUGUCUUCCUACUAUUUGGAUGCACUGAGAUCUGUAUUUAUAGUACAAAAAUUUCAUCACGAAUGAAAAAUAAAGUCUCAAACAAUUUUAUUUUAUUUUUGAAAUUUAAAUUUAAUUAAAAUUCAAAUUUGAAAGCAGAUAACUAUCAUCUUGAUGAUAAAAAUAAAAUGAUAAAAAAACAUUAUAGUUCCUAGUUUUCACGCAAGUCUACAAAUCAUAUUUUUCAUCGAAAUAAAUUUUUAUAUGCUGUCAUUGAGAAAAAGUGCACAUAUCAACAAUUUUUUUAGUGUGCUUAACAUAAUCAUUUACAAAAACAAAAAUUGUAAUGUAAAAUUUAAAUUGACGAUCAUAUAAUUGAAAUAUGGCUAAUUAUGCUCUCUAUAUAGUAUAAUAAAAUAUAAUAAAAGGUUUAGGUAAAUCAUUGUAGCAAUUCAUAGUAUUCAAAUUUUUAUUUUCAUUUUCAUCCUCAGAGUUUCUUUUCUAAUGCAGUCUUUUAUACUCAAUUUCAUGACAAAUUUGUCAAUUUUUAUUAAGAAAAAAAAUCCAGCAAUAGAGGACCAAAAUGAAAAAUAAAGAGAAACUUGAUGGCCAAUCUUAAAUUCAAUAAAAAAGGUUCUUUUCAGUCCACCUACUUUUCUUUUUCUUACUUUACAACCCCUUUAGUUUUUGUCAUUUUAAUUUUGGUCUAAAAAUUUAAUUUCUUAACAUAUUAGUUCCUCAGUUAGAAAGAUAAGAGAGAAAGUCUACUGAAAAUAAUGAAGGAGGGACUAAGUGAAUAAUCACUUUUUAGUAAUGAAACUUGUCUUUCUUGGUGACAAUUGUUCCAUUCAAUAAGGCAAGUUCAAUGAUGGUGGAUUUUUUCUAAACAUGUCUGAAAAAAUAGAUUAAGCUUGGUUUGGAUUUUUUUUAUUCAAUUGAUUUUUUUAUUUGAGUGAUUUUAUGAUGUUUUAGGUUGGUAGGUGAUUUAUUGAUAUUUUUAUGGUAUUUUGAGGUUUUUUAUGUGAAAAUAGCUAGAAAAUAAAUAUUGAGGACAAAAAACCCUUCCCCUUCAUUUUUCAGCUACCAUAAUGAUGACUGGAUUUUGAGAUGUUGCCUCCUUAAAAAAAACCUUAAAAGCUGAAAACGCAACCUGUUACCUGCUUCUAAUGAAAAAAUAAAAAAGGCAUGGGCCUAGGCUUCUAAGCCCAGACUCACCUAGCCUUUUACUUCUGGCUCAUCAAUGUUUAUUGAUUUGAAAUAUUGUAUUUUAAUCAUGACUCUUGAUAUGAGAAAUGUUUGGAUAAUAGGUUUGAGACAAGAAUUAAGAAAAACAAAUCUACCAUUGAUUAUACAUGGAUAAUUCGGCAAUUUAAGGGGUAUAAGGGCAUGGAAUUGUUUGAUUGAAUUUAGUCAUUCAUGAAUAGAAUUAUGUUAGUUGGAAUGUGAAUUGAUAGAAUGAAGGGAGAAUUGAGGAGAAAUUUAGAAAGCGUUGCCUUGAUUACUACUAAACUACUCGGCCAAAGUAGAGAUUUUGGGUUUGAGGACAUUUGUUUGAAUUGUUGUAUGAAUUAUGUAGAAUUAAACCAACUCAGAUGAAAAAUGGUCAAAAGACAUAAAAAGUUUGGGAAUUUGAAAAAAAAAAUCCAUUUUCCUUAAUCUUUAUUGUUGACCAAAGAAAUAAUAAAAAGGAGGAUGAAUUCUAUUAAGCAUAUGGAUUAAAUUAGAUAAAUUUAACAUAAAAGGAAGGAAAAUAUGAGGGGGUGAAUUUAAAAAGAUUUAAAAUAAAUGAAGAAUUGAACAAGAAAUCAUUACUAUUUUAAAUUGAAUUUUUGGCAUAGGAGAAUAAAAUAAACAUGUUGAUAGUGAUGUUUGAAUAAUGAGAAUCAAUAGAGACAUUAAGUUAAUUGGAAUAAAUGAAUAAAGUUUAAUUGAUGAAAAAGAAUAUUAGUGUUUAAAGAUUUGAAAGUCUCUUAAUCUAUAAAUAAAUUAUGGGAUGAGUGGAAAUUAACUCAAAAAUAAAUAAAUUUUUUUUUGGAAAGGUUUUUUAAUCUGAAAAGAGUUUAAAUGAUGAUUGUUGCACGUCACCCGCGUGACGUUAAUGGUAAUUUUCGUUCGUUUUGCUUGAUUUGGAAGUCAUCAUCUAGUAUUCGAUUAAGAUGAAAAAUGCACAAAAAGCAUUUGAUAGGUGAUUUUCACCUCAAUAUGAUUUAGUAGGUUAUUAAUUAAUAAUAAUUUCAAUUUAUUUAAAUGCUCAAAUAUAUUGUGACAUGUAUGAAUCUUAAAAAAACAUAAAAAAAAAUUGAAUGAAGUACAUAUGAAGAAAUGACAUCCAAAAGAGGGAUCGUUGGAGUGUGGGUAUUCAACUGGAAAUACAAGAUUGAUUGACUUCCAAAUAAAAAUACCAGAUUAAUUAGCAUCCAGAUUGCCAAAGUAAUUAGUAUUUAGGGAGAAUACUAAAAUUAUGUACUUCCAUAUAAGAAUUUUGGAUUCAUGGGCACUCUGUUAGGGUUGCUAGCUAGAAUAAAUUGGUAAUCAGAUGAGAUUACCGCAAUUAUUAGCAUUCUUUAAAAUUAUUGGAUUAAAUUAACUAUUUGUAAGGUAGUCAAAUAUUUUUUGUAGCAAAAAUGAACUCAAUAGUAUUAAUAUUGUGUGGUUUAGUUUUAAGUAUUAAUGUUAUAAUCAUUGUAGGUUAUUUUAUGACUUAGCUUAAUUAUAAAGAUGUUUGGUUGCUUUAAAAAUACAACUUAGAAUGAACUGUUUGGUAUUAAUAUUGUGUGGUUUAGUUUUAAGUAUUAAUGUUGUAUACCCAAUAAAUUAGAGGGUGUUACGAGUUCGUAUCAGACCAAUAUAUUUCAUAUAUUUCACAUGACCAUAACAUUUUUUUGGUUCAAUAUUAAUUCAGUAACAUAACACAAGUCAUGUGGAAAAAAUACUGUCCAUAUACCAUGAUUUAUUAUGAUUUAAAAUAGUGAAAUUAUACAUUUUCCCUUCAAAAAAAAUAAAUAAACUGACCUUGAAUGGUAAUUGUAUCUUUUCACAUGAUUCAUUUGGUAUACUCAAGUUUUUUUUAAGACAACAACAUUGUCUUUUCACAAUUCUUUUGCACGAUUAGUUUAUUUGAUUACCUUAAAAGCAAAACAACACUUAACUAUGGUUUAGAAACUUUUUUUAUAUUUCAUUUUUUAAAAACAAUAGUGUAAUGACUUUAUUAUCUGUAAAAUUAAAAUUCUCAAAUCUUGACUUCAAGGGCUCAUUCAUAAUUUUACAAUUGUUUUUUCAUAAUAAUUAUUUAAACAUGUGUGGUGCAACGAUUUUAUUUUUCAAUUCAAAUUAAUAAUAUUAUGUUUUUCAAUAUAAAUCUUUUGUAAAAAUUAUUAUUUUUUUCAGUUUCAUUUUUUAAUUGAAAUAUUAUUUUUUUGAUGUCAAUUUUGAUUUUAGUUGUAUUUUUUUUUCUUUUACUAAAUUGAUUUUUCCUUUCAAUUAAUAUUCUGGAAUGAGAAAUAUUCUGGAAUGAGAAUAAAGAGCUGGUUCGAGUAAAGGUUAAAGAUACUCUUGACAGCAAGAAGCUAGGAUAUGGCUUUCAAGAUGCUCCUGUUCCUUGGCUGAAAAUUAGACCACAACCAAAAUUAUCAAGGCAGGAAAAAUCACGUCGUGCAGCUGAAAAAAGCGUUGUAUUAACACCAAUUAGUGCAUUCCCUGUUGUCUUGGAUAAAGUCAUAAGUGUGGAGGUUUCCAGGCCAAAGAAAUCAAGAAGCGCGACGGAGAAAGAAGAUGAAGAUGAAGUUUUAGUUAUUGAAGGGAUUGAGUAUGAAGAAAAUCAAUUAAGUUCGAUGUCCUCGGCAACGAUGAACCUGAUUCACCUGGUGGACCAGACAAGUCCGGUGGUGAUCUAGUUACCAUUGAUAGUGUCAAGAUUGAGUUUGUUGCUGAUUGAUCAUGAUGAUGAGGGGGGCUGUGCUACCAUUUUCUUUUCUUUUUUUUCCUUAAUUCUUUUUUCUCUUUCUAUGUUAGUAUUCAGUGAGUUUUCUCUCUUUUCUUUCAAUUUAGACACGAUAAUGAUUUCUUAGAUUUGUUCCCCCCAGAAAAAAAAAAUUGUUCAGAAGAAAUCAGUUGUGGUUUCUUUUCUUUAUAAAAAAAUAAAAAUCCAUCUUUCUCUAAACUUUUCUGUAGGCGAGCCUGUAUAGAAAUAUAAGAACUCAAUUGAACAUCCAUCUAUAGAAGGUCAAGUAUUCAGAAGCUUACAAUGUAAUUUUCAACAUAAUUUCAUUGAGGCUUAAUCUAUAGUUUUAUACUGAAUUACAUAUUCAAAAGAUUACAACAAUCAAAAUAUUUACAGACAAAAUAUUUGUAUUAAUUUACAAGCAUGAUUGUAGGCUUAAUUACUGCUGCAAAUCAUUAGCAGAUUUCUUUCAAGCUACUGCUGCAAUUACUUGCAGAUUUCAUGCAUCUUCCUUAAUAUUAUCUUCUUUCUUUUUUUAAAAAAUAUAUAUAUAUAUAUUUGUAUAUAUAUAUAUAUUAAGUAAGUUAGUUAUUUUUUUUUACUCAUGUUUUUUACCAAAAUAAUUUUUAUUAGUAGCGUGUUUGUUUAAUUAAAACAAUAGGUAAUUAAAAUAAUUUCUCUCUCUCUCUUUUUUCUUUUCAGUAUCCUAGAGGCGGCUUGAAAUCCGUGUUCAUGCUUUUUCUUGUUUUUCUUCUCUUUGGUGAGUUUCAAUUUUUCUCUUCUAUCAUAAGUUCAAUUAAUGGGCCCUAUCCCAUUGUUUUCUUUAAAGACUUUAGUAGAUUUGUGACGCCUAGUUAAAGGUCGGAAGAAAUAACAUGCUUUUUCUAUUCAAUAAAAUAAAAUAAAACAUCUCUCAUUCUUAUCCACGAAGAAAAAGGACAAAAGAUAUGGGGUGGAAAAGAAAAGGAGAAAAGAGAACAAAAAAUAAAUAAAUAUAUAUAUAUAUAUAUAUAUAUAUAUAUAUCAUUUUCAAAUUUAUAUUUUUAUAUUUUCAAAUGCAAAUAUAAAAAUAUGAUGUUAUUAAUUUAUACUUUGCCUUUGAGCAUAGAUAAUACAUUACAUUUCAUGGUUCCAUCGUUACUUUAAUAUUUAAAAACCCAGCAACACCGUGAAGAAAAAAUAAUAAUAAAAGCAAGAAGAAGCAAGACCCCGAAAGGUACUUCCUACCUCGUGAAUGAUCUUAUGAGAAAUUGGAAGAUCUCUCCCUUUUUUACACUGACACCGCGCUUGAUCAUCGCAGGUGGGUUUACUAAUGCGGCGGUGGACGAGGAGUGUUUCGAUUGAAAAAGAGGAGGUUUUUCCUUCUAUUUUUAAGAGAGAGAAAAAAAAGGCAAAUUUUAUAAAAUUCUCAUUGCAAUGGACAGAUAAAUAGCCAAUUUUCUACACCUCUUGCCUGUACUCCAACAUGAUAUACAGUAUAAUUAGUACAAAAACGCAAGGCAGUACUAUAUUAGAGGUUUUUUGUUUUUUUUUCUUUUUCUUUCAAAAGUGAACUAUAUGUCUUAUUCCCAAAAAAAAUCUGCUUUUUUCUUUUCGUAAAAUCGUUUUUGAAAAGGCAACGUAGUUUUACUUCUAUUUAGUUUUACUGCUAUUUCCAUAGAGCAAAUAUUACCAAAAAAAAGGUUAAAAUUCAAUCACGUGUGUUUGUGAAAAUCAAAUAUAUACCUAGAUACAUAACAUAAAUCAUUAAAACUAGGUGUGAUUAUUUUUAUUUCGUUCGAAUUUUGGGUAAAAGAACAGUCAAACCAUUUUAUAUUUUAGAUUUCAUAAUCGACCCAAGUGAAAAUCAGUCUAAAUGAUAAACCUCUACAAUUUUAAAAAUAAAAUAAAUAAAAAUUAAAAUGAUGUUAAAUAUGUGAUCAAUAAGUAAGAAAAGGAAAUAAUGGCAUGGAAAAUGUUCUUGUAAACCUUGGUUGAAAUCAAUAAUAUUACCAUGAAACAAUAUUAAAUCUAUAUAUGAACUAUGAUAAAAAGAUAAAAUAAAUAUAUUUUGAAAUAAGAAAAUGGUCCCAAGAAUUUAUUGCAAUAACCGAUACGAUCCAUGUAAAGAUGGCACAAGAAAAUUCAGAUUUUGAUGUAAAAUCACCUACCGACCAGUUUUACACUAUCGAGUAUAAUUCUCAAUACGACCAUCGGAUCAUGUUGAAAUCUUACAAGGAGUCUUCUAACAUAGUUUUCUAUAUUAUGUUAAAAUUUUAGAGUAAUCAAAGUAUAAAAAAGUUGUACAAGAAUGUCGACAAUUGGAUAAAAAAUAAAAUGUCUACUCAUUUGUUAAGAUCUAUUAUCAUAAAGAACUUGAAAAUUUUGGAAGAUUACCUGCUAUUUACUACUGAAUUUUAUUUUUUAGAUUUCAUAAUCAGACCGAACUAAAAAUUAGUCCAAACAGUAAAUCCAUAAAAAUUUAAAAAUAAAAUAAAUAGCAAAUAAAUAAAAAUAAAAAUGAGUUUAAAUAUAUGGUCAAUAGGUUAGAAAAAAAAAAGAAUGGUAUGAAAAAAUAUUGAUAUAAUCCUCGGUUGAGAAUCAGUAACACCUUGCAUACCUAAUUUACAGAAUUUAUGGACGCACACCUUAUUAGUAUGACACUACACAACCAUUUACUAAUAUUACACUGCUCACACCUAAUUCCUUAUUGUAGAAUUUAUGGGCACAUUUUCUUUAUUAAUAUGACAUCAUGCAACCACCUUAUAUACUUCUCUACACCCACUUCUUUGUUGUAGAGCUAUUUGUGCGAGUGCAUGAGCAUUUACAUGUCUCGUCAAUGGCGAGUACAACGCUACCAUGUCUCACCAAUUAACAUAACAUAAUAACCAACAACUCAUAACAACUCAUUUUACAAGUUACCCGUCCAAUAAAAAUAAUUAUUUUUUAUAAUUACUCAUGUACGAAUGUAUCUACAACCUUACUAUCUAUAAGAUAAUCUUAUGUGAUUAAGAUAUAUAAAUAUCUUAAUUUAAUAGGUAACAACACGCAAGGUCAUGAUACAUAACCACACACAACAAUCACAUUAUAUACUUUUCUACAUUGUUAUUUUUUAUUAUAAUUAUUUUUCUCAUAAGUUAAGCACAUGCUGGUGCGGGUUUUUUAUUCCAAUGUAGAACUUGUUUUGUAAAAGUCCUAAGUUGUGCCUUUCACAACUUAAAAAAAAAAUCCUUCAAAACCAAUCAAUGAAAAGACCAGAUUCAAUAGAAGUUUUUCCAACUUUGUUAGGUAUGAUAAAAAGUUAGCUAUGAUAAUAUAACCAUCAACCUCAUGCUUGAUUUGAAAUCUUAUUUAACUUGUGCUGAUAUCUAUAAUUAUUUAAAGUUCUUAUACCCUUUGAAGCAUGUGUCUCUAUGUACGUAUGUCUAAGAAUCAUUAUUGGGUAAAAGAUCAUCUUUAGUUUUGGGUUGAAUCAAAAUGAAUCCUUGCAUUUUUGUAGCUUUUCUGAAACUUUGAGGAGGCAACAAAAUACUUUAAUUGAUUUUAUCCAUGAAAGACAACUUUGUGUAUUUUUUUUUGUGAAGGGCAAAGACUUUAAUGUACUAUUAUAAUCCAAGGUAAUUAAAGGCACAACUAUAAUGUUUUUCUCUACACAACUUAAGUUCGGUUAAUAAUAAGACCUGAACUGAAGAUCCAUUUUGUUUAAAAUUUAAGUUAUUAAUAGAUAGGUUAACUUGAAUUAACUUAAAUUCACUAGAUCUAAAAUCCAGGUAAUUGGUCGAGUAAGUUAACCCUAUUUAAUUCUAAUAUAUUUUUUAAAAUUAAAAUAUCAUCAUAUAAGACUUUUUUAAAUGAAAAGUAAACUUGAAAUAACAUGAUUUUGAAGAAAAAAAAUUAAUUUUUCCCCUAAAACUAGUUUAAAUUAGAUUUUAGAUCAAUGAAUCACCAAGGUAAUUCGAGAUUUAAUAUAACUAGACCUAGGUGGACAAAGAUGACUAGGCCUAGAAAUAAAGGAAAAAUAAAGAACAAAAGUUGUGGGAUGAAAAAGAAAAGGAAAGGAAAAUAUAUCAUAGCAUAUCUUCUCCAUUAAAUUUAUAAUCAUCAUUUUUUUACUCAUGUUUUUAAACAAAAUAUUUUUUAUUAGUAAGAUGUUUUUUUAAUUAAAAAUAAAGGUAAUUAAAAUAAGUUCUUGUAAGAGUUUGAAUGAUUUAAAAUAAGCAGGAAAAACUAUAUUUAUUAAAUCUAAACUAUAUUUAUUUAUUAUUGUAUUUUAUUUAAGAAAAAUAAAUUAUUUUGUUAUAAGUAUUGUUUCUUAAAUUAAAACAAAACUAAUCACAAUCUUGAAAGAGAGUUUUAACAAAAAAAAAUUUGAAAAUUAUAUCUCAAAAAAAAAUAAGAAAAAGAUUAAUCUAAUUUUUUUUAUUAAUUUAUAAUAAAGAAUUACAAAGUAGAAAUCUUAUAUUUAUUGAAUAUUUAUAAUCAUAAAUUUAAAAAUAAUUGAUCCAGAGAUGAACUUGUUACCGUUGAUGGUAAAAAAAAAAAGAAAAAGAAGAAGUAGCAGGCAUAACUUUGUUGCUGGCUGAUGGACCUAUGCUUUUUUUUUUUCUCUCUUUUUUAUUUUCAGUGUCCUAGAGGCGGCUUUUCUACUUGAAAAUGUUCAAUUAUUGGACCGUAUCCCACUGUUUUCUUUAAAGACAUUAGUAGACAUACCAUCAAUGUUUGUUUGUUUUUUUUACAUGCUUUCUCUAUUCAAUAAAAUAAUAAUUAAAAGUACCUCUCCUUUUAAUCUUAUCCGACGAAGGAAAGGAAGAGGACAAAAGAUGUGGGGUGCAAAAGAAAAGGAGAACAGAGAAGAAUAUCAUAUAUAUAUAUAUAUAUAUAUAUAUAUAUAUAUAUAUAUAUAUAUAUAUAUAUAUAUAUAUAUAUAUAUAUAUAUAUAUUAUCCAUUUUAACUUUUUUUAAUAUUCUAUAGGAAUAAAAAAGAAUAGUAAAAGGAAAACAAAGAGAGGAAGUAUUAACCUUUUCAAAUGCUAAUAUUGACACUAAGGAAAUGUUAUAGAACAAAAAUAAAACGCUGCACAUCAAAUGUUUUUAAGAAAUUAAUGGAUUCAAAUAUACAAUAUGAUGUUAUUAAUUUUUUUUUAAUUUUUUUUAGAUUAAUAUGGGUGUCUGGGAUCAGCUUACGCGCAACUCGACUAAUUUCACGAGCCCUAAAGUUAAUGACUAUGUAAGUUUCCAGUAGCUCUGAGAUUUGUGGGACUCGAACCGGUAACCUUUAGAAAGCAAAAAUAAUACAUUACAUUUUAUUGAUCCAUUACUUUAAUUAAAAACCCAUCAAAGCCAUGUGAGAGAGAGAGAAAAAAACAAUAAAUAAAAGCAAGAAAAGAGAAACAAGAAUGCAAGAUUUUUUUAUUAUUCAGUGGGGCAGCAAUAUCAUAUAAUUGCAAAGAUUUUGAAACAAGGUUCACACGUUACCAUGUUUUGAAAUCGAUCAGAUUUUAAGUUUGUUCUUUAAAAAUUAUUAAUUCAAGUCCUAUAAAUUUUAGAGUUAUUGGAGACUUAGAUGGUCGUUAACUUCAUGACCUAUGAGAUUAGUCAAGAUGCGCACAAGCUGCUCCAGACAUCUAUAUUAAAAAAGAAAAAGAAAAAAGAGAGAAGGUAUCAUGGUACGAGAAAUUAGAAAGUUUCUCCCCUUUUUUACACUUCGAACAUUGAAAAAAUAAAAGAUAAAAAACCAAUGCAGGCUCAAAGAUCCCAAUUAAACCAUACCCAUUUACUUCAUCACUCACUAAACAGAAAAGUAUUAAAAAUCCAAUCUUUACUUGUCCAUUAUGACCCUCAGGUAAACAAAACACUCUUUCUCCAUGCUUGGGAACAUCACAAGUGGAACUACACAUGCCUUCCAUAACUCUAUAUUAUCCUAGAACCAAAAAGUCAGUUUUCUUAGAAAACAAACAAAAUAAAUAAAUAAAGUAAUUUCACACUUCACAUUCAUUGUUCCCCAGUGGAAUUUACCAUCCUCCUCUUCCUUUUCCUCGAUUCGUGGCCAUCACUUUUUAAAACCCACCAAGCAACAAAAGCAGCAUCCAAAGUCAACAAAAACUUGAAGAAUCGUGCUUUUAAAAUAGAGACUUGCGAGGGAAGAAAAAUGCGAGACAGCAAGAGAGGCAGAAGCGGGGUUGGCUAUGAAAAGGGCUUUGGUGGACAUCGAGAGAGAAAGUGUUUAGAGGAGGAAGGGGGUGUAGGGUGUGAGAGUUAAUUUUUGAAUUUGAUUUUUUUAAGACACUUUUCUAUUUAUACUUCUGUUAAGUUAAUAAUAUUUUUAAUUUUUUAUUCAACAAUUCUGGCCCGAUCUAGUUCAAUUGGAAUCUGUUUCAUGUUUUUGAAAUCAAAACUAAAUAGAAUUGAUUUUUUUUUUGUUUUUUAGUAGGUUAUAUUUUUUUUUUAGGUUUUUUUGGUUGUUUUUUUUUUUGUUUUUUUAGUUUAAUAAGUUUUUUGGUUUUAGUUUUCUCAUCCCUAAUUAAAAUACUAUCCAUUCACUACGCAUUUUUUUAAGUUUUCUACGUAGCUCUAGUUAAUAUUUGCAAUUGAGUUCCUAGUUUUAAUAAUCUUUGCAUUUAAGUAACAAUAUUUCAUUAUAUUCUUGUUUUUAUCUCUAUAUAGCUGCAAGAGAAACGAAAGGAGAGGAAAAUACUCCAAUUAAGGUUUUUAUGUGUUCAAUUGACAAUCCUUAACAUGGCUGAAGAAAAAAGAUCAAGACUUCAAUAAUAUAUUGAGUUUUUUUUUAUUUAGUUGGGUUUUGAAGGUUUUUUUGCCAAUUAAAAUGUUUUUUAAGACUGAAAAUAAAUUUAUAGAGGUUGUUAGUAUAAUGUUUUGGUGUGUAGAGUGGAAAAUGAAAGAUUUGGAUUUGUAUGACCAAAACUAUAGUCUCGUAAUGUUCUAGUAACCAAAUGGUUAUUGAAAAUAUUAAUUAGUCAAAUUUUUUUAUGAAAACUAAUACACUACAACAUUAUCCAGUUUUACCGACGGACUAAUUCCGUCGGUAACAGCAAUGAAAUCCGUCGGUAAAAAUAAUACCGACGGAAUCACCGACGGAUAACGUCCGUCGGUAUAACAGUCGUCGGUAAAUCCCAUUUCCGUCGCUAAUUCUGUCGCAAAUAAAAAAAACCACCCACCGACGGAAACACCGACAGAAAUACAGACGGAUACGCGCGCGCCAAAAAAAAGUUUCCCGCGGGAACAUUACCGACGGAAUAAAUCCGUCGGUAAUGUCAAGGGUAAUUACCGACGGCAUUACCGACGGACAAUCCGUCGGUAAUUAUGGCAUGGCUUGUAAUUUUGUUGCAACUCUCUGUGUAAUACCGACAGAUAUUAUCCGUCGGUAAGUCCGUCGGUAUAUAAUCACCGACGGAUAAUAUCUGUCGGUGAUGCCGUCGGUAAAUAUGGCAUGGAUGGUAAUUGUUCGGCAACUCUCUGUUAAAUACCGACGGAUAUUAUCCGUCGGUAUAUCCGUUGGUACUUAUUUAAAAUAUAUAUAUAUAUAAAUAAUUUAUUAAUUGUAAAAAACCUUAAUAAACAAAUAAAAUGCAUUAAACAUUAAAAAUGUAAAAGUAAUAAUAUUCAUUACAAAUUUAAUGUGUUUAAAAAACAAAAUUAAACUAGAAUAGCGGCGGAGCUGGAGGAGGAGGCGGAGGAGGAGGAGGCUGGUUGUUCCCGGGACCAUACGGCCAAAAAGAAGCUGCACAAGUAUCGUCACCCAUCUUUGAUCUCAUCUCCAUGACUAUUUGACGGAGCUCAUCAUAAUUCGUCGAGAGUUGUUGAUAUUGUCGUUUCAACGCAAUGAACUCCUCAGACUGGGUGUUCGAUACUGAUGGAGAGCUUCCAACAGUUGAGACACUACGAGUCGAACGCAAGUUGUCAGCCGUAGUGUUGGAGAGCCCGUAGACCCUGUUUUUAUCGGGUCCACCAGACGAUCCCGCCUCCAUCCACAAAUCUGGAUCGAAAUCUGGAUGGGUCGACGGAUUGUCCCCAUAUCUCUACCUCAACCGGCUAUUAUAGGUCUCCUGAAAAUUCCAUCGGUAAAAAAAUCAUCAAAUGCAAUUCAAGAUGCAAUUCAAGAAAAUAAUAACUUACAAAAUAAAAUGAAUGAACGAACAUACCACGAAGUGCUGAGCACGGUUGUCCACGAACUGCUGCACCCCCUUUUGGCGAUCUUGACUCCGCACAUGCGUAUCUAGAAACAGCUCCAUUGGACUCGGUUCUCGUCCAAGAGACGCAGCCUGUAAGGAAAAAAUAGGUUGAAAGUUAAAUAUAUUAUAAGGAACGACAAAUUAAUUAACGAUAUAUUUCAAUAAAAUUAAUCUUACCAUCCGCUUUGCAUGUGCGCUGAAUGGGACGGAUCCGCCAGUGUGCGUGGUCACCGAACCAUAAAUUUGUCGGUUCCGGUUGUCGGCGCCAGACUGUGAGCGCCGUGAGAACCGCUCUGAGGUCACGUGCUCAAUAUAUGCCGUCCAUAUUUCCCCCGAGAUGAAUGGCGGUUUGAAUUCCUGCCAAACCGCCACCUCAUUCCAUCCUUCAAGACCGUUAUCCCUCGCAUGUCUUUUUGAUUUUUUUUGGGUGUCAUACCAAAAAUCACGCAACCUACUUCCAUAGUAACAAAUUAGAAUUUAAAACAUAAAAUUAUAAAACAAAAAUAAAUAUUAUUUUCGAUGUUACCUAGUUGCCGCGUGAUUCUCCCAUACCCUCCUCACAACAUUGUUGUCCGCCCUAUCCCACUCAAAUUUGUUCUGUGUAUAUAAAUAAUUCAUAUAAAAUAAAAAUAGUACAAGAUAUAAAAUUAUAAAAAUCAUUUAUUAAAAAUAAGCUGUAAAUUAAAAAUUAACACCGACGUGAAAUCGCUUAAACCAUGCAUCGAUAUUAGGUUUCCACUCAGGAUGUUUGGAAACCUGGCUCCAUUGAAACAAUGGAAUCUCCAUCGACGAUUUAAACGCCAAUGUUAUAGUCCUUGCAGCCUCAAUGUUUGUGAACCUGAAAUUAAAUAAUAGUAAUUAAUAUUAAUUAGUUGUUCAUAAAUUAUGUUAUAAGUAUAUAUAAAAAAAAACUAAAAUCUAAACAAACUUACAUUGAGAGGUCAUCCUUCCAUUGUGCCUGGUACUUGCGGGUGAAUUGACCCCGCUGUGAAGGCACACCGCUUCUGCGCUGUGAAACCGCGCUAGAAGAGGCAGCAUCACAAGUUGGCGUAGAUUCCUCGCCGUGAUCAGCACCUAAGGAUACGUCCUCCUCGCUGCUAGAAGAACUAGCUGCAACCGUCUUCUGACGACGUGCUGUAGAUUUCAUUCUAUGCAUCUACACAAAUGUAUACGAAUAAUUACAUAAUUAACUUCGAUUAUUUAAAAAAAAAUUCGACAGAGUCUCCCCUGUACUGGGGGGUCCCAAGUUGUCGACAAAAUCAUAUUACACUUUCAAUUUUAUUUCACAUCCCGAUCCAAUCAUCCUGGAUCUCAACCCAACUCAUCAUCAUCAACACAAUAUUUUAUUCAAUAACAUCAUAUAUAAUUACAACUAUGAACAUUCAUUGUUAAAUUGGUACUUAGAGUUACAAACAUUAGAUUAAAGUCAUACAUUCAAAUUUACGGAUAUAAACUAACAUUUUUAACAUAAAUUCAACAAUAACAAUUAUAGCAAUACAAACAAUAAUAUCCUAAAUUAAGAUAAACUAAUUAAAUGCACUUCUAUAUAUAUAAAUUAACAUUUUUAAAAUAAAUCAACAAUAACAAUUAUAUUUAUAACCUAACAUUUUUAACAUAAAUUCAACAAUAACAAUUAUAGCAAUACAAACAAUAAUAUCCUAAAUUAAGAUAAACUAAUUAAAUGCAAUUCUAUAUAUAUAAAUUAACAUUUUUAAAAUAAAUCAACAAUAACAAUUAUAUUUAUAACCUAACAUUUUUAACAUAAAUUCAACAAUAACAAUUAUAGCAAUACAAACAAUAAUAUCCUAAAUUAAGAUAAACUAAUUAAAUGCAAUUCUAUAUAUAUAAAUUAACAUUUUUAAAAUAAAUCAACAAUAACAAUUAUAUUUAUAACCUAACAUUUUUAACAUAAAUUCAACAAUAACAAUUAUAGCAAUACAAACAAUAAUAUCCUAAAUUAAGAUAAACUAAUUAAAUGCAAUUCUAUAUAUAUAAAUUAACAUUUUUAAAAUAAAUCAACAAUAACAAUUAUAUUUAUAACCUAACAUUUUUAACAUAAAUUCAACAAUAACAAUUAUAGCAAUACAAACAAUAAUAUAAAAACUAAAAAACUAAAAUUAAUAAAUAAAAUUAAAAAACUAAAAAACACUACACUACACACAACAUAAACACAAAAUUAACAAACAAUACACAAAACUAAAAAACAUUAUAUCAAUUCAAAAUAAAUUUGGGAAUAAAAAAUGCUUACCUUAAUAAUGUGUUGAAUUUAAGAUUUUAUCUACAAACAAUAUACAAUACAAAGAACACCAAAAAAAAUAAUCAUAAUUAAAAUAAAAAAAAUACAAAGAUAAAGAAAAAUAAAUACAUACCUUUUAAAACUACCACCAAAACAAUAAAAUCCUUCUAAAAGCUAAAUAUAAAUGAGAGGAGAAGAGAAAGGGAGAAGAGAAAGGGAGAAGAGGAGAAGAGAAGUGAAAGGGAGAAGAGAAAGGGAGAAGAGGAGAGGAGAAGUGAAAGUGAAAGGGAGAAGAGGAGAAGGUGCGGGGGAGGGGGGGGAGGGGCGGUAUAUAUAGCAUAAUUUCCGACGGAAUUACCGACGGAAAUUAAUUGCUGUCGGUGCAAUUAAUUUCCGUCGGUAAUUCCGUCGGAAAUUAAUUGAAAUGCGCACCAAAAAAGUUCAAAAAUCCCGCCAAACUUUUUGUUCUGUCGGCCAUUCCGUCGGUACGCGUGCAGACGGACACGUGUCAGCCAUGCGUGGUCCGUCGGUAUGUGACGUCGGUCGGUACGCGUGCAGACGGACACGUGUCAGACAUGCGUAGGCCGUCGGUAUCUGACGUCGGUAAUCGUGCACACGGACACGUGUCAGACAUGCGUGCGGACAACCCGUCGGUGAUGCCGUCGGUUUUAGCGUCGGAAAAGCCGUCGGAAAGCCGUCGGUGAAUGUGGCAAAAUCCCGUAAUUUUUUUGCAACUCUCUGUGAAAUACCGACGGGUUAUAGUCCGUCGGUAUAUCCGUCGGUGAAAAGGUAAAUUUUUCUUAUGUUUUGUAUGUAACCCUCUCAAAAAAUCUUGAAUUGCAAAUUAAAAAACACACACAACACAAUAACAAAGGCUGACCCUUAAAGAAGAAUAAAUAUUUCAUGUUUCAAAUUAUUACAUUAUAAAAAUAAGGCUUUAUAACAUGUUUAGUUAGUCGGAAUUUUCAUCUUCGUCCUCUAUUGAAUUGUUAUCAUCAGCUUCAUCGCACUCUUCAAUUUCGUUAUCAUCUUCUUCAACAACAUUCUUUUUUCCAUUAGUAGAGCUCAGAACAACAUUCAACUCCUCUGCGUCAACAUCAACAAGACUAUCGUUGAAAACACGAAAAUUCGAAUUUUCUUCUAAGUCAAUCGACGGAGCAACUCGGUAUGGUUCAACCAACUCACUAGCUUGAAAGACUUCAUCUAUCACACUUGUGUCUUCGUUCUCAUCCUGAACAACCUCGACACGACCCUUGGGUUUUGUUUUUAAAACGAAUAACCAAUCAACUCUUGAUCGGUCCUUUCUAAAGGAAGGGGUGUAUGUGUAAUAAACUUGUUGGCAUUGCUUUGCGAAAACAAAGACGUCGUUUACGUUGCGGUGUCUAGCUUUUGAAUUGAUUUCAACGAGACCAUAGUGAGGAUCUACUCUGAUUCCUCUGUCAGUUGUGUCAUACCAAUAGCAUUUGAAUAAAAACACUCUAUUUUGCUCGCUAUGAUAUUGCAGUUCGAUGACCUCUUCCAAUCUACCGUAGUAGUCAACUUCAAACUCACUAGAAGUCGAUCCCUUAAUACAAACACCGCUGUUGUAUGUCUUUCUUCCAUGCCCGUAUUCUUCAGUAUGAAAGACAUAUCCAUUGACAAAAUAUUCAUUAUAGCACUUGACUUUUCUUUCAGGGCCCAAACAUAGUAAAGACAGUGAAAUAGCAGCACUACCUCCCAUUUGAUAAACCUAGCUUGUAAAUUAAAUACAACAAUAAUCAAUAAACGGAUAUUAUGUAACAUUGACUACAAUUAAUUACAUUGCAAGAGAUAAUGAGUUUGUGCUAGGACUUACAUGUGUUCUAAACCAUGUGGCAAAUUGUUCAUCUUGUAAUUGAAAUAUCUGGGAUUCGGUCAGCUGUGAGUUAUUGGACAGUAAGUAUCGUCGAUGUUGCCUGCAAGGUUGUUCCAAAGUAUAUGAGUGUAUGGUAUCACAAAACAUAAAUAGUACACUCUUGACAAAGUUUAAGUCGAACAUCUACUUACUUAAUAAAAGGUCUCAGCUCAUCACAGUUAAAUAGGACAUAAUUGUGUGCUUGUCUGAACUCUAUUUCAGACAAAUAUCUUCCCUUCACGGCAUUUUUAGGUGUGGGUCGUCCAGGAUUGGAGAAUAUUGACAAGUUCCCACUUGAAUGCACUUCACCACCAUCAUCAUGCCGUGGAACACGGUUUAUCCUCGUUCUCAAAUGAGGUUCGAAAUAGUAUGAGAUAAAUGUUGAGAUCUCCUCAACAAUAUACGCCUCACAUAUUGACGCCUCAACAUGCGCCUUGUUCUUAACCUUUUUUUUAAGAUUGAACAAGUACCUGCAUAUAUAUAUAUAUAUAUAUAUUAAUAAAAAAUUAUCAAUUAAAAACAUUAAAAUAAAAAUAAAAACAUUUAAUUAUAAAUGUCAUAGCAACUGUAAUAUCUAACCUCUCGAAUGGAUACAUCCAUCUGUACUGGACCGGUCCUCCAACUUUUACCUCAAACGGUAAAUGUACGGGUAGAUGCUCCAUUGAGUCAAAAAAUGAUGGAGGGAAUAUCAUCUCAAGUUUGCAUAUUGUCUUGACGAUAUUCUUUUCAAGCCUUUCAAUGUGAUCAACAUUCAACUUGCUGGAGCAUAUGUCUCUGAAGAAAUGACUAAUCUCCGUUAGUGCAUCCCAUAUCCCCUUUGGCAACAAAUCACGAAAAGCUAAUGGGAUGAGUGUUUGCAUAAACACAUGGCAGUCAUGACUCUUCAUUCCAUAUAAUCUACAUUCCUCCGUAUUAACCAACCUUGAUAUGUUCGAGGCAUGUCCAUCGGGGAAACGCAGACUCUUAAGCCAUUUGUAGACUAGUAGUUGUGCGUUUUUCUCUAGCACGAAGCUUGCUCUUGGUUUUGUGACCCGUGACCCAUCACAAACCAACUCCAAAUUUUUACGGUUACAGAACAGCGCUACAUCCAAUCUAGCCUUGAUGUUGUCCUUUGUCUUCCCCUUCACAUCCAUGAUGGUGUUGAAAAUGUUCUCAAACACGUUCUUUUCAAUGUGCAUGACGUCAAGGUUAUGGCGGAGAAGAUUGGUCUUCCAAUAAGGAAGCUCCCAAAAUAUACUUCGCUUCACCCAAUUAUGGGUCAAACCAAAACCAGGAAACUUCUGCUUACCUGAUUGGAGACGAAACACAAUUUCACCGUACUCUGACACAACAUCAAACAAUUCUUCACCGGAAAGACGCGGGGGUGCAACAUCAUUUUCAACUCUGCCAACAAAGAAAUCCUUUCUGUUCUUUCUGUACCUGUGGUUAUGUGGCAAGAAACGACGGUGACAGUUAAAAAAAGAAGCUUUACCCCCGUUUGUUAGCGUGAAUGCCUUGUUGUUCUCCAUACAAUAUGGACAUGCUAGCUUUUCAUGCGUGCUCCAACCAGAAACCAUUCCAUAAGCUGGGAAAUCAUUGAUAGUCCACAUCAAAGCCGCUCUCAUAACAAAAUUUUGUUUCCUCGAGAUGUCAUAAGUCAAAGCUCCAGAGGACCACAACUGCGUCAACUCAUCAAUCAACGGACGAAGACAAACAUCUAUAUUCCGCCCCGGACUGCUCGGACCUGGUAUGACCAUAGAUAAAAACAUGAACUCCGGCCUCAUACACAUCCCCGGUGGCAAGUUAUAAACCGUCAGUAUGACCGGCCAACAAGAAUAAGGAGCAGCAUUGGGUUGAAUCCGUCUGUACACAACCCAAGACGCACGUUCCUUGAUUCAGCUGAAAAGGGAGGAUGCAUACUGUUAAAGUGUUUCCAGGCUUCACCGUCAGAAGGAUGAACCAUCACUCCAUCAACCGCAUGGUGUGAUUGGUGCCAUAUCAUGUGCUCAGCAGUCCUUGGUGACAUGAAUAACCUCUGCAGUCUAGGUGUGAUUGGGAAGUAUCUAAGUUUUUUAUAUGCCACGAGAGUCUUCCCUCUACCAGUUCUGGGUUUGUAACGGGAAUGCCCGCAUGUCAUGCACUCGGUCAUCUCAGCAUUUUCAAGGUAGUAUAACAUGCAGAAGUUAGGGCAUAUAUCAAUUUUCUGGUAUCCUAAACCGAGGGGUUUCAUCAUGGACUUGGCAGCAUAGAAGUUCUCUUUCAGCCUGUUCCCUUCAGGUAAAAUGCUUCUCGCCCAUUCAAUAAUCUUGUCAUAACCGGCCUCACUCAACCCGUGAUCUGACUUGAUGGUGAACACCUGUGCUACGGCUGAUAAUUUACUGUGGUUCGUGCAGCCAUCUCAUAAUGGUUCGUCAGAAUCUCUCAACAGAUCAAAAAACCUUGCUGCAUCUGCAUUAGGUUCUUCUUCUACGAUUGGACAUUCCCUGACAUUAGCUUCACUCAUUCUCAUUGCAUCCAUAACCAUAUUCCUGUAAGGAUUAUUGUUCUCAUUUCCAACUUCAUGCAUGUUACUAACACUAGAAGUUGACCCAACCACCUGUUCUUCCAUGCUCUCAUCAGGAACAAAUAGUUCUCCGUGAGCAUACCAACACAUGUAAUCUUCCAUGAACCCUUUGGUUAGAAGAUGCAUCGUUACAACAUCUUGAUGCAGAAACUUUAAAUUUUUACACUUCCUGCAUGGACACCUAAUACCGCCAUCAGUAAAAUUCCUCGGAAUAGAUGUUGCGAAAUUAAUAAAACCCUGGACACCGUUACAAUAAUCCAUCCUCCGCAAUCCUUGAGGUGAGUCUCGAUACAUCCAUGAACGAUCAUCCAUGACUUCUAUUGAACCUCUAUAAAACAUAAUAAAAAUAUUGGUUUUCCCCGACAAUAUCCAACAAACUAAAACAACACUUAUGUUAAAUAUUCAUUAUCAAUUAUCAAUUAUCAACUAUCAACUAUCAACGUUCAUACAUACAAAUUUAUACAUAUAUAAAUUUACAGAAUUAAUCACAACUUCGAAAUAUAAUUGAUAACAAUUAAACAAGACACUUAAACAAGCUAUUAAUUAUUUAUUUCAUCACAACGACACAUUUAAUUCGGUGUAAUUCAAACAAAAUUUCAACAAUUUACAAACAAAUAUAAUUUGACAAAAUCUAAAACAAACUAUAACAACUACAAAAUUAUACAUUCAUACUACAAGCUUCUUUGACAAAUAACAAUUAAACAAGUACAAACGUUAACAAAAUACAUAUACUAAAACAAUAAAAUUCACAAUUAAAUAUUAAAACUAAAAAGGAUAGAUUUACUUACAAAAAAAUGAUAAAAUCUACAAGAAACGGAUAUUGUGACCACGUACAAGAUAUAAGAAACUUGAGUGCUCGUGUUGAGAAUAGUGGAGAGUUUGGGAUGGGUGUUUGGCUGCAGUUUGGGAGGGGAGAGGUGGGAUGAGAAAGAAGAAGAAGGAGAAACAGAGGAAGAGAGUGUCGGCAGAUGGGGGCAUAUAAUGGUUUUUUCCGACGGAAUAUUCCCGUCGGUGAUUCCGUCGGUGAUGCCGUCGGUGAUAGCGCCACGUCACUGUACGGCCAUCUCAGUUUGAAUCCCUCGGUAAUUUCCGUCGGUAAAAUCGCCUGACGUCACCAUGCCGUUGCGUAUUUCCAGACGAACUGUAUACUCCGUCGGCAAAACCGUUGGUAUAUACCGACGGAAUAUUUCCAUCGGUAUAUACCGACGGAAAUACCGACGGAAUAAAUCCGUCGGUAUAUACCGACAGAUUUGGAGACGGAAUUAUUUCCGUCGGUAUAUAUUACCGACGGAAAAAUUCCGUCGGUAAUUCCGUUGCUUUUCUGUAGUUUUCUGGUAGUGAUAGUUUAUUUUUUUCCUUAAUUUUUUUAGAAAGUACAAUUUAUAUUUUAAAAUUUAUUAGCACGCUUAAAAAGAGUUAACAAAAAUUAUAAAGUAUACCAACUUUAGUGUUUAGAGUUAACAAUUUAUAUUCAACCCUAUUACACCCUAUUACACGGUGUUCAAGUUACAACAUCUUUUUUGAACUUUGGAGAAGAUUCGAUUCGUGACAUGCUUAGUCUCCUAAUUUUCUAGUAACCAAAUGGUUAUUGAAAAUAUUAAUUAGUCAAAUUUUGGAGAAGAUUCGAUUCGUGACAUGCUUAGUGCCGACAAAAUGUAUACCAACUUGUUCAAAAAAAAUAUAUAUAUAUAUUGCUUCAUCCAUUAUAUAGCAAGAUUCGAUUUAACAUGUUUAUCUAUUUGUUUUUCUUUUCAUUUUGUACUCUUAUGGCCAUUAUCAUAGUGUCGACCUCUUUCUAAUCAUGUUUUAUAAUUAUUAAUGUUAAGACAUUGGUUUAAUGAUUAUAGAGGUUAGCUCCAUUAUUAGCAUGCUACCAUAAAGGAUGUGUUUUUAAAAUUAUUCUAAAAAAAGUUUAAAGGGUUUUUUUGCCAAUUAAAAUGUAUUUUGAGACUGAAAAUAAAUUUAUAAAGGUUGUUAACAUAAUGUUUUGAUGUGUAGAGUGGAAAAUGAAAGAUUUGGAUUUGUAUGACCAAAACUAUAGUCUCCUAAUUUUCUAGUAACCAAAUAAAUUUUUUUUCUAAAUCUUGUAUUUGGGCCAUUACUCUCAAUUUCUAAAUCUUAUGUUUGUCGCAACAAUAUAUGGCUCCAGGAUCUUUAUUGUUUUUCAAGUUUUAAUAACUCCAUUAUCAUAUUAAGUUUAAUAUGUGAAUUUGAGUUUCAUAUAAAAAACAUGAAUCUUAUUAUGGAGAAAGUUAUCGGAUAUACAACUUCCAAUCUAAGCAUGCUUUUGCAAUUGAUCUUGUUAAUUUACACUUAGAGACAAACCAGAAAAAUAGUAUUUGGGGUUCCAAUUGGAUAAUCUAUGAUUUUUAGGUGAAAACAUGUAUUUUUUAUAAAAUAAACUUUGAGUUGGAGGGUUCAAUUACAAAAUUUUAAAAUCUUAGAGCUAAAAUGUAACUUUUGUAUUAUAGUUCCAACUAUUCAACCCUAUUACACGGUGUUCAAGUUACAGCAUCUUUUUUGAACUUUGGAGAAGAUUCGAUUCGUGACAUGCUUAGUGCCGACAAAAUGUAUACCAACUUGUUCAAAAAAAAUAUAUAUAUUGCUUCAUCCAUUAUAUAGCAAGAUUCGAUUUAACAUGUUUAUCUAUUUGUUUUUCUUUUCAUUUUUUACUCUUAUGGCCUUUAUCAUAGUGUCGACCUCUUUCUAAUCAUGUUUUAUAAUUAUUAAUGUUAAGACAUUGGUUUAAUGAUUAUAGAGGUUAGCUCCAUUAUUAAAAUGAAAUAGACAUGCGGCAACUUUUGAUAAACAAGGUUUAUCUGAUACUAGUGUACACUCAGGGGUCAUCACUUGAGAUUCGAGUGCCUUUUCUCCUGUCCCACAUGCUCAGACGGCUAUAGCUGUGGAAAAGCCUUCGAAGAUUAAUGCACAUUGUCCACAUGCUCAGAAGGCUCAAUAGAUUUUUGAAUCUCACCACAUAAAUGCAAUAAGUUGGCUGUAAAAGGACAACGGGGACAGAAUAUAGAGCAUGCAUAAUUUCACGUCCGUUCCUCUGAGGCUGUGUCAUGUACUUUGUAAAAAGGAUUUUAUUUGAAAAUAUAUUAAAUAAAAUUUUUGAUAUUAAAAUUAUAAAAAACUAUAAAAUAUUAAUUUUUUUAUAUAAAUACAUUUUUUUAAAAUAAAAACUAUUAUAAUCUCAAAUUUGUAUUAACUGGUUGCAUCUAUUAGCUUCUUUCAAUUCAAAUAUAUAUAUUUUUUAUUAAUAAAAGUUUUCGCGUCAAAGUAUAAAUUUUUUUAUUAACAAGGGUUUUGUGUCAACUUGCACGCAUCUUGCUUAAUCACAUGAUCCUGAAGUCAACGAUCAUGUAAAUCUCAAAUGAACUUGAAAAAACUCUAACACGUAAUUAUUAGGAUAAAAAAAAAAUUCAAAAAAAAGAUUUACCGAUCACAUUCACUCGGAUUGAGAUUAUUUUAAUGGAAGCCACAGUAUUCGCUUCACCAUAGACAUUUCUUAUAUAAGGUAUCCAAGAAUCCUUCACCCCCACACCAAACCAAACUAUGGCGUCCUGUAUCUCUCUUUCCAGUAGCAUCCCUUUAGCUGCCUCCUCUUUCUUGCCUUCCUUCCCGAAAACACACCAAGUUUCCAGAGUUAAAAAGCCAAACCGUCCCAAUAUCCCGAUUGUUUCUUGCAAAUCAGGCAAGAAUGAUCAUGAACAAAACCCUGCCACCAGAAGAGAUCUGCUCAUUGGUCUCGGUGGACUCUAUGGAGCAACUAGUCUUAGUGAUCCAUUUGCCUAUGCUAACCCCAUUGCACCCCCAGACAUAACCCAAUGUGAGCUAGUUACCCUGCCAUCCGAAAGUAAUCCCACGAACUGUUGCCCUCAAACAUCCACAAAGAUCAAAAACUUCGAAUUCCCUUCUGCGUCCUCCCCAAUGCGCAUUAGGCCUGCUGCUCAUUUAGUUGAUAAAGCCUCCUUAGCUAAAUACGCCAAAGCCAUUGCACUGAUGAAAAGUCUUCCUGACGAUGAUCCACGUAGCUUCAAGAGCCAAGCCAACGUUCAUUGUGCUUAUUGUGAUGGUGCUUAUCACCAAGCAGGCUUUCCUGAUUUAGAACUUCAAAUUCACUUCUCGUGGCUCUUCUUUCCCUGGCAUAGAGCCUAUUUAUACUACUUCGAAAGAAUCUUGGGUAAACUGAUUGAUGAUCCAACUUUCGCUUUGCCUUUCUGGAAUUGGGAUGCCCCUGCCGGCAUGCAAAUACCAGCCAUUUUUACUGACCCCAAAUCACCACUUUAUGACCCCCUUCGCGAUGCGAAUCACCAACCUCCGACAUUGUUUGAUCUUAAUUACGCCACAGGAGAUGCGAAUCCAGACCCUGCAAAAGCAGAGGAAUUGUAUGCAAGCAAUCUUAACGUAAUGUACAGGCAAAUGGUGUCCGGUGCCACGAAGCCUACUCUCUUUUUUGGAAAACCAUAUCGUGCUGGUGAUGAUCCAAGUCCUGGAAUGGGUACAAUUGAGACCACCCCACACACUCAGAUUCACAUCUGGACCGGCGACCCCAAUCAAACUAAAGGGGAAAAUAUGGGCAAUUUCUACUCAGCAGGGAGAGAUCCCAUAUUUUAUUGUCAUCACUCGAACGUCGACCGAAUGUGGGACUUGUGGAAGAAAAUACCUGGAGGGAAGCGAAAGGAUAUCGAGGAUCCUGAUUGGCUUAAUUCAGAGUUUCUUUUCUGGGAUGAGAAUAAAGAGCUGGUUCGAGUAAAGGUUAAAGAUACUCUUGACACCAAGAAGCUAGGAUAUGGCUUUCAAGAUGUUCCUAUUCCUUGGCUGACAACUAGAGCAACACCAAAAUUAACAAGGCAGGAAAAAUCACGUCGUGCAGCUGAAAAAAGCGUUGUAUUAACACCAAUUAGUGCAUUCCCUGUUGUCUUGGAUAAAGUCAUAAGUGUGGAGGUUUCCAGGCCAAAGAAAUCAAGAAGCGCGACGGAGAAAGAAGAUGAAGAUGAAGUUUUAGUUAUUGAAGGGAUUGAGUAUGAAGAAAAUCAAUUAAUUAAGUUCGAUGUCCUCGUCAACGAUGAACCUGAUUCACCUGGUGGACCAGACAUGUCCGAGUUUGCAGGAAGUUUCGUCAAUGUGCCUCACAAGCAUGCAAAAAAAUCAAAGACAACUAUGGUAUUGGGGAUUACAGGAUUGUUGGAAGAUCUGGAAGCUGAAGGAGAUGAUACCCU
rnacentral:lncRNA from 1 species